GUAAGUAACAUGUCUUUUCUCUUCUUAUCUAUUACUCUAGUAAUUGACCGCAGAGACAGGCUGCAAGGUAACGCUGUGUGAAAUAGACCCCUGUGGUCCGACCUUUUCACGGACCCCACACAUAGUAGGAGCUGUGGUACACCGACUUGUCCUUUUAACUAGCACUGCGGUAGUUAAUAAAACAUGUCCAACUGAUAAAGUAUUUCUUUCUGCUAUUUACAGUUGUCUUCUCAAGGAGCAGGACACGAUGAAAUCGACUUCGAGUUUCUUGGAAAUUCAUCAGGACAACCUUACACGGUUCACACCAACGUUUACUCCCAGGGUAAAGGCAACAAAGAACAACAAUUUCGUCUAUGGUUCGAUCCCACCUCGUCGUUCCACACCUACUCUAUUGUCUGGAACUCUCAAAGAAUCAUGUACGUUACAAUCUAAGCUUCCUUCAAUCUAAAAAGAAAAAGUUAGCACCUCGUGUUGGAUCCUUCAAUCAAAAUGCAUAUUGCAUUUUUGGAGAAUCCAACAUGAGCGUGGCAGCACUUAUGGAGAGUUGAGCAAAAUUGCUUCUUAAUAUGCAUGUUUAACAUAAUUGACAUUUGUCUAAUUGUCCAGAUUUUUGGUGGAUAACAUACCAAUAAGAGUGUACAACAACGACGAAGCAAUUGGUGUUCCGUUCCCAAAGAAUCAAGCAAUGAGAGUUUACGCGAGUCUAUGGAAUGCUGAUGACUGGGCAACCCAAGGAGGGCGGGUGAAGACGGAUUGGUCAAUGGCUCCGUUUACAGCUUCUUACAGGAAUUUCAAUACAAAUGCUUGUGUCUGGUCAGCUGCAUCAUCUACUUCAUCUUGUGGAGGCUCUAAGACUGACUCAGUGAACAAUGCUCAGACAUGGCAAACUCAAGAACUGAACGCUAAUGAAAGAAAUAGGCUUCGAUGGGUUCAGCAGCGAUGUGUUCAGCAGAAAUACAUGAUCUACAAUUACUGCGCCGAUGCUAAAAGGUUCUCUCAAGGUUUUUCUCCUGAAUGCAAGCGUUCAAGGUUCUAAGGAUUGAGUUUACUAAUGUUGUCUAUAUAAUUCUCUUUUUUUCAUUUCUAUUCUUUAUUUUUGUUCUGGGAUACUAGGAGAAAAAGAACAUAGUGUAAUAUUUUGUGUAAGCAAUGUAUUCUUUAUUCUUUUUGUAAUCUUGAAAUAGAAUGAAUUGUUUUUUUCUUGUCAAGCCUGCCCAUCUUUGUGAACCAUCAUUGUCUUUUAGUAAUCUCUUAGAACACACACAAAGGUAACUGAAGGAAGGGACUAUUAUAUUAUGGGCUAGCAAGUAGCAACUGAAGGAAUUUUUUAUCGAGAAGUUGAUAUCGGAUGGGGCAAUGAACAAGGUAAAAUACAGGAUUGAUGUCAACUUCUCACCCUCUCACUAGACAGAUAUUCAAGAUCAGAUAUCCAGUUGAAAGAGGAGCAUCUAUUUGGUAGCUUUGACACCGUCACCAUUCACCUGUUUAUACUACAAUUCUGUUGUUUCAAUGCUAUCCCGCCUUAUAUCUGUUAUUAUUUCACUAACAAGUUGGUUCAAUGGUAAUGUAGUUACCUUCUCAAGGAAUAGCAAACAAUGAGGUUGAUUUUAAGGUCUUAGGCAGUCUCAGGGCAACCAUAUGCAGCUUAUGUCCAAGGAAAAAGGCAACAAGGAACAACUUGUUACGCUAGUCCCGGACAAGUACUCUGGAAAUAGAAACUUGAAUGGAAAAUGUAGCUUUAUAUAUACCGGUAAUUGUGCCGCCUGUGUGAUUUCUUACUACGUGAAUUACAUUCUAAAUCCUUCACUAGCGCCAUCAAUUAAAAGGCCACUUGAUUUUCCUACUUCUAACUCAAGGAAGCUCUGAUUUACACACAAUUAUCAUCUCAAGGUGCAUGACAUGAUGACAUUGACUUUGAGUUUUCGGAGAAACAUCAGCAACCAAUGUUUACAGUGACGAUAAAGGGGAUUAUUAUGGCCAUGAAAAAACUUCCACACCUAUGGUUUUGCUCUUUACACUACCAGAUAUCAGGCAGUAAUGUAGAACAAUUUUCAAGCCUUCUCCAACUUGGAAUAGUAAAAGAACUCAAGCUAGUUCACAUCAUCAUCAAAAAGAUCCUAAAAUCUUAAUAAACGAAUUGUAUGCUCCGUAAACCCAAUACUUUAAUGAUAAACAUCUAUCUUCACAUGUUUACUGCUUUACAUCACAGAGUAUAGGCUGUUUUAGAAUCUGUACUUUAAUAGUUGAUGCUUUUCUUUUUCAAUCAGAUUUUUGGUAAGAGAAACCAAAGCUAGAAUGAAGUGAAGAGAAGAACUAUAUAUUCAGACAGUAAGCGAGAUGAAUGUAAAAUACCAAACUAUGCUUUUGCAUUGAUCACAUACCGGAAAGCUAAUUGAGCACUGAUUCUCAAUCGAAUUUGAAAAGAUAGAUCAAAAUUCACAAAAAAAAUAAAAUGGAAUAAAUCUUCUUCUAAAUGUAUCCCCACAACAGGUUUUGUCAACAUAUUACAAAGAUUGAUAUGCUUUGCGGACCGAUGGCUUCAUUCCCCACUUAAGUACAAUGUACUUACAUGUUCAAGGUUCACAUGUUCCAGGAAAGCAAAAGGACCAGCAAAUUCAACCAGGUUUUGCAGCUGAACACCUCAAAACUUCUGAAGCAAGAUUUAAUCCUACUUCUCUAUUCUGCCUGCAGAAGUAAGUAGAAAACAAAUUAGGAAUGGCAUCAGGUCCAAACACAAUAGGUGCAUCGACACCCCUAUACACGCACCAGAUUUUAGAGCCGGCCCUGCAACUCCCCUUUAUCCCAUUUUAACACCUCUAAUUGGUCAUAGUACACAUAAUAAGCACCUCUACAUGGUUGAGCUAUGUGUGCGAAUGCACGCGUGGGUAACACAUCACAUAUAACAAAUCUUUUCCACCUACAUACUAGUGGCUUCAAGCACAUAAUGGCUUAAUAAGGAAUUUUAAAUGUUGCCCAUGGAAAAUAUAAUACUUUCUGAAUCAUUUAUGCAAGUAGGAUAAUGUAAAGAACUUUUCCGCCUUCCUAAGUUCUAAGCAAAAAAGUACCAUAAAGACCAGAGCAAUAAUAUAUAUGUGAUCAGUGGUGGAUACAUACUAUGUGCUAGUUUAUAACCUUUGCUCAACCUGUAUUUAUGUAUAAAAUUAUCCAUUAUAUAUUACUUCCUCCGUUUCAAUUUAUUUCUCUUACUUUCUUUUAUUAUUCAUUUAACAAGAAUGUCUUUAUCCUCUUUUGGCUAUUUUCUAAUUAACUUUUCACGUGGCAUGUUUAAGACUGCAGAAUUAAAAGGCAUUUUGAUACAUUUCACAUUUAUUUAGUUAUGAUGAAAAGAUUCAAAAAUCUUAAUUUACCUUCUUAAAACUCUAUGCCAAAUCUAAAAACUGAUAACAGAUUGAAAUGGAGGGAGUAUUGUAUACUAACUUGUAGUUUUUAUAGUAACUCAUAAACUUCAAAUUCUAAAUCCGCCAACGCUAUAAUUCUCCAUCAUAUAUCAAUACAUAUACCAACAAAAGAAACAUACUUAAUUAACUCAUGUUACAUUUUCAAAAGCUUAAGAGCAAGAAAAAUAAAGAUAGCUAAAUGAAAUUUUGCUUAGUAGAACUAGAAGAGAAGGUGAAUUAGUGGAUUUAAUUACCUUAAAGGAAGAAAAAAAGAGAUUGGGAGAAAAUGCAGGAGCAAUGCCAUGGCCCUGAUGACAUAAAACCUAAUUGUUGUGAGUGAGAAACUUUGGAUUAAUGAGGAUUUUCUAACUCCAACUCACCUUUCACACACACACUGCACUCUCUAUUUUCUGUGGGUUUAACAAGGGGUUUUUGUUACACAUGUUUUUGUUUGUUUGUUUCUUUGUUGUUGAGCGAAAGAGUAAAAAGUUAUUAGGUGUGAAGAGUUUUUCUUAUUUUAACUAUCUUUAAUUAUUUAUUAAAAUAUACUUUAACUAUUAAAUUUUUCUUUUUCCUAUCUGAAACACCACCUCUUUGCGUAUAAAAAGUAAUUAGUAAUAGUUCAAAUAAAAAAUUGGGGCAUUUGAUAAUUUAUUUAUAAAACUCAAAAUAUUGAUAUAUUUUAUUAAGUGUGUUUUUAAUCAUUGAUUUUUCAAAACAGCGUGAACCUGCAAAGGGGUCCAACUCACAAGUAACAACUGUUUUUUUUAAAAAAAAAAAUUUGACCUAACUAAGAUCGGAGAGAUCUUUAUUAUAGCAUGAUAGCUCAUGUUGGCACAUAUGCACGCCUUAUGAUGAGGAGGAAACCAUAUUUAUUCAUUUCAGAUUGGCCUAAUACAUAAUACUUUUAACUUGAAAUUAAAUUAUAGGUAUAUAUUUAACUUUAUAAAUAUACAAGUAGACCUUUUAAAUACAUAAAAGUUAAACAAAAAAACACUCUAAUCCUACUUGACAAAAUGUGUUUAUACACUCAAAACAACGCGCAUCAGAGUUAAAAUUUGAGUAUUUUUUUGUUCAACUUUUGUAUAGUUAAAAGGUCUAUUUGUCCGCUGACAACGUUAAAGGUCAUACUUAUGAUGUGCCUUUUUUUAUUAGGUGGCAGCAUCUAAGUGGACUACUAAUCCACGUAGAAGCGAUUGAGUUUCACGCAUGUAAGUUGUAGAAUUGAAGUAUUUUUUUGUUCAGCUUUUAUAUAGUUAAAGGGUCUACUUAUGCACUGUCAAGGUUUAAAAAUUAAAUGUCAUAGUUAUAAUUUGAUGUCAAGUUAAAGUACUGUUCAUAUAUUAUUCCUUUCAUAUUUUGUUGAAACGCCUAUGGUUGUUUCUUUCCCUUUGUUUUAUAUUAGAAAAAAAAAAAGUUAAUGCAUAAAAAUGACCCUAAACUUAACACCAAAUUAUAAUUUUGACCUUAAACUUUGAUAGUGCACAAAUAUAACCUUUAACUAUUCAAAACUGCACAAAUAUGACCUUCAAUCUUACGUGGCAAAACGCGUGUUCAACAUGCAAAACUGGGCGCGUCCAGCUUAAAAUCUAAGGGCAUAAUACAUAAAUAUGACCUUAAACUUUGACAGUGCACAAAUAUGACCUUUAACUAUUCAAAAAUGCACAAAUAUGACCUUUAAAUGACUUUUCACUAUUAUUUUUUAUUAUUUUUGGCUCAAAGAUGAAAAUGACAUCUAAUUUCUUUUGUCAUUGUGGAAAAAGAUCAAUAUUGAAGAUUUAUUAAUUAGGUGGGUCAGCCUCAUACGAAAAAAUCGCACGGGUAUUUAUAUAUAUUAUAAAACAGAGGGUGAAUUUAAGUUAUAUAAUAUAUCUAAAUAUAAUUUAUUUAAAUAUUAAAUUAAUAAUGAAAUUAUACUAAUAAUAAAAAAAAUUAUAGUUUUAAUAAAACGCUAUUAAAUUAACGUUAUUAAGGAUAGUAGUAGUAGUAUAUUAAAUUAACGUUAUUACAAUGUUAUUAAAUUAACGUUAUUAAAACAUUAUUAAAUUAAUGCAGGGGCGAACCUACGUGGUUGCCAUGGGGUUCACCCGAACCCCCUCGGUAAAAAAAUUACGUUAUAUAUCUAAGAUAGAAAAUCUAUAUUUAUAUACGUAUAUUAAUGUUGAACCACAUGAAACAAGACACUUAGAUAGUCCAGUGGUGUUAUUUGCUCUUCUUGGGCAUUUCCUUUAGCCUAAUGCGCGGGUUUGAUUUUUUAAUUAAAAAAAAAAGUUAGGUGUUGCAGUUAUAGAAAUAAAAUAAUAAUAAUAAUAAAAACGACGCCUUUAUAACACAAAAAGCAAAACUUUGAUAGUGCACAAAUAUGACCUUUAACUAUUCAAAACUGCACAAAUAUGACCUCCCUCCAAGUCAGUCCUUUUAACGACGUGGCACCGUGUGAUUGGAUUACCUUUCCACGUAGACGCGAGUGAAACUCAUGCAUGAGGUUGCAAAAUCGGAGGUCAUAUUUGUUCAGAUUUUGAAUAGUUAAAGGUCCUAUUUGUGCACUAUCAAAGUUUAAGGUCAAAGUUAUAAUUUGAUGUCAAGUUUAGUGUCAUUUUUAUGUAAUAACUCAAAAAAAAAAAAAACUGGUACCACAAAUUUAUGUCUACUUUUUUACUUUUUACUCUGUUUUUUCCAACUUAAGCCGUAUAUUCUAUUUAAUAUUUUAACUAAAAUUUAUUAGCUGACUAAUUCAAAUUCAUAACGAAAAUGUGAAAUGUCCCUUUAUUAUGUUUACUGUAAAGGUAAAGUCUAUCCUAGAAAAAUACGAUCUUUUAACUCUCCAUUUUUUGUUAUAUUUUUCCAGAGACCCGCUACUCAAUCUUUUUUACUCCAUAGUACUUCUUUUAACAUCGCAUGUUUGAUAUUCAUAUUAAAGUAAGAUUAAAUUUAAAUUCGUGCAUUUUAUGGCCCAUUUUCGGAGACGACAUCCUCAGCAGAAUAUUUUCCAUAAGGCCCAAAUCCUAGUACCUGUGAUUUGGGCAUUGGUGGAUUUUGGAUCUUCAGUCAAUAGCAUAUAGUAAUUGUAUCCACUCGUAAUUUGCAUUCAAAUAAUGCCCUUUGGUUUUACCUGUUCCAGUCUAUGCUUUAUAAAGUGCGUCUACACAAAACAAGAAAUGAUCUCUCCAACACAUAAAUGGUUGUGAGAUCACGAUCCCAAAACCGAGUGAAUAGUGAGUUAGACAUAACUCAUAUUCCAUUAUUGGAGUAGGUAUAACCAAUCCAUUUAACCAUUUUAACUAUAAAUGCGAACAUAUGUUAGGUCAAAUCCCAUACCAUACGCGCUCUACAAUUAUUGUACAUUCAUCUAGGAUAUCAAAUUAUUUGAUUUCCAAAACUCCCUUCGAUUGAAAAUAAUGUGAAGUGAAUUAUCAUUGAUUUCUCCUCAAAUUUACGUUCACGCUUUCAUUUGUUCAUCAUAAGAAUUAUGUAAUCCAAGUUAAAGGAGGUUCAGCUGGUAUACUUGAAAAAUUAAAACUUCUAUCAGAAGGUGUUCUUCCAAAUUCAUCCCACUGUAGAGUUGGACACUAUAAGCAAAUAAAUAUUGUAAAUAUGAUAUCUAGGUGACACCGUGUACCAAAACUUAGGACAAAUGGAAAGAUAUCAUCCAACAUUCUUUUGUCUCUGGUGAGAUUUAAACCGUCAUCUUUUAGUAGAGGAGGUUACAGUAUCACCACUUCAGCUAGCAGUUCCUUAUCACCACAAGAAUCGGAUAAGAUGACUUCCCAACAGAGCCCCACAAAGGCCUAACAAGUAGCUACAGUGCAUUUCAAAGGCAAUGGAGCAAAUAACAAACUGGUAUGUUGAACACGCGAGACAACACAUCUAAGUUGCAAAAGUGAUGGGAGGACAUAGACAAAUAAGAAAAGAUGGCCAGCAUCGAAAAAUAACAAUGAGAAAUGAUGGAUAAACUUGCAUAAACCAGGUGUUAAAAGUGAGAACCAUCACGUCUCAUGCAUGAAUCAAAAAUAAACCAGCCCCAAUCCACAUUGAGAAAAGAAUGAAAAAGGGACCAGAGAUCAGGUGAGUUGCAGGUGUCAAUGUUCACAAGCUGAUGGUAAUAACCCACAAUGGCUGGCUGCGAAAGCAUCUCUUUAUCCCACGACAACCUAGAGAAAAGAGGUAGCUUUCUCUGCAGUAGGUGCUACUUAUGUGGAACAACAACAUACCCAGUGUAAUCCCACAAGUCUGGCCUGGAAAAGGUAGUGUCUAUGCAGAUCUUACCCCUACCUUGGGAGGUAGAGCUGCUGCUUCUGAUGAGCUCAAGGAAAGGCAUAUCAAAGGGGAAAGCCAACAACCAUCUUUUUCUUCACUUUCCCAUUACAAACGAGAUUCGGAAACUAUUUUGGAACUUCCUGGGAGUCAAAUGACCCAUGCCAAACAACACGGCUGAUUUUUUGUGGAUCAGAGCAGGUUCAGACAGAAGAACGACAAUAUGGUGGAACACUACACCAGCUUUUAUCUGGUAGACAAUUUGGAAAGAAAGGGACUUGAGAUGCUUUGAAGAUAAGAACAAUCACAUCCAGAAGAGAAAGGCCAACAGCAAUUUUUUUAUUCUACUUUUGGCAUCGAAUGGAACUUUGUAAAUGAAGCUGAAUCUAUCUUAGAGCGCCUAGUCCCUACAGCUAAGGCUAUACUUUUGUCUUCACGCUUUGGAACAAUUUACAUAGUUACGGCACAUUCUUAAUGCUGUUUAUGAAUACAAACUUAAAAGGAACUAGAGCACAGCAAGUUCAUGGCAAUGUAAAAGAUACUAUUACUGCUACAUAAGAUAUGGUCAAAGUAGAGAGCAUUGUUCUGGCUUUUUCCACUGCAAAGCAACUAAUUGAAGGAAGGGGCAUCAGCAAUUAAUUGAACCAGAAAGAAAACUAUGAAAAUGUAGUCAUGUGACUGAGAUAGCAACAACCUUGCUUCACAGUGAUAUAGCUCCAACACUUUAUAAAUCCGAAAAAUCAAGGAAGUGUUUAAGCAAUUCAACCAUUCGACGGAAAAGUAGGAAGGGGCAACAGCUAUUACUCCAACCAGAAAGAAACUACAUAAAUGGUCCGGUAAUUGCAAUAGCAACAACCCUGCUUCAUAGUGAUAUGACUCACAAGACUUUAUAAAGACGAAACAAUCAAUAAAGUGUAGGAGCAAUCCAAUCAUUCUACAAAAACACAGUAGUACAUACAUAUUCAGCAACUCUUAAAGCAAUAACAUAUUGUAAUCAAACUCCUGGAAUGAGAAAGAAGCAAUCAAAAAGUGUUUAAGCAAUUCAAUCAUUUCAACAAAAACACAUUAUUACAUACAGAUUCAGAAACUCUUUAAGCAAUUACAUCACAAAGCAAAAACUACAAAUCCAUUGUAAUCGAACUCGUGGAAACAAGAAAGAAGCACUAAUAGAAGUAUGUCAACUAUCUCCACCUUAGCAAACAAACAUAUUUCAGCACCAUAAGCUAAUAACCAUAAUAGUGUAAUCUAUUAUCUGAUUAAGACAAAAAAGUUAACUAGUAAUCCAACAUAACCAAACAACUAUCAAAACUGUAAAUUCGAUAUCUUGAUCAGCACAAAACCAAAAAGACUAAAAACAUAUUCAAGAUCAAGCUAAGGGUUUACACUGUUUUUCUUCCAUAUCGAAGAUACCAAAUAACACCAACAACAGCAACUGCAACAAGUGAUGAUCCAGCAACCAGUGGAAAAUUUACUUCACCACCGAAAAACCCAACUUUAUCAUCACCAAUAGGAAUGCCAUUAAUAUUGCUAUCAGCAAGUCUUUCAGUAAUAAUCCUUUCUUUCUCAACCAAUUUCUUCUCCAACGCCGCGGCUUUCUCAAUCAUGUCCUUAACUCUCUUCUCUAAUUCCUCCUUUUACCAUAUGAAGUUAUCCUGUUACGCGUUGGGUCGGGGAAGGGCCAAAGGGUCUAUCGUACACAACCUUUCCUUGCAUUUUUGCAAGAAACUGUUUCCACGGCUUAAACCUGUGACCUCCUGGUCUUGUGACAUCAACUUUCCUAGUUAUGCCAAAGUUCCCUUCAUAUUUGAACCAAUUGAUAAGCAAUGUAAAAUUGCUGGAACAAGGGGAGCUAAUGGCCCGCUAACAGUGCCUGGAUUACCUAAAAAGAAAAUCCAAAUAGCAUACAAAUAAUGCCAAGCUCAACCUAAAAUUGCAUGAACAAUCAGAUUAAAUUCUGAGAUUAUAAUAAAACCUGUGAUUUUCAAACAGAGCUAAAUGCAUGAUAUCAUCUCUGAGAAGUAAUACCUGAACACACAUCGUCAGACAUACAUAAUCACUGUGACAACAAUCAACGAACUGCUUUGAAGAUAAAACAUGCAAAAGAGACACGUUAAGACAAGGAAUAAGAAGAAAUUUAAUAAAGUAUUCGGGUGGGAGUAAAAAUAGAAGAACUAACAAGAAAUCAUAGAUUUCAUGUAACAAUCUCUUAUAGAAGUUAAAUAAACCCGAAAAAAUGUAACAUCAUCUAGCUUAUAAAGAGAUAUCGAACAAAAUAAACCAUAAAAAAAGGUUACAGCUUAAGAGCCGCUAUUGCUUCAGAUUUGAAGUCAACUCUCAAACUCAACACUCUUCUAACCUCAGCUGGAGUAAGUCUCCAGGUCAUGGGUCCUGAGUUUUCACCCCAGAAAUCCAGAAUUUCAGAUACCUUCUCCAAGUUUAAUAUUGUAGCCAUUUGGGUUAGACGAGCAAAUUUGUCCCUAACAGUCCUCUGGGUCAUGUUGGAGAAGUAGCUCACAAGGGCUCGAACAUCUCUGUCAAGUUGAAGACCUCCAAGUUGACUGAAUCUCUUUUGCAUCAUGAUAACCUCAAGCCUCUUAACAACAAAGUCGAUGAUCAGAUGUACAAGGGAGUCAUAAUUGUUAGCAGUCAUCAAUGGUUGAAGCCAAGCCACAUUGGUCUCUACAGCAUGGAGAAGCCUUUGAACCCAUGGGUCAUUCACCUCAUUAUCAGCAUAUUCAGAUUCAGACAGCUCAUAGCUGAUUGUUGCAACAGUAUCCAACAUUGGCCGAAUUCGAGGUGUCACUGUAGCUACUAGUUGUUCCAAGCCAAUGUUCAAGGCCUUCUUGAAACCAUUGUUAAUCUCAUUUAAUUCAGAUAAACAUGAUUUGACCCUCUCUCUAUCUGCUGGUGCAGGAAACACCUGACAAUGCACUCCAAUUAAGACCAACACAAAAGAACCAAAGGUAGAAAAAAAGAAAGAAAAAUGUAACCUAAAUGGUAUCUUCUGAAUGUGUUUUGAGGUUAUGAUUCAUCCUGAAGGUAAUCUUUUUUGAUAAGCGAUUAGCUUCAGAAUGAAUCAUAAUCCAAAAAAUCCCUUCAAUGCUCAAAGACUAAAGGCAAGAGAUGAAUGUAACAGAUAUCAUUCUAGAUUAUAAAGGUAAGGAUGAGAAAGCAAAGAAAGAACGAGUAACCUAAAGAUGGUAUGAUACCAGUGAAAUCUGAGGCUAUAUAUGGAUACUUGAAGUUCAAGGGAUUCUCAGAAGCACAACGGUUUUCAUGUCACAAGAAUAUGGCAUGAAAUGGAUGUAAUAGACAACCAUUCUAGAAUUCAAUGUUCAACUUACUUAUCGCCCAAAAACCAAAAAAGUUGGACAGAUUAGAGCUAAAAGGGAUGCAGAGUAAACGUAGAGUAAGUGCUGAUAGAAGAAGAUGUUUUAUUAAUGAAGCAUAAAGCGUAUUAAAUAGAGUUACAGAUAAACUAAGAUGAGUCCUAAACUAACUAAACUAGACUAGUCCUAAAUAAACAGAAAUACUGACUAAUAUUACACGUGAUGUUUCAAUACGCCCCCUCAAGUUAGGCGAUGAGUCACUAAGCCUAACUUGAAUAUAUUCUUCCCAAAAGUAGGCUUAGGCAGUGCCUUGGUGAGGGUUUCAGUGAUUUGAUCGGUAGCAUGAACAUGAACAACUCGAACCUUUUUGAUGUUGACAUGGUGGCGAACAAAGUGAAAAUCCACUGCAGCAUGCUUCACUUUGCUAUGGAGGACCGGAUUUUUACUCAGGAAUGUGGCUCUAAGAUUGUCACAAUAAAUGGUAGGCAUCUGAUGUACUGGAAAGCGCAGCUCAGCGAGGAGAUUGGUCACCCAUGUGGGUUUCAGAAAGGGCAUUAGCCACUGCCCUAUACUCAGACUCAGUGGAGGAGCGAGAGACUGUAUUUUGCUUCUUCGAGGACCAACUAAUAGGAUUGUAACCAAGGAACAGGAUAUACCCGGAUGUGGAAACUCUGUCAGCAAUGUCCCCACCCCAAUCCGCAUCAGAGUACACAUGCAGAUUGAAGUCCUCAAUGGGGGUUACACGUAGGCUUAGUUGGAUGGUGCCACGCAGGUAAUGAAGAACACGCUUCACAGCUUUCCAAUGGAGAUCUGAUGGUGCUUGCAUAAAUUGAGACAACUUAUUUACUGCAUAUGCAAUGUCCGGUCUAGUGAAAGAUAGGUAUUGAAGCCUGCCUAAGACCCGACGAUAGCAUGUUGCAUCAGUCAAGUGAGUACCAUCAGAUAGCGUGAUUAGCUCAGAUGCACUCAUUGGCGUGUGGACACUUUUACAGUCGGUCAUUAAUUCAUCAUUCAGGAUCUCAUUCACAUAGUUUGCUUGGGUGAGAAUUAAACCAUCAGAGCUGCGUAUCACUUCAACACCAAGAAAAUAGUGAAGAUUACCCAAAUCUUUAACAGAAAACUUAGAAGCAAAGGAAGCAAUAACCUGGUUGCUCCCUGUAACAAUGAUGUCAUCCGCAUAGACAAGGAUAAACAUUGUGUCACCUAGACCCUGCCUGACAAGUAGGGAGGCAUCCGACUUCGUCUUAAUAAAUCCUAUGGAGGAAAGAUAACCCGUGAGUGCAUUGUACCAUGCUCGAGGGGCUUAUUUCAAGCCAUAGAUUGCCUUGCGUAACCGACAUAUGUGAGUGGGUUUGUCAUCAUUAGUGAAACCCGAAGGUUGUGCCAUGUACACCUCCUCGUCCAGGUUGCCCUGGAGAAAUGCAUUGUUGACAUCAAGCUAGCGGAGAGUCCAGUUAUGGCGAAGUGCCACAGAAAGUAUUAUUCUGACCGUGGUAGGCUUGACGACUGGGCUGAAAGUCGCGUGGAAGUCAAUGUCCGGCCUUUGAGUGAAGCCUUUCGCAACCAGUCGUGCUUUAUAUCUAUCAAUAGACCCAUCUGCUUUCCUUUUUAUCCUGACAAGCCACUUGCAGGAAACAAUAUUUUUAGUUGGGUCAGGAGGAAUAAGUUCCCAAGUCUGGUUUUUAAUUAAAGCAUCAAGUUCCUGUUUCAUCGCUUCACGCUACUCGGGAUGUUUUUGUGCUUGUUUGACAGUGGUGGGUGUGGUGGUGGGGUUCAAUUUAGCCAAGUAAUCAAAAAUUUGUUUGGGUUUGGUGAUAUUGUUUUGGGAGCGAGUGACAACACGGGUAGGAGGAGAGGGACAUUUAGGAGAUGAGGGAGCGAGCUACAACUCAAGGAUAGGACGGACUGGCUGAUGAACCAUGGGUGUAGAUGGAAUUGUGUUCUGCGAUAAUAAACAAGGAGAGGACGCGAGCUGUAAUUUGUGUUUGUGGGUAUACGCGUUGGUAUAUUUGUAGGGAGGGCUGGUGGUGUGAGCUGUUGGGCAGUAGGGUGAGAGGAUUCUGGGAGCCUUGGAAUUGUAGAAGAUGAGGGUGAUAGAAAUUUACCUGGGAAAGNNNNNNNNNNNNNNNNNNNNNNNNNNNNNNNNNNNNNNNNNNNNNNNNNNNNNNNNNNNNNNNNNNNNNNNNNNNNNNNNNNNNNNNNNNNNNNNNNNNNNNNNNNNNNNNNNNNNNNNNNNNNNNNNNNNNNNNNNNNNNNNNNNNNNNNNNNNNNNNNNNNNNNNNNNNNNNNNNNNNNNNNNNNNNNNNNNNNNNNNNNNNNNNNNNNNNNNNNNNNNNNNNNNNNNNNNNNNNNNNNNNNNNNNNNNNNNNNNNNNNNNNNNNNNNNNNNNNNAAAUUGGGUCAAAACACUGGUGACAGUGAUGAGAUAAGGAAAAUCCGAGAUAGAUACACGGGGUGGAUUUUGGUUCAAGUUUAUUUUUGGAGUAUGGUUUAAGCCAUGGAUAGCAUAAACAACUGAAAAUUCGCAGGGAGCUAUAAUCAGGCAAUUUUCCAAGUAGACGUUGGAAUGGGGAUUGGUUAUCUAGUUGAGAGGUGGGCAAACGGUUAAUGAGGUAGACCGUGUGAUGACAUGCGAAAGACCAAAAUUGGGGAGGAAGGGACGCAUCAUGUAAGAGAGUUCUUGCAGUUUCGACAAUAUGGCGAUGUCGUCGUUCUACAAGCGCAACUCGUUGAGGUGUAUAUGGUGGAGUAGAGAGGUGCUCAAUUCCGUGAAGUGAGAGAUAAGGGUCAAGACUUUUAUAUUCUCCUCCACUAUCAGUGUACAGUAAUAAUAUUUUGGUGUCAAAAUGCUUUUCCAUCAUAGGAUGGAAUUUUUGGAAAAUCUCUUUGACCUCACUUUUAUUUUUUAAUNNNNNNNNNNNNNNNNNNNNNNNNNNNNNNNNNNNNNNNNNNNNNNNNNNNNUGUCAAGAGAUAAGACUGGUGAUGGCCCCCAUAAAUCACUAAAGAUUAUUUGAAGCGGUUUAGAGCUAUACAAUGAUAAUUGAGUAAAAGGAUGCCGAUGAGCUUUAUUAGAUAAGCAAGAAUUACAAUAAAAAGGUUUGUCCCGCACAUGAAACGGUAGCGAGAAUUUAUUUAAAAUAAACCUAAGAACUCUAAAGUGAGGAUGACCCAAACGUUGAUGCCAACUAGUGAGAGGAGUAGAUGUGGCGGUCAUGUGAGCUUGGGGAUGUGAAAUAGGCCACUCAUACAGUCCAUUGUUUGUCCGACCGUGCACCAACAGUUUCCGCAUUUUCAGAUCCUUCACAACAAAGUCAAAGGGAAAAAAUUCAAUGGACUUUGAAUUGUCUUGACAAAAUUUUGAAACAGAGAGAAGUUUGUGUUUAAUAGAUGGGGCACAAAGAGUGUGAGAUAGCUUAAAAACAUUAUUUGAUGCAUUUAAUUGAGUAGAACCAGUGUGAGAGAUGGGAAUUUUGUUACCGUCACCCAUGGAGACAUCCUCAUUACCAUGGUAUGGUUGUAGGUUGUGUGGCUCCAUGGUGAUGUGAUGGGUGGCUCCGGAGUCGACUAUUCAAGGGUUAGUAGCAGCAGUAAAUCCAGCAGCAUAGCUGGCUUUGGCCUCAAAGUGAUUAUGAGACUUCGAACGACAAACAUUGGCGGUGUGGCCAAUCCUAUUGCAUAGUUGACAUCGAGUAACAGUCUUUGGAUUGGAGUUGGACUGCCACUGUGAUGUAGUGUUCGGAUGUGAAUUCUGGUGCCACUAUUGAGAAUUAUUAUUCUUCCUAGGAUUGUUACGGUUAUUGGUAUUGGAUUUGGUGGGAGCCGCGACCGCGGCAGUUAUGGGACUGGAAAGUUUCUUAACAUCCUCAUGACGAAGGAAGAGUUCAUGGUCAAGUAGCUUUUCAAACAAUUCUUCAUAUGAGACAGCCGUAUCACGUGCAUGAAUGGUAGCAGAGAUUUCACGAAAUUCAGGACCUAGCCCGCCGAGUAUUUUGACAAUGAGUUCAGGAUUUGACACAGGAGAACCAUCAGUGGCUAACUCAUCCGAAAGGGACCGAAUAGUAUGAAGAUAUUCAGUGAUGGAGCAAGAUUCCUUAGUGACGCGAGCAAGUUGAUCACGCAGGCUGAAGACACGCGUUUGUGAUCUGUUUGCAUAAGUAGUAUGCAGAGUGUCCCAAGCCGAUUUGGAUGAGUUGGCUGCAGCAACAGUCGGAGCAAUGGUGGGUUCAACAGAUGCCAUGAGGGCAUUUUGGAUGAGUUGGUCUUGACGGAACCAAGUUAAAAAAGCAAGAUUGGGAGAUACAUUGUUGCCAACGGUCAGGAGUGGUCCCAUCGAGAUGGCCAAAUAGAUUAUAACCAUACAUAAGCAUGGAGAAUUAAGCUUUCCAGGUGGCAAAGUUGUGGUCACCGCUGAGUUUGAUGGGUAAUUGGGACGCAGGGUUGAAUUGAAUAAUAAUGUUAGCACCUAUUGUGUUAUCAACAUUAACAACUCUGGGAUUGUUGGCCAUUGCUACUGAUUUGUGUGAGGAAGAGAGAAAAAAAAUAGGAUCGUACUCAUUAGAGAGUAUAGAGCUUUGAUACCAUGUAAACGCAGAGUAAGUGCUGAUAGAAGAAGAUGUUUUAUUAAUGAAGCAUAAAGCGUAUUAAAUAGAGUUACAGAUAAACUAAGAUGAGUCCUAAACUAACUAAACUAGACUAGUCCUAAAUAAAUAGAAUGCUGACUAAUAUUACGCGUGAUGUAUCAAUAUGCAGUACAGUACAUCAUGCUAAUACACCUGCCCGUCUACCAACAUUUCAUAGCAUACACGAAGUUGAGCAACAAAAUUACAGCUUUACUUACUUCACCUCUCAAAAGGCAGAUGCCACAUUCAUAAACUAGACUAACAUUGAAAUAACAAGAGCAGAUCAAUACAUGAAUCUAGGACUAACCUCAGCACAUUGUUCUUCAAUCUCAUGCCGUAAUUUCAAUGCAUACUCACCACUCACAUCCAUAUUAUUCAAAGCCGUGGCAAUCUCCGUACCCGUCUUUUGAACAGCAACACCACCGGUGAACAGCUUUGCUCCAAGAUUAGGCUCUCUGAUCUUCUGCUGCAAAGCCUCGUUGUACUCACCACCCAAUAGACUUACAGCACUGCUUAAAACUGCAAUCACAGAGUUGAUAUUUGAAGUGGAUAUGGACCUUCGACAACAGCUCUGCAGAACAUAGAAGACAUCGUCCACCAUGGAAGUUGUGAGACUAUCAAACACGAGUUCAUCAAUUUUUAUCGCUUUCCUCACAUUCUCAACCAUAAAGUAUCCUUCCAAGAUCACAUAAUAACCAGUAAUAUCCUGCACAACUUUACUGAAAUUACCACUCCUAAAAGCUUUCGUGGCACGAGGACCUAACUCAGGAUCAACAGAACUCAAGCCCCUAAUCUUUGAUAUCAUAUACCCCGUAUAAUCCUCACCCAAUUGCGUCAAAGACAAUAUCUCCUCCAAAUACACUUCGAUCUCUCUAGGGUCCGGUCCUUCAACUCCAACAGAUAGCAAAUCACUCUUGUAAGAAUUAAUCUCCGAAGUCACUUUCGCUAGUUUCCUAUACUCCAUAUACUUCUUUAUAAUAGUCGAACCGCGAGAAUCACACUCUUCUUGAAGUUCACAUAUUGCAUAAACAAUACCAUCCUCCCCACACAAGCUCCUUAAAGUUUCAUCAUUCUCCUCAAUAGCCAAAACAAUAUCUUUAAACAGAUUCGUCAAACAUGACACAAAAUUAACCUCAUUCUGACCAUUUCCCCGGUGAUCACUCAUCAUUUCCACCAAUUGUUCAGACUCAAUACGCGAUCUCAUAGCAAUAACCUUCUUCAAAUACGCCACGUAAACUUGCAAUCCCUCUUCCUCCAAUGCCAAUGGCGGAUACAGCCUUAUAAACCUCAAAACCUUUGAAUGAUCACGCUUAUCAACUGCUUCCCCUAAUUUCCUCCUCACAAUUCCUUCAAGCUGCUUCUUCGAAGCGAGCAACUGCUCUCUCUGAUCCGAAGCAGCUGAAUCCUUAUACUUCGCAUCAAGCUGAAGAAAUGUCUGUACAAAAACCGCAGCAGAUUCAUAAUCCUCCGAAUCAAGCGCCUUCCGCACACCGUCAAGGCAAUGAGACCGAUCAACAAUCGCAUCAAUACGCAGCAACGUAUCAUUAACACGCGAUUGCGCUAGAUCUAGCUGACGCACUUUCGCGCUUACUUGAUCAGCAAGCAAUGACGUAGAACUCACAUUGGCACACAAAUGCUCGGCAUCUGCUUUAACAAUAUCGAGUACUUGUGCAGAUUUUUGCAAGCUUGACAACUGUUUAUCGAGGUCAGUACGAUGCAAAAGUAUUGUAUCGAGUUCUAGAUCUAGUCCCCGUUGAUAAGCAAUGCAUUCAUGGAGAAGCCUAGUCAUAGCUCCGACGUCAGUGAGAUUUCGCACUUCUUCUAAUGAUUCCGGUGUCCCGAAUUUCGAGGAAUAUGAAUCUAUGUUUGUCGAUUCGUCGGAUUCUACUCUCAGUGCCAUUUUUUCCCAGCGAAGUUUGAUGAAUCUCUCGAUUCCGACGGUAAUCGCCGGUUUCGGGUCGUUCAGUUUAUUGUGGGUGUUAUUUUGGGUCCAUUUGGUGAAGCUUUGAAUUAGUUGAGUGAAAUUUCAGUUAAUUGAGGAAGGAGGGGGAUGAAAUUUUAGUUUACAGUAAUAGCUCAAAUUUGUCAUAGUUACAAAAUUAGCCACUUUGCACAAUAACCAUUUCGGCACAUUUAAAAUAUAGCCGCGUAAUAGUUGUUGAAUAGCUUUGUUUUUCUUAGCUAGACUAGAUUACAAUUAAUAUUAGUUCAUACAAGUGUCGUCUAGUUUGGUGCACUAAAGUUUCCAUUAUAUACUAGGUUCAUGAAAGAGUAUCAAUGCAUCAAACAUAUAUUUGUAUUUAUGUAUGACAUACUCAAAUAAAUGCAAAUAAUGCAUAUACUCAUUAAUAUACAAAUACGAAUACUAAGUUUGAGAGAGAAAGGGGGGAGGGGGGUGAAAAUAUAAAAUACAAAGAGGGAGAAAAAAAAUACAAAAAGAAAAAAAUUAUCAUUAACAAGUAUUUCUGCCAAAGUAGUCAUUUAUCAUCCAUGCUCAAAGAGUGCUGAAACUUACACAAGAGUGUAUUGUACGCAAUCUUAUUUUGCGUUUUUGCCAGACACUAUUUUCAAGACUUAAAUUCGUAAUUUCUUGAUCACAUAACAACAACUUUAUCAAUUACUCCAAGACUCAAGAAAAACAAGCUACUCUCCAACUACAGGGUGGCUAUAUUUUUAAUGGGCCGAAAAUUGGUUAGUGUGCAAAAUGGCUCUAGUUAAAUGUGUCCAUUUGAUUUAUUGAUCCUAAUUUUGUUUGUGUUUCUCUUUUAGUUUCAUUGUGUGAUUGCGUUAUUCUUAGUUCAUUUUAUAUUUUCUUUCUUUUUAUUUUGACAUAAAUGUUAUUCUAAAUAGAUAUAUACUUAAAACCUUGCUUUUAAGAUUAUUUGAUAUUGUAGAAUUGUGAGAAGAAUAAGAGAUAUUUUUAUGUGAAUAAAUACUUCAAUAUCGAUCAUUUUAGUGAUCCUAAAAACUAACAACUAGUGAAGCUAGUAGAAUACAUGCUAACCAUUUGUAUGGCUAUAAAAUUAUUAAGAAUUGGAAUCUAAAUUUUCUAAAACAACAUUUGUAGUUAUGAAACUUUUCAAUAGUUAAAGAAAUAGAUACAGAAAUGUAUUUUUCUUUUUGAACAAACUAAUGAAGAAACGUCAAAUAAAAGUGAAAUGAGUUAGGGUGUAUUGUUUUUUUUUUGGAUAGACUUUAAAAAGGGUCACAUGAAAAAGAGAAAAAUAAAUAUUAUUUAUAUUUUUUGUUUAUAUUGUUCUUUUUUCACAUCAUAUACUGGGUUAGCUAUCAAUAUCAAAUAUAAAUAUUAUUCUUGAAAGCCAAAUAAUCAAUCUCAGGAAUCAAAUCAAACAAUUAGUAUAUUGUAUUCAACCUUCAUAAAGUGGGAAAGUGUCAUUCUUUUCGGUAUCAAGUCACUAAUUAUCUUUGUUUACCAAAAAUAAAGCAACUUAUCUUUCUUUUCUUUCCCACUAUUUUGGAAAAUUCAUGGCACAAGGAACUUCUUGAUUAAGAAAUAAAAAAAGCUAGAAGUUCCAAAAAGCAAUAUGUGGAAUUAUCUUUUAUUUCAAAGAAUAGGUUUUAUUCAUAUACUUUAUAUUUGUUCGAAGUUUUUUUUUUUUUUUGUUUCCCAAGGUAUUCCCACGGCCGGUAGCCGUGAGCCGUGAGACUAAUCCUGCAUUUCUCUGUCAGCGCACUAAGCGAUAGGGAACCGGCUACAAGCCAUGAGACUAAUCCUCCAUUCCUCUUUCAGCGCACUAAGCGGUAGGGAACUGACCACAGAAUUUGCUCCAUUCGCCAGAGACGGGGAUCGAACCCCUGACCUCUUGCUUGAGGGACAUGGCGCUGAACCACCAUGCCAACUCUAGUGGUUUUGUUCGAAGUUUAUUCUCACAAAUAUAGUCAAUUCUUGUUUAGAGAUAGGCAGAUAGCAAAUUAAAUCCUAAAAUUUUGUCUCGAUAGGACUUGUAUUUUUAUCACGUGCUAUGAAAUUCAUGAAUGGAGCAAUUAAUGUAAGGUUAUUAAUUUAUUUUUUAAUGUGACGAAUCUUGUAUGUAUUCUUUACAAAAGGAAUUUAUCCAUUUUUAGGGAUUUCAAAGGGGCAUGAAAAUACAGCAAAACUCCGAAAUUAAAAGAAAUGUAAUUUCAAUUCCUUCAUAAUCGAAAGCCAAUUCUAUUUUUGCUAGAGACAUUUGAUAGAUAAUUGAACCCUAUGUUAACCAUUAUUUUCAUAUCCAUAUCCAUAAUAAUAUGAAGAGAAAGUCUGACUUCAAAUUGUUUAAGAAUAGGGGUGUUUAGUUUCCGACCACUCUGAAUAGGGGUGUUUAGUUUCCGAUCACUUUUACUUAGAAUUAUUCAGUUCUAUUUUUCAAAAGGAUGGGGGAGAUAGAAGAGAAGAGUCAGAUCGAGGUUGAACCAGGAUUUUCACUAAGAAGGUUCAAAAUUUCAGGAAAAAAUCAUCGAAAGGGAGCUCGACAUCUAUUAUAUAUAGAUAAAAAUUAAUUUUAGUUACAUAUGAAUAGUAUAAUUUUCCGUCGAGAGAGGUUAUUCGCCCUUGGUUAGAGUGUCACUUUAACGUGGUAAAACAUGAUGAAUACAUGCAUAUGGCAAGUGUUGGGAGAUUGUUGAGUAAAGCUAAUAUCCUCCUGUGAGUCUUUAACAAACGUAGUCAUGGCAAACCCCACAAGUCAACUUACUUAAAAUUUUCACCUUUCUUUUUGCUGCAAAAGUUUAGCUGAUCUCUUCAAAUAAACUAUUACUCUUCUUAAUUAAUUCCAGCUAAUAGUCCGUCCUUAAUUUCUCUUUACAUAUUUGUCAACUCACUACGUAUAUUGACAGCUCUAUGCACUAAAAUGCUGUCAAUAACCUUCCACUUCCAUGUGCCAUAACUGUUGCAAUUAAGUUUUGAGGUUUCAAAUUCAUGCUAGUACCUUCUUCGGAGAAAUGAUUUUAUAGCUUUUACUACUUUACUUUUAUAAGAAAUUUUCGUAUUUACAUAUAAUAGAGAUCUAAAACUGUCAUUUUCUUCUAUUCAAAUUGUAAGUGGCCAAGAGAUCUCAUUUCCUCCCUCAGGCAAAAGGAUUAGAGGAUGCUAUGUGAAUUAUUACGUAGGUUAGGAUUUCUUGAAGUCCAAAGUGUAGAUAUCAUAUUUACUAUAUAAAGUUAUAAGUGAUGCGAAAGAAGAACGAGUAAUCUAUAUGUGAACGUUAAUCCUCGUUGUUUAAUUUAAUUUGAAUCAAUAAGUCAAAUUCCAUAAUAUUUCAUGAUCAUGACCAACGAAAUAAAAAGAGAAAAAAGAAAAAAAAAAAAAACCGAAAAGCUUAAAUGUAAUUUUCUUGAUGGGAAAAAAAAUUAAUGUGUUAAUAUGGAAGAAUACGUCAAUUAUUUGUUUAUGUAAUAAUGAUAAUGUUUGGUCAAUUAUUAUGAAACACAUGACUUCAAUUAAGAAGUUUCCAUCUUGGAGACAUCAGACAAUGAAGAAUAAAAGACUCGCUAAACCGAUUGCCACAAUUUUUCAAAUAUAUAGUUAGUUACGCACUAUUAAUUAACUAUGCUACAGAACUAUCUUGUAUAUAAUUAAGCACCGUCAUGAUCAUGAAUUAUAUAUUUAGUUCCAAAAUGAUACUAUAAUGUUUUUGUAUAUGAGCUGUUUGGUCAUUGCAUGGCAGCAUGUUUCUGGAUGUUUCCAUUAGUUCUGCUCAAUCAAGUUGAUAAUUUAUUUAACUAAAUAAUUACAUCACAAUUUUUCCCCAUUUAUGAUAUCCAUCAUGUGUAAAGAUAAAGAUCAUUAAGUUAGUAAGAUUUGAGUUUUAAUUAUAUGUAUGGCCUGGUGUAAACGAUAAACAACAACAUCAAUAUAUUAUUAGGUGAACGAUAUAUAGAUAAAUCUCUGGAUAAAUAUUAAUUCAUAUUCAGAUUUUAAAAAAAGAUUAAUCGGCAAUGUGUUUAUGGUAGGAUCAAACAAUUAAUUGUCAUCACAUCAAAAGUUAUAGCUGACGGAUAUGAUGCUAGUUUAAUUUAUUUUGUAACUCAUUCCAUUAAGUAAGCACAUCAUGCCACCCUAUUGGAACACCUAAGUCUUGUCGUAAUAUUGCCGCAAGUAAAUCUGAUAAGAUUAAAUCCAAUUCAAUUCCAAGACAAACUCUUUUGGAUACUAGUUAGAGUUGUAUUAUAUCUUUAUGAGCCUUACCCGUUGUUGUAGUUAGAACUCUCUCUCUGUAUCCUUGUAUAUGUUAAAUAUAGUAGGAAUAAAAAAUUGAGAAAUAAUACUUACGGCAAGUUCUUGAUUUUAUAUGGUAUCAAAGCUUAAAGACUGAUGCGUCUCUGUUCAUAUUUAAUUCUGAUGGAGUUCAGAUUUUCAUACUUGUCUACGUUGACGAUGUUAUCAUUACUGGGAACAAUCCUUCAUUUCUUGAAUCCAUCAUCUCCAAAUUAGGUGUUGAAUUCGCCAUCAGAGACCUUGAACCUCUAUCAUUCUUCCUAGGAAUUCAAGUGACCCGUCACUCUACCGGUAUAUUCUUGUCUCAAGAACGUUAUGCCUCUGAUAUACUAACGAGAGCUGGAAUGCAAGCUUGCAAACCACUGCCUUCCCCCAUGUCUACUUCCACCAAGCUUCACAUUGGUUAUAGCGCCUCUUUCCAUGAUCCUACUCUCUAUCGACAAAUUGUAGGGGCACCACAGUACUUGACACUUACAUGACCUGAUCUCUCAUUCUCUGUUAAUAGGGUGUGUCAAUACAUGCACAAUCCCACUAUAAACCAGUGGGCAGCUGUGAAAAGGAUAUUACGCUAUCUUCAGCAUUCCAAGCAUAUGAAUUUGCUUAUUCCUAAGUCCACAUCCUUCUCGUUGCAAGCAUUUACUGAUUCGGAUUGGGCAGAUUCCUUGGAUGAUAGAAAAUCUACAGGUGGAUUUGCCAUAUCUCUUGGUUCAAGUUUGGUAUCUUGGUCAUCAAAGAAACAGUGUACAGUUGCUCGUUCAUCCAUAGAGUCUGAAUAUAAGGCACUUGCCGACGGUGCGACAGAGUUGACAUGGAUUCAGUCCUGUUAUUUGAACUUGGUAUAACUUUAUUUGAUGCUCCUAUCUUAUGGUGUGACAAUAUUGGUGCGGCCUAUCUUUCUAUUAAUCUGAUAUUCCAUGCUCGCACCAAACAUGUGGAAAUUGACUUUCACUUUGUUCGUGAUAAAGUUGCUCGAAGGGAUUUAUCUGUGAAGUUCAUCUCCUCAAAGGACUAGUUAGUUGAUUUGUUCACAAAGCCUUUAGCAUCUGAGAGGUUUAAAUUUUGAUGUUCCAAACUGAUGGUAAGCUAUCAUCCAUCAGCUUGCACGGGGGUAUUGGAACACCUAAGUCUUGUCGUAAUAUUGCCACAAGUAAAUCCGAUAAGAUUGAAUCCAAUUCAACUCCAAGACAAACUCUUCUGGAUACUAGUUAGAGUUGUAUUAUAUCUCUAUGAGCCUUACCCUUUGUUGUAGUUUGAACUCUCUCUAUAUAUCCUUGUAUAUGUUAAAUAUAGUAGGAAUAAAAAGUUGAGAAAUAAUACUUACGGCAAGUUCUUGAUUUUAUAUGGUAUCAAAGCUUAAAGACUGAUGCGUCUCUGUUCAUAUUUAAUUCUGAUAGAGUUCAGAUUUUCAUACUUGUCUACAUUGACGAUGUUAUCAUUACUGGGAACAAUCCUUCAUUUCUUGAAUCCAUCAUCUCCAAAUUAGGUGCUGAAUUUGCCAUCAGAGACCUUGGACCUCUAUCAUUCUUCCUAGGAAUUCAAGUGACCAUCCACUCUACCGGUAUAUUAUUGUCUCAAGAACGUUAUGCCUCUGAUAUACUAACAAGAGCUGGAAUGCAAGCUUGCAAACCACUGUCUUCCCCCAUGUCUACUUCCACCAAGCUUCACAUUGGUGAUAACACCUCUUUCCAUGAUCUUACUAUCUAUCGGUAAAUUGUAGGGGGGCUACAGUACUUGAGAUUUACACGACCCGAUCUCUCCUUCUCUGUUAACAGGGUGUGUCAAUACAUGCACAAUCCCACUAUAAACCAGUGGGCAGCUGUGACAAGGAUAUUACGCUAUCUUCAGCAUUCCAAGCAUAUGAAUUUGAUUAUUCCUAAGUCCACAUCCUUCUCGCUGCAAGCAUUUACUGAUUCGGAUUGGGCAGAUUACUUGGAUGAUAAAAAAUCUACAGGUGGAUUUGCCAUAUUUCUUGGUUCAAGUUUGGUAUCUUGGUCGUCAAAGAAACAACGUACAGUUGCUCGUUCAUCUAUAGAGUCUGAAUAUAAGGCACUUGCCGGUGGUGCAACAGAGUUGACAUGGAUUCCGUUCUGUUAUUUGAACUUGGUAUAACUUUAUCUGAUGCUCCUAUCUUAUGGUGUGACAAUAUUGGUGCGGCCUAUCUUUCUAUUAAUCUGAUAUUCCAUGCUCGCACUAAACAUGUGGAAAUUAUCUGUCACUUUGUUCGUGAUAAAGUUGCUCGAAGAGAUUUAUCUGUGAAGUUCAUCUCCUCAAAGGACCAGUUAGCUGAUUUGUUCACAAAGCCUUUAGCAUAUGAAAGGUUUAAAUUUCGAUGUUCCAAACUGAUGGUAAGCUACCAUCCAUCAGCUUGCACGGGGUAUUGGAACACCUAAGUCUUGUCGUAAUAUUGCCGCAAGUAAAUCCGAUAAGAUUGAAUCUAAUUCAACUCCAAGACAAACUCUUUUGGAUACUAGUUAGAGUUGUAUUAUAUCUCUAUGAGCCUUACCCUUUGUUGUAGUUAGAACUCUCUCUCUAUGUCCUUGUAUAUGUUAAAUAUAGUAGGAAUAAAAAGUUAAGAAAUAAUACAUACGGCAAGUUCUUGAUUUUAUACACCCCAACCCAUCGUGGUCCUCGCCAUAAGGAUUUUCUGCUAACCAACUGUCUUCCUCUUAACACGUGUCACAUACAACAAGUUGUUCUUGGAAAUUAAACUCAUGACCCUUGUUUUGAUACCACUUGUUAAGAUCAAAUCUAUAUAAUCGUGCCAAAAGUUACACAUCGAUCUCUUUAUAUAACACCUGCAUGUUAAAUGUUUUUUUAAUGAACUUUUCGAAUUACAAUCUAAAUAUCUGAAUUUUUGAGCAAAAAACUUGUGAAAAAAUAUUUGAUGGUGAUCUAAAAUAUAGCAAGUCAUUACAAAUGUCAGAUAACAACCUAAUUUCCAACGUUAUUCGAAAGAAUAGUUUUUCGAAAUUUAUAUUUGGACAACUUUUUAAAUAUAGAGACAAAAUCUUAAUCGUAAAACUUAAAAAUAACAAAUCUACCUAAGAUUUUGCUAAUGCUUCUGACAGGUAAAAUAUAAGCUAAAUUUCAAUAGACUUUCCUUAAUACCACAAACCUUGGUACAUAAUUUCCCUUCAUGGAACAUUAGUGCUUGAAUUUUAAGCUUAAACAAAAUGAAUUCACAUGCCAUUUCGUAUAAUAAUAGCUGUAUCGUAAUAGGUAACCACUAUUAUAAUUCAGAACAAGAAAAGAAUAUUGCAUGCAUGUUCAGAUGAGGUAAUGUAAAUUAUCAGGAUUUAGGGAUUUUGAGUAUUCAUGAAACACACAUAUUGACGCUCAAAGUUUUAAGAUUCAGCUUGAAACCAAAGCACCCAGCUAUCUUCUUGAUUUCAUGGGUGUUUUUUUUUUAAGCUUAUACCAAUUUUUAUACUUUUUUACAUAAUUAUACAUACUUUGUAUCAAAUUUAAGGGGUGCCGAAGCAACAAAAAAAUGCAUAUAGGUCCGCCCCUGAUAGAGGUAGAGUCUAAUAGGACGAGGGUGUUCAUCCAAAUCUCUAAUAACGAAAAAAUAUUGUACGAUUUUUGAAUGUUUAAAAUUAUUUUUAGAUAUAUAUUAUAUACUUCCUGAACUCUCUUUAUUUUCUUGUUUAUUUACUUCUUUAUAUUUAAUUCCCUUGAUGAAAUUCUGACUGCACCACCAUAAUAUAAACCUAUAAUAAGUCAUCAAAAACAGAAACAACGCGCAAACAAUUAUUCUAGUCCACAAUGAUUAUGAAUAAACUAAGCUUUAAUUUAAUUUCCAGCUCAACAAUUAGUGUUGCCCAAUUGCCCAUCUUCCUAUAAUGUUCACAAAUAAAUAAAUAAAUAAAUAAACAAUAAUUCCCUCUCUAUAGUCCACCUAUAAAAACACUCCUAAACCAAUCCAACAAAUCAUCAUAUCUUACUCAUUUCUCUUCAACAAAAACUUUCAUCUAAUUUGAAAAUGGCUAAUUCCCAUUUACUUCUAAUUUCCAUUUUAAUUAUGGGCAGUUUAGUGGCUGCCUUAGCUGCUGGUAAUUUUAAUGACCUUACAGAAAUUACUUGGGGUGAUGGACGUGGUAAAAUAUUAGAAAAAGGCAAAGGCCUAUCUUUGUCACUUGAUAAUUAUUCCGGGUCGGGUUUUCAAUCCAAGCGUGAAUAUCUUUUUGGAAGAUUCGACAUGCAACUCAAACUUAUCCCUGGAAAUUCUGCUGGCACAGUCACCACCUUUUUUGUAAGUCAUUCCACUUUUUCUCAAGUCGAAUUAGUUGAUUGUAAAUAACUGAUAAACGUGUUGAAAAACAUUUUUGAGUCAUUUGAUUUAGUUGAUCGUAAAUAAUUGAUAAACGUGUUGAAAAACAUUUUUGCAGUCUUUUUGUAUAAUUACUAAUUGUUUUUGCCGUUGUAAAAACUAGUGGAGUAAUCACUACUAAGAAAAUCACUAUUUUUCUUUUGAAUUCGUAUGAAAAAGGUUUGGUGGCUAUUUCCACUGAUAUAUUUUGAUUGAAUCAUGAGGAAACAGAAAAAAGUAAUGUUAUAAGAUAGGGACUAUUAAUUAAGUGAUCAUUUAAAAAUCAAUUUUAUUUUCAACUUCUAUAUACAGUAAGAAACUUAUUUUUAGUGUUCUAUAUACAGUAUAGGUAAGAAACCUACUUUUAGCGGUGAAAAUUCCAUAAUUACUUUCAUUAAUUUUGUACUAUAUGUUGUAGAUUAUUUUUUUCUUUAUGCUUAUUGUUGAUUUGAGAUGAUCAGAGAUGUGUGAAGAUCGUAUUAGCAACAUAAAUUUUCACAUGAAAAAUUAGAAAGGUUCUCCUUCUUUCAAUCAGAAUCUGGAAGUGCAUCUCAAUAAAAUUAGUGGCUUAAAUCAAACUUUAAUAAAAGGCCACAAAUAUAUACACAUACAUAUAAAAAUAAUAUUAUAAUAAUUUAGAAUUAUCUUUAUUGUUCUUGCAUAUUAGUUAUUUUUUUGUGCAAUAUUUUUAAAAAAUAUAUAACCUUUAACUUCACAUAUUAAUAUAUGAUUAUUAAUAAAAUUAAAGAUUAAUUCUAGUUGAUAAGAUAUUAGUUGUUUAUUUGCAAUACAUUAACUUGUAUGUUUUUGUUAAAACUUUAUUUAUUAAUAUGAAGUUUGAGUUAUUUAAUUCAAUGUUCUAAAAUAUUUCUAGUAAAAAUUAGAUAGUUUUUUCUUUCUUUUGAUUUUUAUAUAAUUUUUUUAAAACAUACUUCACAAUCUUCAUUAUUAUUUCAAGUUAAGUUGAAAUCAUAAAAUUUACUAUUAAAAAUUUUGAGGCCUCAAAAUUUUGAGCGGCUAAAGCGAUCUACUAGUCUUAUCCUUAAUCCACUCCUAAAAUCUAUUUUCUACUAUGCAUUUUUCCAGUGAUUAUGUUUACAACACAAAUUUCUAUGUCUAAUAGGGAGUAACUAAGUUGUGCAUGUUAAUUUGUGUAGCUAUCAUCACAAGGAGCAGGACAUGAUGAGAUUGAUUUUGAGUUCUUGGGUAAUGUGACUGGAGAGCCUUACACAGUGCACACCAAUGUUUAUUCUCAAGGAAAGGGAAACAAAGAACAACAAUUUCACCUUUGGUUCGAUCCAACUACAGCAUUUCACACUUACACCAUUAUCUGGAACUCUAACCGCAUAGUGUAAGUCUACUUACAUAUAUAUAUAUAUAAUCGCAUUAUUAUACAUCAUCUAUCUUAUAUUUCAUUUAUAUAUUUUUUUCGUUUAAAAAAGAAUGAUAUACUACUUAUAUAUUCAUUUGUUCUAAACAGAAUAAUGUAUUUUAAAAUCUGAAGAUAGCUUAAUUAACUUGAACUUCUCAUUUACCCAUUGAUAACAGUAGUUUUGUGUUAUAAUAUAUGCUGUACUUAAAAUCACAAAUUUCAAAGUCACUACUCAUUCUGAUGGACGGAUCUAUUGGAAAUUGGCUAGACGAAAACUUCUUUGACCGACUUUUUAUUGAAAAUACCUUAACGACAGGCCAAUUUUUUAUGAGAUAUCCAUUAGAAACUAGCGUAUUUUUUAAAGUGAGUUUUAUAUUGCAACAUGCCAACACAUAUAUUACUAAUUACUACCAUAUUUGAGAUUACAAUCAAACGACAUGUGUCAUAUCACUAUAUCAGGGGUGGAUCUAAAGUGUGUCUCAUAAAUUCACAUGAACUUAAUAACUUUUCCUCAAAUUUUAUUAUGAAAUUACUGAAUAUUUAUAAAUAUUUUACCAUGAAUCCAAUCACUACUUAUAUUUAUAUUAAUUUGAAUUAUAACCGUAAAAAAAUAUAAAUUUUAAAUUUUAGAUCCGUGUAUAUAUGUUACUCACAUCACAUGUUUCAUCAUGAUGAAUCAGGUUCUUGGUAGAUAACAUCCCCAUUAGAGUAUACAACAACCAUGAAACUAUCGGAAUUCCAUUCCCCAAAUCCCAACCCAUGAAAGUCUACUGCAGUCUAUGGAACGCAGAUGAAUGGGCUACACAAGGUGGUCGAGUCAAAACUGAUUGGUCACAUGCACCAUUUACUGCCUAUUACAGAAACAUCAACAUUGAUGGGUGCACUGUCACGGCCGGGGCCUCGUCAUGCAUGUCCACUGAUGCUUUAGGAAAUUCUAAGCCUUGGCAAAAUCAUGAACUCGAUGCUAAGGGUCGUAACAGGGUCCGAUGGGUGCAGAGUAAACAUAUGGUUUAUAAUUAUUGUGCGGAUUCUAAGAGGUUUCCUCAAGGAUUUUCUCAGGAGUGUAAGCGUUCAAGGUUUUAACGAAUCGAAUUUAAUUAAGUCCUAAGAUUUGAAGCUCGAUGGAUAAUGGAUGUAGCCUGGUUGGUUAUGGGAUUGAUUAUUUUUAUUUUGGUGGUGUGAAAUUCUUUAUUUGUUUUGUUUUGUUGUACCAAUAAAUGUUGGUUAAUUUAUUUUAUUUGAUUAAAUUAUAUGUACUUUUCAAGUUUAUACGUUUGUAGUGGGAGAAUGUGUCUGUAUUAUCAAUCCCUCGAUUUAAAUAAAAGAUACUGUUACCUUUAAAUGAGUUGUGAUAACUUCUAAAGGGAGCAAAUAUUGUUAUUAUGCCAAAACUUUUGAAGCAUUAUACUCAAAAUUAAAUUAUUACUUUACUUCUAUUAAUAAUAUAAAAAAGCUCACAAAUCAUAUAAGCUUAAUUACAUAGGAGUGCAAGCGAACUCCGCUUGUAUGAGCUUGCUCAUAUUGUCGGUCUCAACUCAAGUUUGGAUAAAGGAAGAGGGUUGUCGAGAGUUAAUUAUAAACAGUUUCUUCACCCCCUAAAGAUAAGAGUAAAGAUGAGUACAUCUUACCUUCACUAGACUUCACUUGUGAAAUUACAUUAAAUUUAUUGUUGUUGUCGUAGAAAAUGCAAGCAAAAACACAAAAUUGAGUUGACAGUAUUGAUCUCUUUUAUAGGGACGAUAUUCUAAAUUUUUUUGUCUAACCUCAAACAUAUAUAGUCACAGCUAAUUUUGUAAUCCUGGCCAUUAAUUCAAUCUAAAAGAUCAGACUUAUUUGACUACUUAACUUUUUGCUAAAUAUUUAUUCAUUUACUUGUACAUUUUGAAGUUGUAAUUAACGAAAAGCUAAGUAACCGUACCAAGAAUUGUGCUCACAAAUUACAUAAGAUACAACUUUUCUUUUAUAAUCAUCUAAUAGCUUAAACUCACAAUAGUAGGAUUGAAAAUGAAAGGUGCUUGAGCAACCCCUUCUUGUCACUAAUACAAAUUCACAUUACAUAAGUUACAACUUCUUUAAUCUGGAUUUCUCCAUUUAUAAGGGUUGAAUUUAAGACUUUUAAUUAACGAUAGAUGGAUUUCAUCCAUCCACUGCAUCUGUUAAUGGUGUUAUCUUAAGAAAAAAAGGUGAAAUUUAUGCCAUAAAUAGAAAUUGUAGUAGAGGAAGAAAUCUGGAUAUCUACUAGUAAUUUAUAUGUCCCUUUUAAUUUGAAACACCUAAAAAAGGACACGUCUUCAGAGUGGAAAUUUCGUACAAGAAGAUUCAUGAAUCAAUAUUAAAUCUAACUUUAAAUGUGAUAUUUCUACCCAAAGUCAACUCGAAUAAGGUUCAUAACACGACGAGUUCAUGGCAGGCAAUGGCAUAUUGGGUAUUACAAAAACACCCCAAGUAAUUUAAUAGUACAUAUUUAUUAAAUUUUUGUUGGCACUGAGCGGAAAAAAAAAAUACCAAUGUCACCGACAAUAUGGUCAGUUUUGAAAACGCUAGAAACGAUCUUUCAUGGACACAAAAUUUUUUAAUUCCUCAGUAAGUCUAGAAUGUUUGAACAGUUCUGACUAUAUGCCGCCCCUAAAAUUAGGAUAUCAACAAAGGUGUCGAUGCAAAUUUAAGAUUUGAAUUUUGUGAUUUUAUAUCUACCAUUUAUUGAGUAUAAUUUUAUAACUUUAUGCUCCACUUGGAAAGUAUCUGAGUAUGAAUUUCAUUUAGGUAGAAUAGUGUACUAAUAUAUUAAGAGCUACGGAUCCAAUGUAUGUUCCAACACCCCGUACGUCCGAAACCGCAGGCCCUCCAAAUCUCCAAACAAACAAAACAAACGCGUUACAUUUCAAAACAUCAUUUUCAAUCCUUUCAAUUAACAGCUAUUCUGCCUUCAUUUAAUAUAAUUCCCCCUUCUUAAAUCCUUCCUCCUAACUCUACUAUAUAUAUANNNNNNNNNNNNNNNNNNNNNNNNNNNNNNNNNNNNNNNNNNNNNNUAUAUAUAUAUAUCCAUCCAUCCUCCUUUCUGUCUCAAUCUCAACACACAUUCACAAAACAAUUAUCCAAUAGCACAAGCACAUAUACAUUGAUUAAAAAAAUGUUGCUGCAGCUCUCUAUUCUUGCAGUUCUCUUGUUAUGUCCUGUAUGGGCUGAAAAUUUCUACCAAGACGCGACGGUCACAUUUGGUGACCAACGAGCUCAGAUAUAAAGAUGCCGGACGCGUACUCGCCUUGUCCCUUGACAAAAUUUCAGGUUCUGGAUUUCAGUCCAAGAAUGAAUAUUUAUUCGGAAGAUUCGACAUGCAGCUCAAGUUAGUACCGGGAAAUUCUGCUGGCACUGUCACUACUUUCUACGUAAGUUAACACUCUUUUAUUCUCUUCUUAACUUGUGCUAGUGGUAACUAAUAAAACAUGUCCAAUUGAUGAAGUAAUUUUUUUUUUUGGGUGCUAUUUGCAGUUGUCUUCUCAAGGAACAGGGCACGACGAAAUUGAUUUUGAGUUUCUUGGAAAUUCAUCAAGACAACCUUACACGGUUCACACCAACGUUUACUCCCAGGGUAAAGGCAACAAAGAACAACAAUUUCGUUUCUGGUUCGAUCCCACCUCAUCAUUCCACACCUACUCUAUUGUCUGGAACUCGCAACGUAUCAUGUACGUUACAAAUUAAACAUCCUUUGAAUCUUAAGUCUAAACAGUUGCUAGAAGUACUUAGAGUUCAUGUCUGACAUUUUUCUAAUUGCCCAGAUUUUUGGUGGAUAAUAUCCCAAUAAGAGUAUACAACAACCAUGAAGCACUUGGCGUUGCAUUCCCAAAGAAUCAAGCAAUGAGAGUUUACGCGAGUCUAUGGAAUGCUGAUGACUGGGCAACACAAGGAGGGAGGGUGAAGGCGGAUUGGUCAAUGGCUCCGUUUACAGCUUCUUACAGGAAAUUCAAUACAAAUGCUUGUGUUUGGUCAGCCGCAUCCUCUACUUCGUCUUGUGGAGGCUCUAAGACUGACUCAGUGAACAAUGCUCAGACAUGGCAAACUCAAGAACUGAACGCUAAUGAAAGAAAUAGACUUCGAUGGGUUCAGCAGAAAUACAUGAUCUACAAUUACUGCACGGAUGCUAAAAGGUUCUCUCAAGGUUUUUCUCCUGAAUGCAAGCAUUCAAGGUUCUAAGGGAUUAAAGUCUAUGACUAUUGUCUGUAAAAUUCUCUUGUUCUUCUUUUCUAUUCUUUAAUUUUUGUCCUGGGAUAUCAGGAGAAAACGAACAUAGUGUAAUUAUUUGUGUAAGCAAUGUAUUAUUUAUUCUUUUUGUAAUCUUGAAAUAGAAAUAACAAUGAAUCAUUUUCCCUGCCAAGCCUGCGUAUCUUUGUCGCCAUCAUUGCCUUUAGGAAUCUCUUUGAACACACCCAAAGGUAGCUUCAUAGCCUGACAUACCCAGUGUGAUCCCACAAGUGGGGUAUCGGGAUGGUAGGAUGUGAUCUUACCUCUAAUUUCGUGGGAUAGAAAAGUUGUUUCUGAUAGACCCUCAGCUCAAAAGAAAUGUAAGGUAACUUCAUAUAGCCAUAUUUUGGUUAACUAUUGAAGGCUGUGUUGGAAAGAACAAGGAAAUUUAAAGAGAAAGUGAACUAGAAACAGAGCAAAAGAGAUGAAAAAACAACUCAUUGUUUGUAUUUUCUGAUACCUAAUGAAAGUAAAGAGACUUGCCUAUAAAUAGGCUCACACUAAAACUGAAAAAUAUUAUAAACUAGGUCCACUAACACACUAAUUACUAAUUGCCUACUAAUCUGCAAAACUAUCUAAAACUUGCUAGAAUAAAGGAAACUAACUACCAACUUCCUGAAGACUUGGUCAAGCUUUUUUGAAUCAUUUCUCAACACUCCCCCUUGAUUCAAAACUGCAAUCUCCAAGUUGACUUCUGAAGAACUCGUGCUUUGCUUGCGGAAGUGACUUGGUGAAGAUGUUUAUCGCUAGCUCAUUUGUAUCACACGACUUCUUUCUCAACACUCUCCCUUGAUUCAAAACUGCAAACUCCAAGUUGACUUCUGAAGAACUCGUGCUUUGCUUGCGGAAGUGACUUGGUGAAGAUGUUUACCGCUGGCUCAUUUGUAUCACACAACUUCAAAGCAAUUUCUCCGGCAGAAACAAGACUUCGAAUAUAGUGAUAGGGGACAUCUAUGUGCUUUGUUCUACCGUGGAAAGAUGGCUUCUUCGUCAUCGCAAUAGCAGAUCUAUUAUCACAAAAAAUUUGAGUCGCGCCAGAUGAUUUUUGAUUAAAAUCUGCAACAAGUCUCCUUAAUCAAACUACUUGACAAACUGUAGAAGUUGCUGCAAUAUACUCAGCCUCUGAAUUGAUAAGGCCACCACUUCCUGCUUCUUUGAACUACAUGAAGUCGCUCCGGAUCCGAGAUUAAACAAGAAACCAGAUGUGCUUUUUCUUUCAUCAAUGUUAUCUGCAUAGUAACUAUUAGUAAACUAGUUAAUGUGAAAUUUUUUACCUAAGAAUACUAAAUUCCAUGUUCUGACAUCCCAGGAAUAUAUCUCAAUAUUCUCUUUGCAGCUCCAAGGUGAAGUUUGCUUGGAUUGUGCAUAAAUCUAGAUACAACGCCGACAGAGAAAGCAAUGUCUAGCCUUGUAUGAUACAUGUAGUUCAAACCACCAACCAGACUUCUAAAAUAAGUUGCAUUUUCCAUUUCAGAACCAUCAUCAUGACACAACUUCUCAUUGAUAUUCAUCGGAGUAGUAGCAACAUUACAAUUUACCAUAUUGAAUCUUUUCAAAAGAUUGGUUGCAUACUCUCUUUGUGAAAAAAAUAUGCCAUCAACUUCCUGUUUCCCUCAAGACCAAGAAAAUAAUGCAACAUUCCCAAAUCAGACAUCUCAAAAUUCUUCAUCAUACAGUCCUUAAAUUCGGUGACAAUAAACUCACUUGAACCCAUAUAUAUCAUAUCGUCAACAUAAAGACAUACAAUCAGAAAAUUAUUUUUACCUCCUCUUUUUAUAUAAAGAGUAGGCUCAUUGUUACUCCUUUCAAAGCCAAUCUCCUGGAAAUAAGAAUCAAUUUUGAAGUACCAUGCCCACGGCGCUUGCUUUCAGCCAUAAAGUGCCCUUUUUAACCUGUAAACCUUAUUUUCUUUACCAUUAACUACAAAACCUUCAGGUUGUGAGACAUAAAAUUUCUCUUCCAAAUCACCAUUUAAAAAAGCAAAUUUAACAUCAAAUUGGUACACUGGCCAAUUUAAUUUCACAGCCAAGGCUAAAAAAGUUCUCACAAUUUCAAAGCGUGCAACAGGAGAAAAAGUUUUGUCGGAGUCGAUACCUUGUUGUUGAGAAUAACUCUUUGUGACGAGCCUUGCCUUGUGUUUUUGAAUGCUUCCAUCUGCAUGAUAUUUAGUUCUAAACACCCAUUGAGCCCAAUAACCUUCUUUCCUUUGGGCAAAUUUACCAAGUCCCGAGUCUGAUUCUUCUGAAUAGCUAACAACUCUUUUUCCAAAGCUUUGCAUCAUUUAUCCUCUCCUUCAGCAUCUUGAAAGAAAAUAGGAUCUGAAAUAAGUAAAGAAAAAGUACAAAAUAUACUGUCAGCAUAUCUGGGAUUUGGUUUCCUGUCCCUUGUUGAUCUUCUUAAUUGAGUUGGUUUAGCUAAAGGUUCUUCCAAUAUUGAAGAAGUAGCUGGUGCAAUUGAUGAGGUAGUCGAUGGACCUGCCAAAAAAAGAUUUGCCACACUAUCUUGAUCAACAAUAUCAUCAGAAGGCAACAAUUGAAUAUUUGAACUUUUAUUUUCAAAAUUAAAGUUCCAUCUUGCAUCUUCAUUAAACACAACUUUUCUAUUGACCGUAAUUUUUCCACUCACUGUAUUAUAUAGCUUAUAAGCCUUGGAUUGUGUACUAUAUCCAACAAAGAUACAUUUUUUAUAUUUUUUUUAUCAAGUUUACGUCGAUCUUGUGAAUUUACCAAAGCAUAAGCUAUACAACUAAAGACACGUAAGUGGCUUACCUUGGGCUUGUUACCUCUCCAAGCUUCAUAUGGUAUUUGAUUAUAAACUGCCUUGGUGGGGAAAAUAUUUAGCAAAUAGACAGCAGUGGCAACAACUUCAGCCCAAAAAUAUUUCAAUAUGCUUCUACCUUCCAUCAUGCUUCUGCCCAUUUCAAUAACUGUGUGGUUCUUUUGUUCGGCUACACCAUUUUGCUCUGGUGUAUAAGGUGUUGUGAUCUCCCGAUGUAUUUCAUUUUCUUCACAAAAGGAACUGAAUUCUUUUGACAUAAACUCAGCACCUCUAUCUGUCCGAAGUGUUUUGAGUCUACAUCCACUUGUCUCUCAACAAAAGAUUUAAGUUUCUUGAAAUUGUCAAAUGUUUCAGAUUUAAAUUUUAAGAAAUAUAUCCAACUCAUACGACUAUAGUCAUCAGUAAAAAGCCAAAAAUACCGACUUCCCCCUAAGGACUCAACACUCAUAGGACUGCACAAAUUAGCAUGUACUAACUUAAGACAAAUAAAAGCUCUCCAAGACUUACCUACAGCAAAAACCUUUUUACUUUGUUUUCCAUAAACACAACUUUCACAGAAAUCUAGAUUCUCAACUUUUGGCAAUCCAGAGACCAUUUCCUUUUGGCUCAAUAACCCAUUAACAUUUAAAUGCCCAUAAUGCAGAUGUCAUAGUCUAGUUUCAUUAUCACCACUAGCUACCAUAGCACAUUUCUCGAUCAUUGAAACUUCUAAAGGAAACAUUUUAUUGUUAGUCAUUGGAACUUUAGCAAUGGUUUUUCCAGAUUUCUUAUUUUUAAUAGUGCAAACACCAUCGUCAAAAGAAAUUGAGUAUCCACUAAUCAUUAAUUAUUCAAUGCUAACAAAUUAUGAGAUAGAUUAGGAACAAACAUCACAUCUUCUAAAAUCCUAGCAUUACCUUGGCUGGUCAUAAUGCUAACAACACCUUUGCCUUCAACCAAAAUUUUCUUGUUGUCUCAUAGCCUUACAUUUGAUUUUUUGGACUCAUCAAGCUUCUUGAACAAAGAUCUUGUUCCAGACAUAUGGUUCGAAUAUCCGCUGUCCAAAUAUCACAUAUCGUUAGGAGUUUAUUUUUUAAAAUAAAGGGUCAUGAACAACUUACUUUCAUCAUCAUUUUCCUCAGCAAAGCUUGCUUGGCUAUUUUCAUCCCUCUACUUUUGCCAACAAUAAGUUUCUUUAUGACCUAGUUUUCUGCAGUAGUUGCACAUAAACGUUCUGUUCUGCUUCUCUUCAUUUGAUCCUCCUCUAUCUCGACUUCUUCCACGACCUCUUCCUUGAAAUCCACCUCUGCCUCGGCCACGAUUAACAAAGUUUUCUAGCUUAUCUUUUUUAUAAGUGGACUCCCCCUUCACCUGAAAUGCCUUCUCUUUAUUUUUUUAAAGUGACCUUAGAAGCCUAUCUUCAUGAGCUUGCAAAGAACUCAUUAGUCCAUCAAAAGUAUAAUCAGAUAAGUUAUGAGAUUCCCCAAUCGUAGCAACAAUAUGUUCAAACUUUGGAGUAAGACUCCUUAAAACUUUUGAUACAACAGUUUCUUCAGAUAUAUCUUCACCAUAAGACUUCAUUUGAUUAACAAGACAAGAAACUCUAGACAAAUAAGUUUGAACAGAUUCAUUACUUUUCACAGAAAGAGUUUCAAAGUUACGACGGUAAGUCUGCAAUUUUACCGUAAUCACCUUAGCUGAACCUUGAAAUUCCUUCAAAAUAUUCCAUGCCUCCACAGACGUAGUUGCUGUUGCAAUUCUUGCAAAAGUUGUGUCAUGGACUGCUUGUUGAAUCAGGAACAAUGCUUUGGCGUCUUUCUUUUUAAUCCCUUUCAAUUUGUCUGCCUCUUCGUUAGUGCCUGCUUGAUCCACAAAGCCUGCUUCCACCAACUCCCAAACUCCAUGUGAUUUGAAAAGAGUUUUCAUUUUGAUACUUCAAAACUCAUACUUUUCACCCAGUAAAAAUUGGCAUGAAUGGCUGCGAAACCUCAUGAUUCACUGCUAUUUUUGUUUUGCUCUCACACUUUCUGUUAGAGUUGUGACCCAAAUUUUGUUGAUCCGGCCCUGAAAGUUUCGCGGUGCGACCCAUGUUUGUGAUUUUUCAUGGGUCUGUGGGUCCUAGGACUUAUUUGUAUGCACGUAUUAUAUAAGUGCAUUUAGUGGGUUGUUUUGGGUGUUUCAAAAAUACACAUCAUUGAGACUAUCGUCUCCACAAUUAUACUCCUCUCUAUUAUAGUGAAUUCUUCUGCUUCUAUCCGUGAUUUUUCCCGCAAGGGUUUCCAUGUAAAUAUGUAUGUUCUUGUUUUUCCUUUUGCUUAUGGUUUACUUAUUCUGUCUGAUUCAUACCACUUUCUCUUUCGUUCCACUCAAAUACUCAAUUGAUAUAAGCCUCAUGAUUUACUCAAUUUCAAAAGGAACCUGGCACUGAUACCAGAUUUGUUAGAAAGGAAAAGAAAAUCUAAAGAGAAAGUGAAUUUGAAAUAGAGUAAAAGAGAUGAAAAAAACAACUGAUUGUUUGUAUUUUUUGAUGCCUAAUGAAAGUAAAGAGACUUGCCUAUAAAUAGGCUCACACUAAAACUGAAAAAUACUAAAAAUUAGGUCCACUAACACACUAAAUACUAAUUGCCUACUAAUCUGCAACACUAUCUAAAACUUGCUAGAACAAAGAAAACUAACUACCAACUUCCUAAAGACUUGGUCAAGCAUUUUUGAAUCAUUUUUCAAUAAGCUGCUAGAAGGAAAUGAAUGUGAGAAGUUGGAGAGUAAAGAAAUGAAUACAAUUACUCAUCAUCUUUCACAAACAUAUGCUAUGACAAAAGGGCAAGCCAACAACAUCUCAUAGUUGUAGUUUAAUACAUCUUUAUUAAAUUUUUGUUGACACUGAAAGCGUAAAAGAAAUAAUAAAGCAAGGCCUAUAUCACAAACAUUGCAGUCAAUUUUGAAAAGGAAAAAAAUUCAUAAAUAACAUAUUUAAGGCCAUAAUUAUGAGAUUCAUAGCAACACUUUCAUAAUUAUCUAAAGUAGCAACUUGUAUUUUGUAUUUGAACAAACUGUUGCUAUAAAAAUACAUGUACAAAUCUUUUUACUGCCCAUAUUUAACUCAAAUCAGUUUAAAUGUAGAGAUUCCUCUUCCAAUUAAACCUCUUAAUGAACGUGAUUUUCGUUAUUUGUUACCCAGUGAAAUCAAAAUUCAAAUUUCAGUUUCAAAGUAACGUGUUCAACCAAAAAAAAAAUCAAAAUCAAAUUCAUCUGAAGCUUCUUCUGUUCAAAAUCUUCGAAAAUUUAAAUUCAACCAUUACCACUUUUAAAGGUAUGUAAUCGUAAAAUUUUUAUCUAAUAUGAAUUUCAUAAUGAACGUGAUUUUCGUUAUUUUCUACCAACUGAAAUAAAAAUUCAAAUUUCAAUUUCAAAUUAACGUUUUUAACCUCCCAAAAAAUCAAAAUCAAAUUCAUCUGAAGCUACUUCUGUUUAAAAUAUUCGAAAAUUCAAAUUCAACUAUUACUGUUUUUGAAGGUAUUUAAUCGUAAUUUUUUUUUUCUAAUAUCAAUUUCUUAAGUUGUUUGAAUUUGAUGAAAAAAAUUUCGUUCUUAAUGGUAAAAAAUUUGAUCCAUUACGGGUGUUUCGUUCAAAAUUUCUUUCUUAAUCAUACAAAAUUUGAAGCAUUACGGGUGAUUCAUUCAAAUUUUUUGUUUCAAUGAUAAAUUAUUUUUGAAGAUUUUGUAAGAGAAUUUUGGAGAAAAAAGUAAUGAAAUGGUAUAUUGAACUGAUCGAACAUGUCACGACCCGAACUGGGGCCUGGCCGUGACGAACAUCCCGAACCAUGAAAGCUCGAAAUGCCCCUCUUUAUCUGGUAAUCAUGCACAACAUUCAUAUAAUAAAAAAAAUAUGAAAAUAUAAUCGAAUACAGAAACAUGGUCAUACUCUGAAUUUAAUUUAACAAUGAAGGAUAAAACCUCAAUAUCAACAAAACAACAUCUGAACCAGUCUAUGAAAUCUCUACUACAUCUGAAAAUAACAACUAUCUGAAAACUGGGACAAGGCCCCCAGUAGACUAAAACCAUAAUAAGUAACAUAAUCUGAAAGACAUAGGCCUUCUGAAAUAAAGAAGGCUCACCAACUACACACACCACUGCUGUCUGAAAACUCUAUGGCUUAGCAGGACCUCUGAACUGAACUUUAGACCCUGGGAGGUAGAGGGGUCAAUACAAAUGUACUGGUACGUAGAGCAAAUCCAAAAUAAUAAUUUGUAUUCAACAUAUAUGAGAGAAAUUUAAAACAGUUCAUAAACAUAUCAUAUAGUAAGAAAUCUCAUGAGCAUUUUCGAAAGACUCUGUAAAAUCAUCUGAACUCUGUGACACUCUUUGUUUUACUUCUGCACUAGGUGGUAUACCCUACAAUUCUGUAAUUCCAUGGGCUAUAUGGAAUCUGCCAUUAACUCGGCAACCAAGCUCCCAACCCUAGUGUGCCAUAAGGGUCGGAGUCUCUGAAUCUACUACGCCACACGGCCGUCGCCAGCGUACAAUAAUAAUUUUCCCGUAUCAGCAAAUAUGGUUUUAGGUUAAGAGUUACUUGAACUCAAGCCUUCUUAUGGUAACCACCUAACUCUCUUUAUGCCCAUUUUUAACUCUUUAAAACAUGCAUUCUCUGAAAACAUAUUCUGAAAACAUUCUCUGAAGACAUACUCUGAAAACAUACUCUGAGAACAUACUCUAUUAUGGCAUACAUACUUAUGGUAUCGUCAUACCAUUGACUUGAAAGUCACAUCUUUGAGCCAUUAUUAGCAUAUUAGAAUUUCUGUCUCCAAAACAUAAAUAUGGGACCACCAUAUCAAUAAAUCAGUUCGAAGUACCCUUUCCUUAAAUACUCAUGUAAACACAUGUAUGCAACUCUCUUUGACAACAUUUCAAAUGAUACAAGGUGGUCAUGUAAAAAUUCUUAAUCUUAUGCAAAUCUUUCUCUCUUUAACAAAAUAUAUUUAUAUCAAGAAACUCCCUCUCAAAAUCUCUAAAUCAUGCUCAAAAUAUUAUGGUAUUUGAGUAAACUAUUUUCAAGCCAUAAAUCAUGCAUAUCAAAUCAUUCAAAAUAAGAUCACAAAUUUAAAGUCAUCACAACAGAGGGAUUUCAUAAUUUAUGCUCUCAAACAAUCUUCAAAUCUAAAUUUUUCAUACAUAUACAUAUACAUGUAAAUCAAUUUAAGGGGAAAGGCCUAAGGGCCAAAUCAACAAUGCAUUUGAACAUUUAUAUUGCAUAAUAAAAUCAUGUAUUUCAAAAUCCCUUUCUAAAAUCAUGCUUGAAAAUCUUUAAAUCAUGUUCUAGUAUUUCCAAGCCUAUGUAGUUUUUAGGAUAAACCCCACGUAUCUUAAAUUAUAAGAUCUGAAAUAUGGAACCUAUAUCUUGAUAGAUGAAACCCGGAUCUUGAUUUGUUUCUUGGAGAUCUUAAACUUAAGGCUUGAUUUUCUUGAAUUUCUUGUUCUUGGAGAAAACCCUAAUUUGAUCUUGUUUUGAGAGUGAAGAGAAAGUUUUUGAUGUUGUAAAAUUGAUAAUGAUUGAUUAACAACACUUAAGGGGUGAUUUAAUUAGUGUGAAAGAUUUUUGGAGUGAGAUAAAGACCAAAAUAUCCCUACGAAAUCACUUCCCAGUUGCUGAAAUUCUCAGCUGACGACCAAGCUGAAAAGCCGUCAGAUCUGUGACAAGCCGUCAGCUUUUGUCGUCACUUGGGAGUUGAAAUUGAUGGGUUUCUACCUAAGGCUGAUGACAUAUUCUGACAAAUCAUCAGAUUUGUGACAAGUAGUCAGAAUUAUCGUCACUCAGUUGCCAGGCUGAUAUGUUGGAGUAAAAUAGGCAUAACUUUUUUGCUCUGAUAUUGGAUUUUGGCAAAAUUGGUGGCGUUGCAAAAAGGACUCAAAUACCUUUAAUUUUAUAUAUAGUAGCCCCCCAGUUCUUCAUAUACAAGGAGUUAUGAUCGAUUGAAGUUGAUCUAAGUUUUGACUCUCACUAAAACUUGAACGAUAGGAAAGCUUUCAACUAGUCCUUGAGGUAAAGGACCUCUAUGAUCUCGACUCAUGACCAACUAGAUUCACACACUAAAUAAAUGAUUAACACACUAUAUUUGGAUUGGAUUUAUAGCUUUUGGAACAUCUACACGUAGAAAUGACGAUUUUUGUUCUAGCCCGAAAUGCGGGGUGUUACAGAACAAUGUAGUGAUCAAAAUCGAUUAAAUUGCUCAAACUCAAUUUUUUAUGGGUUCUGAUUCUCGAAAUUUAAGAGUAUAUUUGUAUUUUUGUAAAGUUUGAUUAUGAAUAUUUGGUUGUGUUCGAUUGCUGUUUUUUAUGGUUUUGCAUUUAUAAGUAAUUGUAUAUGUCUAUUAUAACUAUUCGCAGCCUACUGAAAUGUAUUUUUUUGUUAACACUAUUUAGGUGAAAAAUAGUAGCAAUGGAAAGCGUCCCAAUUCCUGUGAAUCAUUCUGGAAGGUGGAUAUAUGAAAAAAAUAUGAAGAGUACAUUACUGAUGCAAUAUUGUUGAGCAUGACAGCGUUAUACAAUCAACUAUAAAAUCUUUUGGCAUCUCACAUUAAUGUGGAUUUGAGCACCAAACGUAUUCAAAUUGAAUAUCAAAUCACUAAAAAUGUAGGACAAAUAGAAAUACAUAAUGAUUACUUGUAUAGUUGUAUAUUUGUAUUAGGCGUCAUAGUUAACAACAUAGUUUUUUAUGAAUUUGUCUAAAUGUAUUUGCUAAAAUAUAUAUUAUAACAACACAGAGUAAACUAUAUAGUAUAUGAAUACAUAGUAAAAUACAUAUAUGAAACAACUUAUGUAUUUAAUAUUAUAUGAAAACAGAGAAAAAUACAUAUAUAAAGCAACAUAUGUAUUUGGAAUUAUACGAACACAAGUAAAAUACAUAUAUAAAUUAACUUAAUAUAUAUAUAUAUAUAUACAGUGCAUAAGAAUAUGCGAAACCUUAUAUGUAUUAAACAUGUGUAUGUAAUGUAAACUGCAUAUGUAUUUUGAAGAUAAAUCUGAAUACUGGAUAUGUAUAUAUUGAAAUGUAAACUGCAUCCAUAUAUGUGUAUAUAACUGUAAACUUGAAUAAAACACAUACUGUAUAAUUAUUGAAAAUAUAUUCAACACAAGAGACUAAAAUGAAUAACUUUCGUUCACUUCAAAAUGAAUAACUUUCAUUAACAUCAAACAGAAAAUAAGUUCAAAAAACUAUUGCACUAAAUUACUAUCAACAUCCAGUUAAAUCUUGUCAAAUACAAAAUGGAAUAAAAUCAUCAACAAUCAUACUUCAAAUACUUCUAUGACACUUGUUAUGUUGCUUUCCCUAACAUGCCUCAAUGGUGCUUCAUCGUCACUUUGAGCUUUUGCUUCUUGUUUUCUCAUGCCGUAGUCCCACAAUAGUGAAGCAUAUCUUAUACGAAGUACGUUAGGAUUGAACUCAAUCGAAGGAAUGCAUUGACCAUAAGAAAGACAGUUUGCAUAUGUAACCAUAUAUAGUCCAUAACCCCAACUGCAUAUUUAAAGAAAAAGAAUACCCAAAUGUAUAUUUCAACAUUGCGAUAUACUAAAAAUACAUAACUAUUAUAAAAAAAUACAUAUAGGCAAAUACCUCUUCAUAAAUAGUUCAUAUAUAAAUGUAUUUUUCAUAUUUACAAAUUAGCAUAUGUAUUUAACAUAUAAAUACAAAUAAAUAUAUAUUACCCUAAAAUGUAUAUGUAAGCUAUCAACUUCACCAAAAUACAUAUCAGCUUCACCAAAAUAUAUAUUCGUAAAUACAUAUCAGCUUCACCAAAAUACAUAUUACCCCAAAAUGAUAUCAGCUUUACUGAAAUCCCUAAUACAUUUCAGUACAUAAAAAUACAUAUACACCGAAAAAUACCUCUUCCUCCUUAUCUUAUUCCGAUUCAUUAUCAGAAGAAUUUUUAAUAUCAUCAUGUACAACAUUGCUUGAAUCUUCAAUUUCUUUAGCUAUCCUUUUCUUCUCAUAUUUUUGUAAUUUUGUGGCUUUUGGAGAAGGAAUUUUUUUCAACAACAACUAUUACUUCUCAUUAUUGAAAAAUUAAAAAUAAUUUCAAUAACCUAAAAAUGACCAAAUUCAAUUCAACAAAAACAGUUAAGAUCCUUCUUCAACAACAAUAACUACUAUUGCUUCUCAAUGUUGAAAAAUUAAAACCAAUUUCAAGAACCAAAACUGACCCAUCAACCCAAAUACACACAAAAUGCAAAUCAAAAUUCAAAAAUAUAAAUUAAAAGUAAAAACAAAAAGAGCAAAAAAGAAUUCAUACCUGGAGAAAAUGAUGAAUUUCAAGAAAAAUAAACCCAAAAAAUACAGCAAAUUCGUAGUGAAAUUUAAAAAAAAAAAAGGGGGCUAAAUUAAUAGUAGAAGAAUUUGAAGAAGAAAAGAAAACAUAGGAUUUAAAUUUGAUUUUAAUGGAAUUCCUAGGCUUUUUAGAUGUUUUUUUUUUUUAAGUGGAUGAAUAAUUGAAGCGUAAAAAAAUAGUUAAAGGAAAAAAAUUUGAAAGAGAAAACUGAGAAAAAGCGUGAAAAAGGUAAAGUAAAAAACAAUUAAAGAAAAUAAAAAUAUAAUUGGCAUGAAAAAAGAACCAUUUACAUGGUAACUUUUUAAAGAGGAUCACUUUUAAAAUAAUGUUAUUUUUGUUACGCAAUGUACUUUCAUUAAAGUGUCACUAUUGUUAACAAUUUAAGUCUUAAGUAUGCUACUUCAUGUAGUUUUUCCUUUUGAAAACGAUAAAAAUGAGUUUUCAUAGGGACAAACUUCUUGAUCCUUAAUUCCUGUGUAGGUUUGAAUGGUCUAGAUUAUACGCCCCAGGCACCUGAAAAUAGAACGCAAUCAUUCAGAGAUUGAUCUAGAAUUUAAUUUUUACUGUGUUUACCUUUAAGGUUUUUAGUAUUUUCUCUGUUAUAAUUUGUCAUGAAUUCUUAUCUAUUGUUUGUUACGUUUUAUUAGAUUUGGUGGAAUAGCUUCAGAGACUCUUAUACUUAUUCUGGUUUGUCAUUCUGGACCCUUUACUUCACGGAGUUUCUUUUCAUCUAGACCCCUGAACCUAUUCAAAACAAGCAUUUUAAACACCUCCGACCAUUGACUAAAUAUAUGUGACAUCAAACAUUUUAAAAAGGAAAAAAGAAGAAGACAACACAAAAUAAUUCACAAUUCUCAACCCCAAUGUCAUCUUCUUCACCCUCCCCUGCCCCUCGAACGAUAUGACAUUAAAUUAAUUGGCUGGACCUAUUGCGUCCUUCACGUCAAGGCAAGUGUGCAACAUUCAACGUCAAUAGUGUUCUAAAUUUUUACUUUGAACAAGCUCAAAAGUCUAGAUAAAACUCCUGUAGAAUAUAGGAUUGAAUUGACAAAUCAAAAUAAGUACAAGGAGCUCCAAGUUAUUUUGCCUUGAAUGUUUACUUAUAAAUUUUUAGACCGCAUGGUUCAAAUGAACCCGUAUUGCAAUGAUGGAUCCACCCUUUGAACAACACGAUCAUACAAAAAACAAAAAGCCUGAAACAAUUAACGCGAUAGGUAGAAUAUAUUAAUGUCAAUCUUACCCUUUUGGUAAGGGCAUUUCCAAUCCACCUCUAUUUUAUCCUCUAUACUCUAUAUUGGGGUUGGGUUAGGGGGAGGGGGAAUAGAGGGUGCAACUUCAAUCACCCUUCAAAAUCCCCUAUUCAUUUUUCUCUAUUUUAUUUUUGAUUAUAAUUUUAAUAUUUAAACUGUAUAACAUUUGUAAUUUAACAUAUUAUAAAUUAAACUCGAUAAUUUAUUAAGUCUCUAGUAUUCAUAAUUAUUUUUAAUAUAAUAUUUUUAUUAUGUUAAUUUUAAAUUUUAUUAAUAUAAUUUUUGUGUAAAUGGUGGUAGAUGAAAAUUAUCUAUUUGAACAAUUUUUAGUUAGACACUAGUAAACUGAUUCACGUUUCGCGCGAUUACGAAAAAAGGUAAAAUAUCAAUAAUAUUAUUAAAUACAAUUUAUAUAAUUUAAUUUGAUGAAAUGUUUAGUAGACUUUUAGCAUAUGUAUAAUUUAUUUUGUAGAGGUGAAUAUUUGGCAAGUAAUUACCAAACUUUUAAUAAAGUUAAAAAGUUUCAAUUCUAAAUCAAAAGAAGCUAUAAACUUAUGACAAUCAAAAACUUAUAUAAAAACAAAAUAAAGAGAAAUCAUAGGGAGAAAAUAUGAAAAAAUAAAUAAUGUGACUCAUUUUUACAAGCUCAACCAUCAUAAAAAAAUAGAAGAAAAAAAUGUGAAAUUAAUGGACAAUCUUUCGAGUUUUUGUCGAUAUCCACUCCCAUAAUACCGAACACCACUUAAUAGUCUUCAUCUAAUUUUUUGACUGAGAAUGAAUAUAAUAAAUAUAAAAAACAUAACAACUUAAAAAAUAAUGCGACCAUUUCUAAAAAGUCUUACAAUACCUCUAUUUAAGGGCUAACAAUUAACAAUUUAUAACAAAAGAGAUUUGAAGAAUAAUACUCAACCGCAUGCCUACAUCUAUAUAAUGGAUAUUCCGUGUUAGUGUUUGGGUGUGUUCAAAUUUCUUAGUUUGUCUAUAUAUUUUUUAUAUGUUAAAGUUGAAUUUUGAAUUUUAGUAUUAGUUUGUAAUGCUUGAUUUUUCAAAUUUGAAUAUUUUAUUAAUUUCCAAAAAUAAAAGUAUACAUGUUUUUAGUUUUAACAAGUACAUUUUGAAUAUGAAAAAUAAAUAAUGCAACAUCACUCUUAUGACCUUAAUCAUUAAAAAUUAAAAUUAAAAAAAUAUAUGAAUCUAUGUUCAAUCUUCAUAACUCUUGUCGAUAUUCACUAUCACAAGUCAAUCACUACUAAAUAGCCUUCAUCUUAUACCUCAAGUCAAAUUUUAACAUGGAUUUAAUAAGUAUAACGCCAAAAGGUAAUGCAAUUAAUGUUUACAAUGUCUUACAAUAUUUCUAUUUGUAAACUAUAAUUUGAAAUAAUAAAUAAUGUCAUGAAUAUGGCUAUUACUUAUUUUAGGGGUUAUGAUAAUAAAAAAUUUUGGUGACUUUUUAGUUUCUUAACAUUGAAUAUUUAAUAUAAUCAAGAGAAAUAAAUAAGUGAUUUUUAAUUUAUUUUAAUCUAGAACAUAAAUGAAAAAAAAUAAAAAAAAUCCCAAAAAGAGAAUAAAGAUAAACUUACUUCUUGACCAAAGAAAAAUGUCAUACCUAUUCUUUUAUUCCUACCUUUAUUACUAGUAGUAGAUUGUAUAUUUUAAAAAAUAAAAAAAUUAUAUAACAAAAUAUCAAUAAAUUUUUAUUUUAGCAAUAAAAGAAUCAAUUGAAGAGUAUUUCAUGUUUUCCUUUGAUACAGAGUGUAAAAUUAUGUUAUAAAGUCUUGUUUUUGAAGAAUACAUAUCUUAUUUUUGGAGAAAUAAUCAAUUAAAAAUUCUAAAAUAAACAACAAUAAUUAUAUUUAUUCAUAUAUAUUUCUUAAUCAUUCAAACUUCUACUUUUUGAAUGGGUUCAAUCUUUUGCCACAACCUUUUUAAUUGACUGACAUAGUUUAAUAUUAGGUUAUGAGAUGUAAUUUUUUUUUUUUUUUUGAUAUUUUAAGAAAACAUACUCAAUUGAGGCGUUUAAUUAAGAAACUUGAGUUUUAAAUAAGAAAAUAAAAUGAAAAAUCAUGAGGAUUAAAAUUAAAUAAAUGUGAACUUUAGUGAUAUACCACAUAAUUUAAAUUAGAGAGAAUUGAAUAAAAAGAAGAAAAAUGCUCUAUUACUUCUAAGUGGUUUAUAUGCUCCAUUGCUUUCAAUAAUAACCUUAAAGUUUUUUUUAUGUCAAACAAUAAACCUUUAUUCAAGAUUUUCUUCAAUAUGUACACCAGGUUUUUCCUUAUUUCAACAUGCAUUAAAUUCAUCUAGCCAAAUAGAAACCUUAGUCACUAUCCAAAGACAUAAUAAAAAAUUUAUAAUUAAUUAAAAUGAGAUCAAAAUACCUUCUAGUAUAAAAAUCAUAUCCAAAGUAAUAAACUCAACUCACUAUUUUUCUCUAUAAUAACGGAUUCUCACAUUCUAAAAACUCCCUCAUAAGUCAAUCGUUUCUACUACAAUUUGUAAAUCAAGAAAGAAUUAAAAAAACAUGUGUUGCAUAGGUAGAAAGAACUUGCAGAAAAAUAUAAUAUUCAAAAGGGACAAAAAAAAAAAGAACAAAAAUAAAACAUGUGACCUUUAAAUUACCUGUUUCACAAUUGGUUUAGUGAGAAAAUCCAAACAAAAAAUAGUAAGCAGAAAUACAAAACUUAAGCAACUAUUAAUCUAAAAGGCGAUAUUGUUGCUUAAACUUGCUUUGUACAACUCUAUCUUUUAUAUAUGCAAAGGAAGGUGGAAAUGAACAUUGUAACAAUAUUGAAGAAUUUUCAGAUUAUGCACUAUCCCAUUUCAAUGGAGUAUUAUAUAUUCACUAUAAGAGACUUUCCACAUUACUAACUCCUCUACUCUUCCUCAUUCUUAAAAUUAUUAUAUAAUUAAUAGAGUUAACUAUAGUGUCUUUUGAAUUUUCUUUAAACACAUAAAUAUUUAAAGGAAAAAAAAACUCAAUUAAUGUAAAAAAACACAAAAAAGAUAAAUGACAUUGGAGGCCUCUAAGGCAUGCCACAUAAGAUGGACUAACAUUCUCUUAUAUAUAUAUAUAUAUAUAUAUAUUGAUUAAAAAAAAUAAGACAAAAAUACUCAUUUUGAACUUCAUAAUGGAUUAAUAGAGCAUUUAUGGGAGCAAUGUUUUAAUCUUGAAAGUUGAAUAUAUAUAUAUAUGUAGAAAUACUAAUUUUAUCAUGAUGUAAUAUUAUUUAAAUGUAUUUCAUCAAUGAUUCCACUUAUUUGAAUUGCUUAUUAAUAUGAAUAAUAGAUAAUAUUUGCUUGCAAUUUAUGUUAAUAAAAAUUUGGAGUAAUAAAUAAUUAUGAAAUAAGAAAUAUAAAUAAAUAAAAUAAUAAGAAAGAUUUAAGUUAUGAAAUAAAAAGUAUAAAUGAAAUAAAAAAAAUGGCAUGAUAUUAAAAAGAGAGAAGUUUUUUUUUUUUUAAAGUGUAAAUAGAAUUGUGAGUUAGAGUUGGUGUUCUCCAAAUAUAGAAAAUCUCUAUAUGUAGAGGGUAAAAUUAGGGGUGGGCGUUCAAUAUUUAGUUCAAAAUUUUCAAAGUUCGAAUUCGGUAAUCGAUAUUUGAACGUAGAUUCAACAUACCUGUCACGACCCGAAUCGGGGCCCUGGCCUUGAUGAGCAUCCCGAACCAUGAAGGCCCAAACGCCCUCUCUAUCUGGUAAUUAUGCACAAUAUUCAUAAAUUAUAAUAGAAGAUGGGGAAUUGUAAAUCAUUACGGAAACAUGGUCAUACUCUGAGUUCAAUUAAACUAUGAAAAAUGAAAUCCAAUAUCAACUACACAACAUCUGAACCAGUCUACGAAAUCUCUACUACAUCUGAAAAUGACAACUGUCUGAAACUGGGACAAGGUCCCCAGUGGACCUAAAAAUAAAUAAAUAACAUAAUCUGAUAGACAUAGGCCUUCUGGAAUAAAGAAGUCUCACCAACUGCACACAUCACUGCUAUCUGAAAACUCCACGGCCUAGCAGGACCUCUGAACUGAGCUUUAGACCUUGGGAGGAAGGGAGGUCAAUACAAAUAUAUAGGUACGCGAAGAAAUCCAAAAUAAAGCUUGUAUAUAAAUAAAAUAGUUGACAGAUUGUCAUAAUCAUCAUGAAAGAUGUCAUAAUCAUCAUGAAAGAUAUCAUUUCAAAACACAUGGGCAUUUUUGAUAAUCAUAAAACUUUUCUGUCAAUGCAAUUUCUGAGCGUUGUAUUACUUCUGAGUUAGGCGUCACUCUCCUAUGAGUCUGAUAUUCCACGGGAUAUAUGGAAUCCUCCAUUGACUCGGUGGAGAAGCCCCCAACCCAAGUGUGUCGCAAGGGUUGGAGUGUCUGAGUUUGAUAUGCCACAGGGCACUAGGCCAGCAUAGAAUAAUAUACCCGGAUCGAUAAAUAAUGGUUUUGGGCAAUGAGUUGUCUGAACUCGUGCCUUCUUAGAGGAACCACCUUAGCUCUCUUUAUGCCCAAUUUAGUCUGUUUUGAAACAUGAAUCAUUCUAGUUUCAAAAUCAGAGAAUCUGAUUUCAAAUAUGCAUUUUAUUUUGUUCUGAAUUAAUAUGGCAUUAUCUGAGUUGGUGUCAUCACAACAAGAUUUGUAAGUCCUAUUUUUGAGCCAUAAUGCAUCAUGCAUUGUUUUUUCAUCAAAAAUCAAUUCAGAUCACCCAAACAUGCAAAUAGUAUAAGAGAUUUCAUGUUUCAAAAGCACAAGUCAAAACUGUGCAAAGAUUAUCAUUCUUUCAAUAACAAUGUGGUGGUUCUGAAAUCUUUGUCAAACCAUGCAACUCUUUCUCUUAGAUAUUCAUAUUCAAUAUUUAUCAAUACAAACAACCCUCUCUUUUUGAAUUCAAAAAUCAUAUUCAAGUCAUAGAAAUAAUCGAAACAUUUCAUACCAUGCUUUUCAAGAUGCAUUUCAAAACAAUUCAUAUCAUAUGAAAGAUGAAAAAAUCAUAACAAGAGAGGAAUUCAUUAUAAUUCAUGCUCUUAGUUGACUAUUCAUCCUUAAACACAUGUAUACAUAUAUAUAGAAUUUCAAAUCAAUUUGGGGAAAGGCCUAAAGAUCAAAACGAUGUCAUUGAGACUUCUAAAACAUGAUUAUAAAUCAUAAAUCUAAAACCCUUUUUCUUAAAAUCAUGAUAUCUACGCCCAUGAGAUUUUUAGGAAAACCCCACGUACCUUAAUUUAUGACUCUUGAAUGAACUCGUGCUUUAGGGAUGCUAUUCAAACAAUUGAUGGGUGCUUCUUGUAGCCCUCAAAAUGGGGAUUUCGAAUCUCAAAGAAUUAUUGAAAACCCAUGGUGAAAUCUUAAGAUAUUUUGAUCUUUGGGUUGAAACCCUAAGAAGUGUUCUUGAGAGAAUUUGAGAGAAUGAGGGUAUAAUUUGGUUAUUGGAUGCUGAAUCUGAUGUUAUUGGGGCUAUUUAAGGGUGGAAAAUGACCCAAAUACCCCUCUUGGAAGCGGAGCUUGACUGCAGGAAUAGGCAGGGCACUGCCUCGCUUAUCGCCCUAGCUUACUGCCUCUCAUGAAAAUGGCUGUAACUUUUCAUUUAGGUAUCAGAUUUUAGCAAAAUUGAUAUUGUUGGAAAGCUAAUUCAAAGAGCUUUCAUUUGAUAUAUAGCAGGCCCUCUAAUUAUUUAUAUACAAAGAGUUAAAGUUGAUUGAAGUUGACCCAAAUUUCGACGCUCACUCAACUCGAACGAUAGGAAAGCUUUCAACUCGUCCUUAAGUUAGGGGACCUCUAUGAUAUCAAUUCAUGCUCAAAUAGGUUCCCACACUCCAUAAUUUAUUAACAUGCCAAAUUUGAUUAGGAUUUAAGGCUUUUAGAUCAUCUACGAAUAGAAAUGACAGUUUUUGUUCUAGCCCGAAAUGUGGGGUGUUACAUUAUCUCCCCCUUGGGAUCCUUCAUCCUCGAAUGAUGGGUAGGAAUGUUGAAGCUUAAAGGUAUGGAAUAGCACGGUCAUGGUGUGUUUUCUAAGAAAGGAUAUAACCGAUCUGAAACAUUUAAACUUCUAUCAUGAAACUGAAUUCUGAGUUGACUUGACUUUACUUGCUUUAAGUAGCUGAUUCAUGCUGAGAAUUUAGGAUUCUCUUGAAGUGUUCGUGAUCCAAUCAUAUAUAUUGAAUUGAGAAGUGAUAACUUGUGCAAGUACGAACCAUGAGGCAAUAAGACUUAGACUGUACCAGGGUAUUACACUAUCUGAGCUAAAAUACUUGGAAAAUCUUUUUGAGAUUAUGUGCUGAACUCUUAUGAAUUGAUUCAUGACUAAAUAGCUGAAUCUGAAACAUGAUGCUUGGACUGAACUAAAUUUGCAAUUUACAUGGAUGAAAUAGAUUAUCUCUUGGGAUGGUAAUACGCAUGAGACUUCGAAUAGUAGGACUGGGUGAAAAGGUGGAAAACUACAGUAACUUGUCUGCCUGACUAUUAAACUGAAUUACAGACUGAAUUAUACUGGACACUUAUACUUAACUGGAGUAUCUCUUCAUCACUCUUUCUAAAGAAGUUCAAAAGUUCAAGUAGCAUUAUGGAGCAAAGAAUCUUGGGCAUAAGUUACACAAGACAUCCAACUAAGGAAUCACCACAAUAACACUACUAUAUAGCAUGGAAUAAGGACAUAUAACUCAUAAACUAAGAUAGAAUUUCCAAGCUUUAGGCGAUGCAACUUCUUACUUCCAAGCUUAGCACACUUCUCGAAUACUCCCUUAACUAUACUAUUCCCCUUAAAUACCAUACUCAUUUGAUUCAACUUAUAAUUCUUAUAUGGACAUUGAUAACUCUUUCUACGAAUGUCUAAAGUAGCUUAAAUCCUUUCACUGUGAUCAAGCCUAAUUCUAAAUCACAAAAUACAACAUGCCACACUACGAUACUAGUCUAAACAAUAUGAUUCAAUCUUCUAUAUCCUCUUUAGAGAUCACACCCUAAGAUUAACGUGCCUUAUCACUUCAAUGACCAACUCUGAACUCUUACUAUGGAUUCACUAGUGCAUAUUGCGUUUCUCCACUUAAAUCCCAACAUGACAUUCAAGCCCAUCUUUAAAACCAUGUAUGAACUUCACAAAAAACACCUAUAAAGACAUACUUCAUAUAUAUUCUUUAAACCACUAUCAAUACAAAUCACAUGCUCUACCCCGAGAAUAUACACACACAAAAAAAUUUCUACUAACCAUCACAUGUAUCAAAGACUUGGCCCCAAAUCUUACUUCAUACUUAUGGCCUUAUCUAAAACAAGCAUACAAUGAUCUUUUAUCAACAAGAAACAUUCACUCAUCACCAAAAUCAUUACAUAAAGAGGAAUCACAAAAAGGUUAGAACAUAAGACCUUGAAGCAUGGAAGGAUACUAUACAAAACUUGACACUUAACUAUGGAUUCAUCAAAGUGAUCUGAAUUGGGGGCAUACCUGGCUAUAAGCAGAAUCUCACCAAUCAUUUGGCGUGUAGCAUGAGUUAUGGAAACCGAGCACACUAUACAACGCGAGUACAUGAGUCAUGAGCUGCAUGACCUCACUUUUUGGAGUUCAUAACUUAUGGACUGUGAUUUCGACUAUUAAAAGAACUGAAACCCCUUAUUAAGGGACUGGAAAAGCACCUGAUCCUUUAUCAUAUGCAUGAACGUAAACUAUGAUCAUGGAACCAAAACGUAAGGCAUGAGUAGGUAUUGGGAUAAAUGAAAAAUACAGAAAUAAGAAUGGAUUGAGCCUCACCCUCACCUUUUGAUGUUCUAUAUCAUACUGGCAUUCUACUAGAAUCUGAGAUCCUGACUUGGUUACUUGUCCUAUCAUCUCCCCCUUAGCUUUAAGCCAUCAUCUUAGGUUUGAGAGAUCCCUUAUUAGACUCUAAACUGAACUAUACUCACUGCACUCUGGGGUAUGGAAUACGACGAUACUUGCAAUUAAUAGAACUUAGCCCGAAUGACUACACCUGGAAGUGGAAAAAUCCACUACUAAUACUACCUUCUGAGAUACACUCCUAUCUUUCUAUAGCUCCCAAUAGUCAUCACAUAAUACUUGAACAUUUACUAACUUCGAAUCUUCAUGAGUAUCCCGAUAGUUGGAGUGCACACCCUCUAGCGCUUCAACUCUUAUUUCUAUUAGCACAACCUUCAAAAACUCAACAUUAGAUUCCAACACUUAACAUGGAUAUCACCAAGUCUUUGAUGAACCACUCUACUUCCGUCAUAGCCUACCAAUAUCGCGACCCUAAACUUAUAUUUAUCUACCAUGAGAAUUAAGAUAAUAACAAAAGGCUCAACACUAUCAGUCAAAACUCCUUAACUUGGCCAUUUAGAACACCAUGUACCAUCUAACUAGUCUUUCUCCACCUAGCAACUCAACAGUACCACUAGCCACACACAACAUGUAAUAGCCUUAGAAUAUGUCGCCACUCUAUAUCACCUUGGGCAUGCUUCUAUAUCAUACAUACAACAUCAUGCUUCAUUACGAAUCAAAUAAACUUCAGCUUUUGCGUACACUGUUCAAGCCUAUUAGAUCACUUCCAUAUAACUAGUAUCAUUAAUUAAGAAUUCAUUACAUCCACCUUCAUGGCCAUCAACUGAUCAAACUUAAUGUCUAGUGCUAAACAUGAUUUACAACCCAACCUUACGCAUAAUUCUCACUUGGAAACUAUGAAACAAACAUCAAGAAAUAUUAGUACACUAGAACUUCAUAACCAUAAUAAUCGAUCAUGACCUUGCCGUUCUCCUUAUCAUAACUCAUUAGCACAUACUAUUUCAACAAAUCAAGCCUACUAAUUUAUUCCCACAAAACAUACAUCAUUAAUCUCAUGCCACUAUUCUUACCACCAAAUUCUACAUUUAAAUUCAAGCAUAUAGUCUAGCAUUAAUCAUCUACCACCAGUGAAGAAUGCAACAUGAUAUACUAGUCCAUCAAAUUGGGAAAUUCUACCCAAAUACUUCAUUUUAUCUAGAUACUACCCAUAACCAAAACACCUUUAUGACAUUACUACUAUACCUCCAAAUCUACCUUCUCACAAGUAGUACUAGUUUACAACUACCAGAGAAAAGAAGGUUAAGGUGGGGUAAAGUCACAUAAUAGACAUGAUCAACCUUAACCUUAUAUUAUACUUCAAUACAAUCUUAUCUACACAAAAAUCACCCUCACUCUAACUUCUAACCUUAUGACUUCAUAUCAUCCACUUCUUGAUCUAAUCUCACCACCAAUAGGUCAUGACACCGACACUUUAAAUUUUACUACUACUCGGGUGGAAAUACAGUUCCAACAAACACAAGAACAGCAAGAUGAAUAACAAGUUGCUAGUGAAUCAAAAUAGGCCUCACAUGGCUUCACUAGACUUUGAUUUUUGUGUUUUGAACAAGAAAAUGGAAUGAAUAACAAAACAACUAUGCUAGUGUAUCGAAAGAGACCCACAUGGCUUCACUAGACUUUUUGUUUAAACAACACGAUAUCAAGAUUACAAAAGAUAGAAACUUGACACACAAUAUUUAAUGACCCAAGAAUACACAUCUUACUCUUAUCUUAACUAAAAGCCUCUUAAGAAUGAGGUCACAAUUUUAAACUUGAGGGACUUAUGACACAUCAAGGAGCUCCUCUCAAGCCUUUUGUGUGACUUCUGAAAUUUCUGUUAGUAAAUCUGAGAGCAUUAUCUGAGAACACCAUAGUAAGGAAAAGAAUUAGGAUAACUUUUCUUUUAUAUGGGCGACACCAUAGCACGAAUUAGAGUAUAAAGGAGGAAUAUUCUGACUCCAUAGCAUGAACUAGAACAUGAAGAAAGGAAAACAUUCCUAAACGCCUAGUAGCCUCCUGCUUAUAAGUAUGGCACACUACACACACAUAAACAAGACUCUACCCGAUGUAAUUUUGCAGAUACCCUGGGACCAUGAACCGUGCUUUGAUACUAAAUUUGUCACGACCAAAACCGGGGCCCUGACCGUGACGAGCAUCCCAAAACAUGAAGGCCCAGGAACCCUUCUCUAUUUGGUAAUCAUGCACAAUAUUCAUAAAUUAUAAUAAAAGAUGCAGAAUUGUAAAUCAUUAUGGAAACAUGGUCAUACUCUAAUUUCAAUUAAACAAUGAAAAAUAAAAUCCAAUAUCAACUACAAAACAUCUGAACCAGUCUACAAAAUCUCUACUACAUCUGAAAAUAACAACUGUCUGAAACUAGGACAAAGCCAUCAGUGGACCUAAACCAAAAUAAAUAACAUAAUCUGAAAGACAUAGGCCUUAUGGAAUAAAGAAGGAUCACCAACUACACACAUGCUGUCUGAAAACUCUAUGGCCUAACACGACCAGUAAACUAAGCUUUAGACCCUGGGAGGAAGGGGGUCAAUACAAAUGUACUGGUACACGAAGAAAUCCAAAAUAAAGCUUGCAUAUAAAUAAAAUAGUUGAGAGAUUGUCAUAAUCAUCAUGGAAGAUAGCAUUUAAAAACACAUGGGCAUUUUUGAUAAUCAUAAAACUUUUUUAUCAAUGCAAUUUCUGAUCUUUGUAUUACUUAUGAGUUAGGUGACACUCCCCUACAAGUCUGAUAUUCGACGAGCUAUAUGGAAUCCGCCAUUAACUCGGUGGGGAAGCCCCCAACCCAAGUGUAUCGCAAGGGUUGAAGUGUCUGAGUCUGAUACGCCAUAGGGCACUAGGCCAACGUAUAAUAAUAUACCCAAAUCGACAAAUCACAAUUUUGGGCAAUGAGUUGUUUGAACUCGUGCCUUCUUCAGGGAACCACCUAAGCUUUCUUUAUGCCUAAUUUUAGUCUGUUAUGAAACAUGCAUCAUUCUAGUUUCAAAAUUUGAGAAUCUGAUUUCAAAUAUGCAUUUUAUUUUGUUCUGAAUUAAUAUGGCAUUAUCUGAGUUGGUGUCAUCACAACAAGAUUUGUAAGUCCUAUUUUUGAGCCAUAAUGCAUCAUGCAUUGUUUUUUCAUCAAAAAUCAAUUCAGAUCACCCAAACAUGCAAAUAGUAUAAGAGAUUUCAUGUUUCAAAAGCACAAGUCAAAACUGUGCAAAGAUUAUCAUUCUUUCAAUAACAAUGUGGUGGUUCUGAAAUCUUUGUCAAUCCAUGCAACUUUUUCCUUAGAUAUUCAUAUUCAAUAUUUAUCAAUACAAACAACCCUCUCUUUUGAAUUCAAAAAUCAUAUUCAAGUCAUAGCAAUAAUCAAGACAUUUCAUACCAUGCUUUUCAAGAUGCAUUUCAAAAUAAUUCAUAUCAUAUGAAAGAUGGGAAAAUCAUAACAAGAGAAGGAUUCAUUAUAAUUCAUGCUCUCAAUUGAAUAUUCAUCCUUAAACACAUGCAUUCAUAUAUAUAAAAUUUCAAAUCAAUUUGGGGAAAGGCCUAAAGAUCAAAACAAUGUCAUUGAGACUUCUAAAACAUGACUAUAAAUCAUAAAUCUAAAACCCUUUUUCUUAAAAUCAUGAUUUCUAUGCCCAUGAGAUUUUUAGGAUAACCCCAAGUACCUUAAUUUAUGACUCUUGAAUGAACUCGUGCUUUAAGGAUUCUAUUCGAACACUUGAUGGGUGCUUCUUGUAGCCCUCGCAAUGGGGAUUCCGAAUCUCAAAGAAUUAUUGAAAACCCACAGUGAAAUCUUAAGAUAUUUGAUCUUUGGGUUGAAACCCUAAGAAGUGUUCUUGAGAGAAUUUGAGAGAAUGAGUAUAUAAUUUGGUUAUUAGAGGCUGAAUUUCAUGUUAUUGGAGCUAUUUAAGGGUGGAAAAUGACCCAAAUACCCCUCUUGGACGCGGAGCUUGACUGUAGGAAAUUACACUGGCAGGAAUAGGCAGGGCGCCGCCUUGCUUAUCGCCCUGGCUUUCUGUCUCUCAUGAAAAUGGCUGUAACUUUUCGCUCAGGUAUCGGAUUUUGGCGAAAUUGGUAUCGUUGGAAAGAUAAUUCGAAGAUAUUUCAUUUGAUAUAUAGUAGUAUCUCUAAUUAGUUAUAUACAAAGAGUUAUGGUUAAUUGAAGUUGACCCAAGUUUUGAUGCUCACUCAACUCGAACGAUAGGAAAGCUUUCAACUCGUCCUUGAGUUAGGGGACCUCUAUAAUCUUAAUUCAUGCUCAAAUAGGUUACCACACUCUAUAAUUUAUUAACAUGCCAAAUUUGCAUAGGAUUUAAGGCUUUUUGGAUUAUCUAAGCAUAAAAAUGAUGAGUUUUGUUCUAGCCCGAACUGCAGGGUGUUACAAUACCAUACUUAUAAAUAUCUUAGUAAUUGGUAAAUUAAACUUUAAUUCGGUACGGUAUUUGGUGAUACCAUUUUAAAGUUGGAGAUGUGCUAAUGUAUGGUUAAACUUCAAAGAAUAUAUUUAAUAAAGCUAUAUCUAUUAAAUAUGGAAAAUGCUCGUCUUUGUUAGAGCGCUCAUAGAGCAUCAAAUUUGGUGGAAGAUUGAGAAUGAGAAUUCUAGUUUUUGGUAUGACAAUGGGACCAAAAUGGGAGCAUUAUAUCACAUCAUCGCAGAUGUAGGGGAUAAGAAAAUUAAAGUUAGGCAUUUUGCAACUCUAAAUGGAUGGAAUGAGCAAAGGUUGAGUAAAUUUAUCCCUGAAGAGCAAGUACAGUUCAUCAUUGAAAUUAUCCGAUCUGUAAUGAAAACAGAUAAUCUAGAUAAACCAGUGUGGAUGCUUGAACCCAGUGGCAGUUUCUCAGUCAAGAGUGCAUGGGAGUAUACUAGACAAAAGGAUCAGAGGAAAGACAUAUUUAAAUAUUUAAAAAGUGAUAAGUUGACUUUUAAAAUAUCUUUUUUUCACUUGGAGAAUGUGGAAAUUCAGGGUGCCAGUGGAUGAAGUAGUGCAACACUUAGGUGUUAACAUGGUUUCUAGGUGUUGGUGUUGCACUAAUCCUAAAAUAGAGACAUUGUCUCAUGUUUUUCUAACCUCGUAGACAGCUGCAAAGUUGUGGAGAUUGUUUGCUAAUGUUGUAUGUAUAUACAUUGAAGGGCUACAGUUAUCACAAGUGAUCAUUAAAUGGUGGACAAGAAAAUGUUGUUCAAAUUUAAAGAUACUUAUGAGAGUUGUGCUAUCAUAAUCAUUUGGAACCUAUGGAAGAGGAUGAAUAGAUUAAAGCAUGGAAAGACAUCAACAUUUACUCAUUUAGUUUUCAAGGUCAAGCUGACCUUUGGAGACUCGGGAGAAUUCUACAUCCAAAAAUACAUGAUUUCCCAAUAGACUGUCAGAAUAUUAUGGUAUAUUUAGAGAACCUGAAAGCCAAACUGUUUUAUCUUCCAAUUUGCUGAAAACCAUCGGAGGGAUGUUUAAAAUACAACACUGAUGGUGCAUCAAGAGGCAAUCCAAGUAGGAGCACCUACAGUUUUUUCUUGAGGAAAUUUACAGGUGAUUUAAUAUAUGCUCAAGGAGAAAAAAUUCUGGAAAGCACAAGUCUAGAAGCAGAAGCCAUGGCAAUAAAGGAGGCUCUAGCACAUUGUGUGACAAAAGGAAUUACUAAAGUUAUUCUAGAAACGGAUUCACUAAUGAUGCUUAAAAUUUUUACAAAAGUGUGGAAAAUACCCUGGAACAUUGUUGGGAUCGUGGAAGUUAUAAAGGAAUAUUCACAACUAUGUCAGGUUCACAUCCAACAUGUAUACAGAGAGGUUAAUUGUUUGGAUGAUUGCAUAGACAAUUUAGCUUUUGAUAAUACAGGUAGACUUAUCUUUAAUUCCUUCUCCGAAUUACCAAGUCAUGCCAGAUGGAUUUUGAAUCUAGAUAAGCAUCAACUGCCAAAUUUAAGAAUCCAGACUAAGGAGAUAGUUAGAGAUAAUGAUAGGUGUCAAGGAUCCACCACAAUAAUUACAAGAUAAAUUCAAACAUUUUUGUUUUCUCGGUGCUGAUUAAUAUUUCUAGUACUUGUGUAGAGAAACAAUUCAUUUAAAAAAUCACAAUUCAUAAGGGCAUUUAUAGAUCUAAAGUCAUUGUACUUGAGCGAAGAAUUACAGAAGACAAUUAUAAGUCUUGUACAGAUUCAAACUUCUUUGAGUUGUCACAGACGCAAGUCAAAGAUACAGUCAAAUGCACAAAUAUAAAGACGGCGAUUUACAAAGCAAAAGCCAAUUCAUACCUAAAAAAAACUCCAGAAAUCCAAUUGAAGCAGGCUGUGAUCGGUUAAUCAAAAGUUUGCCGGAAGAUCGCUCAGGGAGCUCAUUGUUGAACAUUUUUGUUGCUGAAAAUGUCGGUAGGUUAGACGAGAAGGAAAGAAAGAAAAAUAAUAUGGGAAAGAAGCUUACGUUUGGUUCACAACAGAUCAUCACUUUCCUAUUUGCUCAAAUUAUGGAAGACAAUGGAGAGGAAUUAGCAGAGCUUCUGAUUCAUUUGCCUCUUCAUUUUCUUACUUUCUUUAUUAUUAUUUUCAAGGGCAUGUCACUAUUGGGCUGCUCUCUUUUGUAUGGACUUGGUUUUAUUUUCUUGUUUAAAUAAAUAAAAUUGGGCCCAUAGGGCCCAUAUUCAAUUAAAAAAAUAGAAACCUUAUUUAUUAUUCUUUUUGUUGCUUUUUACGAAUAUAUUACCCAGGUCCAAGAGGUUCUGGGGCUUUGAACUAUAGGUGACAAAAGAGUUUUAAAAUGAGGUGUAGGUGACACAAGUCUUAAUUAUUGAGUGGAGGUGAAAAUUACUUUAUUAUGGAUUAAGAAAGUUGGGGAAGUUUUAAAAUAACCCAGAAGAUUUAAAAUUUACACUUUGAUCCAAAUGUUAGUUAAUAUAACAAGAAACGGAGGGAAAAAAGACGUGUUUUUCUCUCUUAACAUCCGUUGUUGUUCUCGCUCUCUUCAUGAUUAUUGUUGCUUCUUUAUUCAUCAUCUUCUAGUUCAUUAUCAUCAUCUUCUACUUCAUUAUCAUCUUCAUCUUCUUCUUGUCGACCAUUGUUGUUGUUGUUGUUACCGCUACUGCUGCUAUCUGACCAAUUUCUUAGAUCAAAUUUUGUUUCCUACAUCACUUUCUACUUUGGCAUUACUUCAUAGGUGACUUUGGUAAGUAAAAUUAUGAUUUUUAUUCAAAUUUGUCUUCUGGGUUCACAGUUACUGUUGUUUUUCCAACAAUGGAUAGAACUCGAUCAUGAAUCCAACAUAAGCACCCACAAUUUAAAUAGAUCACUCAUCUGGUGCAUCAGAUGAGUAAUCUAUUGCAAUAGAAGAUUUAUUUGUUGCAACAUACUACUUAUCUAUUGCAUCAGACUGAUUGUCUGAUGCACUAGACUAGUUGUCAGACUGAUCAUUUGUUGCAUCAGACUGCUCAUCUGUUGUAACAGAUGAUUAAUCUAUUUGGAACAACACAAAUCAGCCCCUGCCACAAACCCAACAGAUAACCAAUAUAUUUCAACUCUCGUUAUUGCUACUAGAUUCAAAAUUAUUUCUUAUGUUCAAUCAUUGACAUGUUUGUUGAGAAGAUAAUAGACAGAAUAAAAAUUAAAUACACCCUCUGUCUCAAAUUAUCCAUCCCAAAUUUCCAAAUUUUAUUUCUCAUGUUACUUUUCUUUUUUCAUUAAUCAAGAAGAGAUAAAAAAAUUUCAUGUUUACCCUUUGCAUUAAUCAUUUUUUCUUUAAAUUAAAAUAUAAACAUUAUUAAUAGGGGUAUUAUGGUAAACUAGGCAUGUUAUUAAUUAUUUUUCUUAAUCAAUGUUCCAUCUCAAUUUUGGACGAGUAAUUUGAGACGGGGGGAGUAUGAAUUAAAACAUCAAAGCCAUGCAACAGACUAGUUAUCUGUUGAAAAAAAUUAGUUAUCUGUUGCAUCAGACUGAUUAUCUAUUGCGCUAGACUGCUUAUCUAUUGCAACAUAUGAGUAAUUUAUUUUGAACAACACGAAUCAACCCCUGCCACAAACCCAACAGAUAAAUCUUGCUAUUGCUCCUGGAUUCUAAAUUAUUUCUUUUUACGUCCAAUUGUCGACAUGUUUGUUCAGAAGAUAAUAGACAAAAUGAAAAUUAAAUAUGAAUUAAGAUGUCAAAGUUGAUCAAACAUGAUUUUUUUAUCAAACAAAAACAAAUAAAAACACAUAUACAUAGACUAGCUAAAAGAAAAAAAUAAUCUAAUUAUUAUUAUUAUUAUUGCCAAUCGGCUAAUCUUCAACAGGUAGUAGCAAUGCCCUCCUCAGCCGUCGGAUCUCACGGAGUAUCCUUGCUCUAACUGAUCUAAGUUCCCAUUGCAGGUCACAAACCUGCAUCCCAAGUUCAUUCACGGCGCCUUGUAAAAAAUCAACGUCCCAUACUGGAUAAGCCAUGGCUAGAACACAUAUGAAUUGAUAAAAAACGUAAAAACAAAAGUAAAGAAAAGAAUAUCCAAAUAUAAUACAAUGUAUACUACAAAUUGACAAGAAAAAAAGUUACCUGAUUUAGGGAAGAGAAAGUGGUGGAAGGUGUAAUAUGAAAGACAAGAUGCCAUAAAUAAAUAGAGUAGAGUGUAGUUGAAUGAAAGAUUGAGUAAUGAGGGACCUAUUUAUAAAGGAUUGAAUUUGAAUGAGUGCCAAAAAGUCACGACUGUUCACCCUCAUUUAUUAAUUAUAUUUUUUAUUACUGUGAAAAGUUAUGACUUAAUUAAAGUAAGAAGUAUUGUGAUAAGUCAUGACUUUUCAGAUUAUUAUUAUUAAUUAAUUCAUCCAAGAACCAUUUUUAUUGAGUUGUGACAACAGAUUCUAUAUCUAUUGCAUCAGAUAACUCAUCUGUGACAACAGAUAUACCAUUUAUUGUGACACAUAGAGAACCUGUUGCAUCAGAUAAUCUAUCUGUUGCAACAUAUAAUCUAACUGUUUACCUCUAUUUAUUAAUUAUAUUUUUGAUUACUGUGAAAAGUUAUGACUUAAUUAAAAUAAAAAAUAUUGUGAUAAGUCAUGACUUUUCAGAUUAUUAUUAUUAAUUAGUUUUUUCCAAGAACCUUUUUUAUUGAGUUGUGACAACAGAUUUUAUAUCUGUUGCAUCAGAUAACUCAUUUGUGACAACAGAUAUAUCAUCUAUUGUAAUAAAUAGAGAACCUGUUGCAUCAGAUAAUCUAUCUAUUGCAACAUAUAAUAUAUCUUUUAUUUUUAAAAUUAUCAUCAUAUCAUUAAUUCAAAUUUUCUAACUUUUUUAUUAUAUAAAUUAAAAAAAUACCUUUUCAAUAAUCGUUUCUUUAAUAAAUUAAUAACCAUUUUUAUUGAGUUCUAGCAACAUAUUGUAUAUCUGUCGCAUCAGAUAAACCAUCAGUUGCAAUAGAUAUAUCAUUUGUUGCAACAAAUGGACGAUCUGUUUUAGUUUUUUUGAUUUCUUCUAACAGCUGAUACAUCAAUCGUAACAGAUGGGAAAUUUGAUGCAUCAGCAACAUUGUUGAAUGUGUUUUAGACAUAAAGUCAUGACUGUUCACCUUUUUCUUUACAAAAUCAUCAUAUAAGUUAAUUAGUCUAAUAUUGAAUUUUUUUAUUACAUAAUAAAUAAAUAAUUUUAAAAAAUAAAUGACUGAAAAGUCACGAUCAAUUAUUAAAAUGAAAUAACCAUCGUUAUUAUUUAUUUACGAACUAUUUUUCAUAUUAAAUAAUCAGCAAAUCAUGUCUUUUCAGAUUAACCUCUGUUGCCACAAAUGCUCAAUUCCUACCACCAACCGUUGACAUGUGGAGGAUAAGGAAUAAUCAGAAUGAUAAUUAAAUACUAAAUAAGAAUUAAAAAUUCAAAGUCAACCACCAAACAUAGAUUUUUGAAUCCCUUGGGUAGAUUCGAUAUACAAAAGGAGGAAAAUACAUACAUACGCAAAAAAAAAACAUAACCUAAUUAUUAUUACUAUUAUUAUUAUUAUUAUUACUAUUAUUAUUGUCAACCGAAUAAUUUUCAUCUGGCAGCAGCUGGGCCCUCCUUAGCCUUUCUCCGAAGUCGGCCAAAUCCCUCUGGAGUUCAUCAAACUGCCUUUGAAGUUCCCGCAAGGACUUGAUAUGAAUCUUCUUAUACGAAUCGUCAAACAAAAAUCCAUGACUGUUCAUAUCCCUUAAUUAAAUAAAAAUGAUACUUUUCGUAUAUGUAAAUUAAAAAAAAAGGACCUAAAUACAACAUUUUAUCUUUUAUUGUAUUUCAGAAAUAAGAGAAAAUUGCUUAAAAAUAAAUCUAACAGAUGGAUAAUCUGUUGCAAAAUAUAUUUCAUCUGUUAGAUAGCUUACAACAUAUUGACAAUCUGUUGUAACAGAUGGAUAUACCUGUUUGAUUUUUCCGACAGAUAUGUCAUAUGUUGUAAUAGGUUGAUCAUCUGUCGUAACAGAUGUUUGCAAUUGUUUGACAAUUUAAACAGACGUGGCAUCUUCUGCAACUAGCUAGUCAUCUGUUCUAUCAAUUUAAGUCAUAAAUGGGCUAGGAAGAAUAAGGUGUGUGCAAAUAGAUCCGCUAUCAUAUGUGUGGGAGUUAAGUAAUUACUACUGAUAAGGUCAUCGAGACAACACACAUAAAGUACAAUGUUUUUGUGAAUGCAGUUUUUAACCGAUUAUGCACUAAUCAUUCAAACAAGAUCCUGCAUUGUACAAUUAAGUUUGAUGGGUUCGAAUUGAUAAGGCUGAGGGCCACAUGAAGAUAGUGUAGAUACCCUGUUACAAAUUACUGAUGGUUGUUUCUCGUGUUUAUACAUAUAAAGUUUUGAGAAGGGAUCAAUAUUUGGUGUCAUUGUAGAGAUCUAAUAACGAUUAAACUUAACUUUAAGCAUGUAUUAGACUCUGAGAAGGCCUUCGAAGCCUCGCACUAUAUCAAAUAAGAACGGAAAACCAAAUAGAAAUUCCCCUGGCCUAAAUUUAUAUGGAAGGGUUGAUCGAGAAAAUGAUUAUAUGCCAGAAAGAGCCGAAAAAGAAUGCCUGUGAGGCAAUAGGGAGUUGAUGAAAGAUUAUAUCAUCUGAGAGCUAAUUAAAGAAGAGAUAUAGGGUAGAAAGUGACUUCUAGUGAAUCUGGCCGAUGAAAUUAUCUUAAAACAUGAGAAAUCUGAAUCAAGUGCAAGUAUGAAAGUGUAUCCGGCAGUGUAAAUUCGUCUGUUGUCUCUCUGAAAGAAGAAUAAUGCAGAUGGAUGCUUUUCUAGGGAGCUGCGACUAGGUAGCGUGGUCGGGAUUAUCACCUAGAUAGAAAAUAGUAGAAGACCAAGAAAGUAGCCUUACAGGCAUCGACGAUUGAAAUUAUUUACAAUAAGUCUAGAAAACUUGGGCCUACAGCAACUGCAGUUAAAGUAAGGAAUCUAAGCGAAGGCGGCAAUUUCUAAAUUUUAAAUUGCAUUCCAUGCCUUUUUGCUUGUAGUUUCGAUUAGGUCCACUGUUAUUGACCUGAUCGGAACCAUAAACGAGAUUAAAAGAUAGAUUGAAUGUUAUUACUUCCUUACCAAUAUGGAUUAAUUGAUUGUAUUUUCUUGCCUUAGCAUGCUUUCAACAUUUCUUGGAGAAGAUCAGAGGCUUGUUGUAGUAUGUGAAUCCCAAUAAUUUUCAAUCUUGCCCCCAGCUUGCCGAUUUGGUAUCCAAGAUUGUCGUUGCUGUCGUUGAAGUUGGUAUAGAGUUCCUGCUCUCUUGUGAGCUCGAUCAGGAACGCUACCUUCAAAGUUGUGGCAUUAAAGAAGGCCUUCAAAACACUUUCAUUAGAAGCCUUAAAGGAUACAUGGAGGGUCGUUAUGUAUGUUUUAGGUCAAAAUGUAUUGAUACACACUCAAGAUGUGGUCACAACCAUUGAACAACUCACUUUUAUUGAGGUUUUCUCAAUGCAGCUUGCUCAAUCGACCUUCAAAGGAUUUGAUAAAUUAAUAAGAAAGGAGUUACUUAAUGUUUGAUCUAAACUGACUCUACCAAGCCUAUCAAAUAUUACGUAACUCCAGCCUCAUUAUCCUAUCAAAAAACUUUGCUCGAGUUAGUAGACAAAUCAAAUGAUCUCGAUCUGUCAGCCUUUCUGCUGAUCACUUUUCUCCAAUAUAGUUGACAAGAUAUCCGUCAUAUAAAAGUCUACACCAUCGUCAGAAAUGCUUGCCAGGACGCAAGUCUUCAGAAGGCAUCAACAGUAAUCUCUCAAUAUCAAGUGAUAUUGAGAUAUUAUUAGUCAUGCCUUCUAAAUACUUUCUCUACGACAAGAAUUUCUAUUGAUGACAAGAUAUUCGCCAUGCAAAAGUCUACACCGUUAGCAGAAAUCUUGCCGGAGAGAAAGUCUUCAGAAGGCAUUAUUAGUAAUCUCUCAAUAUCAAGAAAGUCUUGUACGAAAGUCUUCAGAAUACAUUAAAAAAUAAGUAAGUUUUCAGCAAUGACUACACAUAAUUACGGCAUCAACAACCUCACUAGAUUGACUCCUCAUACAAAAGAAUAGGCAGAAAUAUUUUUCUUUGCAUUCGCAUUUUAUUUGUUUAACAACCAAACAAAUAUGAACUAAAUCUAGCAUUCAAAGAUGAGCUAUUGCUAGAUUUAGUUCAUCUUUAUUUGGUUUGUUAAAUAAAUAACAUGCGAAUGCAAAUGAAAAUAUUUUUGCCUUUUCUUUUGAAUGAGGAGAGAAUCUAGUGAGGUUGUUGAUGGUAAUUAUGUGUAGUCAUUGCUCAAAAAUUCCUUAUUUUCAAAUGUCUUCUGAAGACUUGACUUCUUUGAUAUUGAUAGAUUAUUAAUAAUGCCUUCUGAAGACUUUCGAUCUGGCAAGAAUUUCUGUUGAUGGUGUAGGCUUUUGCAUGGCAGAUAUCUUGUUAUCAACAUAAAUUCUUUCCAUAGCGAAAGUAUUGGGAAGGAAUGACUAGGAAUCUCUCAAUAUCACUUGCUAUUGAGAGAAUACUGUUUAUGCCUUCUGAAGACUUGCGCCUUGGCAAGCAUUUCUGGUGAUGGUGUAGACUUUUGCAUGACAGAUAUCUUGUCAUCUAUAUUAGAGAAGAACGAUCAAUAGAAAGGUUGAGAGAUUGAGCUCGUUUGAUUUGUGCACUAAAUUGGGCAAAAGUUUUUUAAUAGGGUAAUGAGUCCAGAGUUACAUAACAUUUGAUAGGCUUGGUAGAGUCGGUUUAGAUCAAAUGUUACGUAACUCCUUGCUUAUUAAUUUAUCAAAUUCCUUGAAGGUUGGUUGAGCAAGAUGCAUAGAGCAACGCUCGAUAAAAGUGAGUUAUUCAACGGUUGGGACCACAUCUUGAGUGUGCAUCAACAUAUUUUGACCUAUAAACAUACACAACGACCCUAUAUGUAUCCUUUAAGGCUUUUGAAGAAAGUGUUUUGAAGGCUUCUAGAAUGCCACAACUUUGAAGAUAGUUUUCCUGAUCGAGCCCACAAAAGACCAGGAACUCUUUACCAAAUUCAAAGAUGGCAAUGACAAGCUUGAAUACCAAAUCAGUAAGCUGGAGGCAAACUUAAAAAUAAUCGAAAUUCACAUACUACAACAAGCCUCUCAUCUUCUCCAAGAUAUAUUGAAAGCAUGCUAAGGCAAGAAAAUACAAUCAAUUAUGACCAUAUUGCUAAGGAAGUAAUGACACUCCAACUGUCUCUCAAUCUUGUUUGUGGUUUUGAUCAGGUUAACAAUAGUGAACCUAAUCGAAAAUACAAACAAGAAGGCAUGGCAUGCAAUUUAAAAUUCAGAAAUUGCCGCCUUCACAUAGAUUCCUUACUUUAACUAUAGUUGUUAUCGGCAUAAGUUUUCUAGACUUACCGUACAUUAUUUCAACCAUCGAUGCCCGUAAGGCUGUUUUUUUGGUCUUCUUCUAUUUUCUAUCUAGGUGAUAAUCCCGACCACGCUACCUAGUUGCAGCUCUCUAGCAAAGUGAUUAUCUACACUAUUCUUCUUUCAGAGAGACAACAAACAGAUUUUUCAUUGCCGGAUACACUUUCACAUUUGCACUUGAUACAAAUUUCUCAUGUUUUAAGAUAAUUUCAUUAGCUAGAUUCACUAGAAGUUACUUUCUACCCUAUGUAUCCUCUUCAAUUAGCUCUCAGAUGAUAUAGUCUUUCAUCAACCACCUAUUUUCCCUCAAAGGCAUUCUCCUACCGCACCUUUUGGCGUAUAAUCAUCACGCCGAGCAACCCAACCAUAUAAUUUUGGGCUAGGGCAAUAACUAUUUUGGUUUCCCGUUCUUGAUAGAUGAAGUGCUAGGCUUCAAAGGCCUUCUCAGAGUCCAAUGCACCCUAAAAGUUAGUCCAAUCGCUAUUGAAUCUCUUUACAAUGACACCAAAACUAGACCCCUUCACAAUUCUUGACACAUAAACAUAAGCAAAAGGUGACAUUAAAUCUUAAUAGGGUAUCAAAACCAUAUUCAUAGACCCUCAGCCUUAUCAGUUCGGACCUACCAAACUUAACUGUAAAAUUACAGAUAUCUUAUUUGAAUGAUCUAUGACUAAUCGGUAGAAACAACAUUCAUAAAAUUAGUGUAAUCUAUGUGUGUUUCCACAAUAACAUUAUCAGUAGUACAUUUCUCCCAUAAAUGAAGUGGUUCCAUAUGUAUGUAGCUUAUUCCUCCGAAACCAUCUUUACUGCAGCCUCUUGUGAUAGUUGAGCAAAAUUUGAUCAACUUUCAGUUCCUUAUAUCUACAAAGAAGAGGAAAAUAAUUAAUGUCAUAGAAAGAAUAUUAUCCAUCUAUUACAAUAGAUGUGGAGUCUGUUGCAUCAGAUGUGGAGUCUGUUGGAUCAGAUGUAGAGUCUGUUACAACAGAUAUAGAGUCUGAUGCAACAGAUAUGGAGUCUGAUGCAACAAUAUGGAGUCUAUUGUAAUAGAUAUAGAGUCUAUUGGAAUAUAUCAAACUAGCCUUGCUGGUGGUUUAAUUUGUUCCAACAGUUGCUCCGUCUAUUGCAACAUCAACAACAACAUAAACUACAAAAAAACAACAAAUAAAAAACAUCAACAACAAAGAAACAACAACAUUUGUUCUAAUACCAUCAACAACAAAGAAGCAACAUCAUUUGUUCCAACACCAUCAACAACACCACACCAUAAGUUCCAACAACGCCAACCCCACCAACAAUAUCAAUAACAGUAUCAACAACAAACAAACAAAUAAAAUACAUACAAAAAAAUGAUACUUCCAACAAGGCUUUUAAACUUCUCUCAACAGAUGACUUUUUUCGCAUAUUGUAAUAAAAAUUAUCGGUUCGUUUAUCCAACACUUAAAAGUUCCUUCAAAAUUUUUAAAUAAAUAUGUUAUGGGUAAAUAGUAAUUAAAUAAAAAACAAAUGUAAAUAACUUACAAAGAAGAAGACGAGAAUGAAAGAGCAAUAGUGGACCAUACCUUAAUGUUAAAAGAGGAUCAAAACAGUAAUUUCAAUUGAGGAAAGAUAUGGAUCAGUUUAGAUCCAAAAGGAUCUUUAUAAGAAAAAGAAGAGAAAAGAGAGAAAAAAGACUGUGAUAACCCUAAAGAGGAGAGAAAGAAAAAGAUGAAAGAUGAAUACAAUAAAUUUAGGGCUGAAGCUUAAGGAGAGAUGAGGUAAUUCUAGAUGUAUUAUGUACGUAGACGUGCGUUUCAAUAUUUAUUAAUUAAUAUGAUUAAUAUUAAUUAAUAAUUUGAGAGGCGAGAAAGACUAGUGACAUUGAAAAUACAAGAUAAGACUACUCAAUGAACUCAUUUUGGAGUUAUCCAAGAAAAUCUUCAUUUUUUAACUCAUUUUGUAGUACUACUUUAUCUACUAGGACAGAAGCUUGCAUUAAAAUUAAAAGAAUUUUUUUUUUCAAACAAAUAUGUCAUCUGUUGCAACAGAUAGCAAUAUCUAUUUAAAAAUCACAACAAAAUAGUCAUUUAUUACAACAGAUACAAUUAUCUAUUUAAAAAUCCCAACAGCUCACAGAUGCAAAUGUUCAUUGAUAAUUAAAUCGAUAUAUCAUUUGUUACAAUAGAUAUCAAUAUCUAUUUAAAUAUCUCAACAGCUAAGUCAUCUGUGACAACAGAUAUAAAUGUCCAUUUGAUAAUUAAAUCAGAUAUGUCAUCUGUUAUAACAUAUAUCAACAUCUAUUUAAAAAUUUCCAACAACUCAGUCAUCUGUCACAACAGAUGCAAAUGUCUAUUUGAUAAUUAAAUUAGAUAUGUCAUCUGUUGUAACAGAUAUGAAUAUCUGUUAGAAAUUUCCAAAAGCUCAGUCAUUUGUUCCAACAGAUUUUAUUGAAAUUAAUUUUGGUGGAACUAGGGAUGAAUGAAUAAGUUCAUAGGGUCAACUACAUCUUCAAUUGAGUCUUUUCAAUUGCAUGGUGUUGGUAUUGCGUUCAAUCCCACCCGAGUCAUUGAUCGAUCACUCUAAGUUGAAAAGAUUCUCAUUAACUUAAUGUUAAGCUAGUACCUAAAUUGAUUUAGGUAGAACUGGGGAUGAAAUGAGUUCUCAUUAACUUAAUGUUAAGAUUAAUAGAACCUUAACUGAUUUAGGUGGAACUAGGGAUAAAUGAGUUCAUAGAGUCAACAACAACUUCAAUUAAGUCAUUGCAAUUACAUGUUGUUGGUAUUUCGUUCAUCCCGACCUAAGUCGUCGAUCGAUCACUCUGAGUUGAAAUGAGUUCUCGUUAACUUAAUGUUAAGUUUAAUAGAACCUUGAUUGAUUUAUGCAGAACUAGGGAUGAAUGAGUUCAUAGGAUCAACAAUAACUUCAAUUGAGUCAUUGUAAUUGCAUGGUGUUAGUAUUGCGUCCAUCCCGACUUGAGUCGUCGAUUGAUCACUCUGAGUUGAAAUGAGUUCUCAUUAACUUAAUGUUAAGAUUAAUAGUAACUAAAUUGAUUUAGGUGGAAAUAGGUAUGAAUAAGUUCAUAGGGUCAACAACAACUUCAAUUGAGUCAUUGUAAUUGCAUGGUGUUGGUAUUACGUUCAUUCCAACCCGAGUCGUCGAUCGAUCACUCUGAGUUGAAAUGAGUUCUCAUUAAUUUAAUGUUAAGACUAAUAGAACCUUAAUUGAUUUAGGUGAAACUAGGGAUGAAUGAGUUCAUAGGUUUAACAACAACUUUAAUUAUGUCGUUACAAUUGCAUGGUGUUGGUAUUGCGUUCAUCCCGACCCGAGUCGUCGAUCGAUCACUCUGAGUAAAAAUGAGUUCUCAUUAACUUAAUGUUAAGAUUAAUAUAACCUUAAUUGAUUUAGGUGGAACUAGGGAUGAAUGAGUUUAUAGGGUCAACAACAACUUCAAUUGAGUUGUUGCAAUUACAUGGUAUUGGUAUUGUGUUUAUCCCGACUCGAGUCAUCGAUCGAUCACUCUGAGUUGAAAUGAGUUCUCAUUAACUUAAUGUUAAGAUUAAUAGUACCUAAAUUAAUUUAGGUGGAACUAGGGAUGAAUGAGUUCACAGGGUCAACAAUAACUUCAAUUGAGUCGUUGCAAUUGCAUGGUAUUGGUAUUGCUUUCAUCCCGACCCGAGUCAUUGAUCAAUCACUCUGAGUUGAAAUGAGUUCUCAUUAACUUAAUGUUAAUAUUAAUAAUACCUAAAUUGAUUUAGGUGGAACUAGGGAUGAAUGAGUUUAUAGUGUUAACAACAACUUCAAUUGACUAAUUGCAAUUGCAUGGUGUUGGUAUUGCGUUCAUCCCGACCCGAGUCGUCGAUCGAUCACUCUGAGUUGAAAUGAGUUCUCAUUAACUUAAUAUUUUAAAAAAUAUAUCUUUUGAAAUUUUUAAAAUUAAUUAAGAUCAAUUCAUACCAAAUUAACAAUUUCAAAAACUUGUCAUUCUAUUCCAAAAUUACAAAUCAAUCCAUACAAAUCAUCCAUUGCAGGAAAAACUUUUCUUCAUUUCAAAUCUCAAGUUCUCGCUCUUCUCUCUCUCUUUUUCUCUUAAUAAUACAGACAACAACUACUCAACAUAUUGCUCAAUCCUUUAAAACAGAUUGGUUUUCUUUCUAUUUCUGACCACAUACGUGUUAUUUUUGACUUCAUUCUCGCUUGUAUCCAUCGUUUUCUCUGUCUUCGUAGGUAAUAGAGUUCGAGAAAGGUUUUACAUUUGUUAUUUAUUCUAAAAAUUAUGAUUUUUUAGUUAAUGAUGAAAAAGAAGACUUUUAGUUGUAUUAUCUUCAAGAAUGGGUUAACAAUUUUGUGUUUUGAUGCUAAAAAAGUGGGAAGCACCUGAGAAAAUCCUAGUUUUUGUCUCAGUGUUUUGUUAACUGUCGUGGUAUUAUUGGAUGGUGUUUGUGGUGUUGUUUUUGGUGGUGUCGGUAUUUGUGUUUUUGGUGGUGGUGUCAGUGGUCUUGGUGUUGGUAUUGGUGGCAUUGGUGGUGGUCUUGGUGGCAUUAGUGGUGGCAUUGGUUUUGGUGUUGGUGGUCCAUCUGUUGCAAAAGGUGUAAGAUUUAUUGGGAGAUAUUAAAUAGGUAUUCAAACAUAUUCCCUAUCUGUUCCAACUGAUGGGUUAUCCAUUGGAAUUUCUUUUUUGUAAUGUGGCGUUGAAUAAUUUAUUGAAAUUUAUCUUACCUUUUUAAAAAAAAUUAUGAAGAUAUCAAAUGCAGUGUAUUUUUUAUUUUUAUAUUAUUUGUAGUUAAAAGAUGUCUCCCAAAAGAAAAGAAACUGAAAGUGGAUCAACUUCUGACCACCCAACAAAAAAGGCUAGAGUACAUAUAGAUUCGGAGGAACUUCCUGAACAAUCUCAGUCAGGGCAAAAUGAAACUGAGGAAAGUGGUAACUCCUUCUCACCAAUGGAGCAUGAAUUAAUAUCGAAAUCCAAUAUUUUCCUAUCAAAACCAUUAGUAUCGAUAGGUUUCGAGUUGCAGUGAUGGAUAGCCCUGACAAAGUAACUGGUGAUCUUGUACUUAAAUGUCAGUUGGGGAAAUAUUUUGAUGAAUUUAGGAGUAUUAUGAAGAAUGAAAACAUAGACGGACUUUUUAACAAGAGCUUCUUUACAUACUUUCUUGAGCUACUUGUGGACCGCACUCGCCAUUUCCCAAUGAGAAUGGUAUAUGGUCUUCUCAAGCGCAGGAUCAAGUAUGUAGGAGAUGAUAAAGUUUCAGAGAACGGGGGCAAAAAGAUGGAUGAAAUUUGAAUUAACUACUGUAGCAUGCUAAUUUGUUUUGGAUUGAAAAAGUUUUCCAUAGUGACGGGCUUUAGAUGCGAUCACCCAGAAGAACCUCUCAUCAAGGAAACACCCCACAAAGGGUCCAAGAAACACAAGGGAAAAAAGAUGGGUUAUUGGACAUUGUUAGACUAGUAGCUACAAAGUGGAUGAUUUGAUGGCAGAUCUCGAGGAUAAAAACAUACCAAAGCACUACAGGGAGAAAUUGUGCUUAGUUUGGUUUGUCUAUUCCGUUUUACUGGCAAGAGCCCUCAGGAACGUCAUAAAAGAUGAUUUGUUGGUGCUUGCUGAUGAUUUUGAUAAAUUUAACGAUUAUCCCUAGGGAUAUGACCACUGCUACUUGACUGUUGAAUAUUUACUGACAAAGAUAUUCCUAAAGACGACCACAUUAUACGACUUUCCUUGGGCUUUCAUGAUAAAAUUGAUCCCUAUUUUUACUCAUCUAUUAAUUUAUAUUGAAUAUAGUUAUUAUGACUUUUUUUUUCUUUCUUCUUAUUUACAUUUUUAGGCUUGGGCAUGUGAAGCCAUUCCUCCCCUCCAAAAGCAGUUCAAGGUUUACCCAGAUGAGGUUUCUCAUCCAAGGAUUCUUAGAUGGUUAGCUGCAAAAGGCAGUAAAAAUAUUAAGGAGGAUGCUGAUCUCUUUAAACCUCCGGAUGAUAUUGUACGUCUUCUUUUAACUAAAAUAAUUUGUCUCAAAGAAAAAUAUUAAAAUAAAUGUGCCAUCUGUUGUGACAGAUAGGUUGUUCAUUGCAACAUAUUACCCGUCAAUUGUAGCUGUGCAACAGAUGGGUAAUCUGUUGCGAUAGACGAUUUAUAUUUCACAGCAGAUUAACCAUUUGUUUCUCUAGUUCUUUGAACCUAACUCAAUAGAUUACCCAUCUACUGAAAAUUAUGAAACAGAUGGGUAAUAUGAUGCAAUAUAUUGUCAAUCUAUUACGACAUACAGAUCAGUUGUUGUGGAAGCUAGAUCAUCUGUUGCAUAUGUUGGUCGUGUUAACAUGUAACUCAACUGAUUGCAAAUUAUUAUUAUAUGAUUUAAAUGUCUCUUGUAUUUUUUUUAUAGGCUGUGCAUCCUUUAAUUGUGCCUACUGAGCAUGAAUUGGGGAUAACUUUUUUUAUUACUCUAGGUCUUGUUGAUACAAAAGAAGACCCAACGGUGGAGUUAAUAAAGAAAGAAUUGGCUGGAGUAAUAACCAUAAGAAGAGCAGUUAGGCAACGUCAGCCUAAUGUUGAAGCUCUACAUGACCAACCUCAAAUAGUAACAGAUCCGGGUGCUUCUUCUGGGGGUGUUGCUAGUGGAGUUGUUGAUGAUGGUGGCAGCCAUCCUGAUGUUGCUGCUGCUACUAGUCAAGAUUAUGAGCAUGUUGGUGCUCAGCAAAAAAUAAAUACGUUUGAAAACACCCCUUUCACAGUUCCCUUUCACCCCUACACCGGUCCUUCCCACCCUUACAGUGGUCCCUCUCACCCCUUUCCACCCUCUCCACCCUCACGUUCUCAUUGCAAAUACAAAGUGUGCAAGGACAGAGAGGAUAAAAUCCUUGAAAAAUUAGAAGCUAUUGCUGAAGCUUUCGAGGAGUUGAAAUCCAGAAGGGGUGUCAUACCAUCCAACAAGGUGAGGGAGCCAUACUUUAACGCCCCAAAAUCUGAGUUCCGAGGAUGCCACACGGUGCUCCGAACUACAAGUAGUCCUGAGCUAACCCUAGUUGUUUUCUACUAAGUCUGAAUAUUAAAAUAGGGGAAUAUGAAUAUAAAGACAGAAUAAAUACGGAAAACUUAUCUGAAACACACUAAUCUCACAAGUCUUGGUAAAAUAAUAUUGAAAACCUAAACACUAAAUCAAAAGUCUAAAACUAAAUCUCGUAGUCCGACAAGCCUCUACUAUCUGAAUCUAGAGAGUUACUGGGAUAGUCCCCCAGCUGACUCAAACUGUCUGAAAUGAACACUGAAACAUCUAUUAAUAACUGAAAAUAUGAAUAACUAAGUCCCCAAACUAUAAGGAAUCACCAACUACAGGGAUGUAGAUGAGAUGCACAAAAAUUACUCAUGCUGCUGAGGCUGAGCACCUGAACCUACAUUAUGAGACAACGUAGCACAUAGACGUUUAUGUAGAUCAGUACUUUGAUGAUGUACUGAGUAUAUGGGGGUAAAUGCAAUAAGUAAACAAUAUCAUCACAAUUUAUAAAGAAAAUCAUGCAUGCUAAAUGUAAAUGACUCACAUGGGGUUGAGUAAAUCUGAAAUCUGAAGAUCAUAAAUCAUGAAUAACAAAACAUAUAAUAUAAAACUUGUGAGACAUUACAUUCAAUUCUAAAAUCUGUUCUUUCUGAAAGUUGCUACAUUAUCUUAUCAAUUUGUAAGGGGAAUACUUCAUCUUAAGACUUUAAGAAUCUUAAAACCAUAGAUUUCAAAAACAUAUUCUUUUAUCUCAAGGUUUUACGCCAAUAGAUUAUUUUAAGAGUAGGGAACAUCUUAUUGGGAGGUUCUUCUAAUCGACAUACACCAUGUGAGCAUCCAUGGAGUCUGACGUCUAGCCCCUGUUGGGUAGGGUUGUUCUACCCUUACCAUCGGAAUAGAACUUCUUAUCUUAAGUGAUCAUAAUGUUAAUCAUCCACGUAGAAGUGGGAAUAAUCUUAAUCCUACGGUGGCACGUAGUUCUGGGGUAUGAAACAGUAGUAACUUACCCAUCUCGAUGCUAAAUACUACUCCCAUUCUUAUGCUCAAAAUCUUAAGAAAUUCACUUCAAAAAUAGCACCAGGGUUUAUAAGAAAAUUGAUUAUGCUUUUCUUUCUUUAAAUCUUAAGUCAUAUGAACAAAGUGGAUUCUCUAUCUUAGCUUAGGACCAAAAGGCCAAAUCUUUAUCAAAAUCUGAGAAUAAUUUUAUCUGAGGGUGCUUAUAGCACAAAUGAUCUUGAAAUAGCAAUCUUAAUUAGGGAUUUAAUGACCCAUGCAUCAAUUCAUGUUAAAACAUCAAAGUAUUCAUGCUUGGUGAUAUAAACAUUCAUAAUUCAAUUCAAAAUCUAGAAAUUUACUGCAAUAUGCAUGAAAAUAUGAACAUAAUCAUGUAAUUCAACGUCUAAAUCAUUGAAAAUUUCAUAAACUUGUCAAUAACAAUAAUGGGUAUAAACCCUAACUUCAAUUCAUGAAUAACCACAUAAAAUUUCAGUAAAUUUGCAUAAAAAAUAAGUUUUGGGCACAAGGAUAAAAGGAUUAUCCUCGUUCAUAUCCCACAUACCUCAAUUGAUGAUCUUUGAUAAAAAUUUGGAUCUUGGAUUUUGUAUUGAUGUUUUGAAGAUGAAUUCUUAGAGUUCUUGCAUUGGGAAUCUUAAAUCUUAAAUUUCUUUGGAGAACUAAUGGAGGAAUUUGGAUUUCUUGGGGAGAAAGUUUGAUGAACUAGGGUUUUGCUUGAGAGAAAUUUGAUGAAAAGUGGAUGUAAAGUUCCUUAGAGGGGUUUAAUUCAUUGUUUAAGAUGGAUUAGGGGAUGAGAGAUUUUCCAAAAUGCCCCUCUUAAACUCAUAAACGGAACUGAAAAAAUGACCAAAAUCCUAAUUUUUGGCCAUGGUGUGACACACCACUAUCGUGCCAAGCCACUGGAAAUUGCCAACUGGGAAUAUGCACGGUGGUGCUACGCGGUGGUAUCACAUUUACACCUUCGAUGGGACCUGGAAACUUGGCGCGAAGCGCCAAUAUUGUGGACCCUCACUGGAAUUUGACAAAUGGACCGCAAUGCGCCAACAUUACAGAGGUCCACUGGUCAUUUAAAUCGUCUCCACGAUGUGCUACGGACCGAAAUGAUGGUGUUUUACGACUGGAACUUAAAAUAGUCAUAACUUAUUCACCGAGUUUUUGAUUUGGGAGAUUCUUAUAUCGAUGGAAAACCUAUUAAAUUUACCACACAGUGGAAAGUCUAAAUCUGGAAAAUUCCACAUAGAAUAAAUAUUAUUUAUUUAUGAAUCUAUCUCUUAACAUUCUAAAGAUGAUUCUAAGCUAAGAAAGUUUGGGGUAUUAUAAUAUCUCCCUUUUGGGAACAUUCGUCCUCGCAUGUGGCUAGUCAAGCUGAGGAUACUAAGGAAUCUGAGGCUAUAUGAUAGCAGGCACAACUGAAAUAAAUUUCAAAAUUGAAUCUAAAUCAUUUUGAGCUUCUGAGUAAUUCUGUGAGUGCAUGAACUUACAUAAGGACAACUACAUAGUUGAAUAUAUGAGUAGAAAAAAUCUGAAUCAAGAAAGAAUAUUACCUUUGGCUAAAUCUGAGUUUGCGGAGAAGAGGUGAGGGUACUUGGCUUGCAUUUCUGCUUCUGCUUCCCAAGUGGCACCCUCAACAGACUAAUUCCGCCAAAGAACUUUGACCAAGGGAACUUCUUUGUUCCUUAGUCUACGGAUCUGAUGAUCUUAAAUCUCAACUGGAAUCUCUUCGUACGAAAGACCGUUCUGAAUAUCUGAGCUUUCUAAAGUAACUACAACAUUGGAGUCACUGAGGCACUUCUUAAGCAUAGAAACGUGGAAUACAGGAUGAACCACUGACAAGUCUAUGGGCAAAGCAAGCUCAUAAGCUACUCUCUCAACAUGACUCAAAAUUCUAUAAGGGACAACAUACUAGGGACUAAGCUUCCUUUUUUUUGCCAAAUCUCUUCACCCCUUUCAUGGGUGAAAUUUUCAAAUACACUAAAUCACCAACCUCAAACCCGAAGUCUCUUCUUCUCACAUCUGCAUAUGAUUUCUGACAACUUUCGGCUAUUUUUAAUCUCUCUCUAAUCAACUUAACUUUCUCCAUCGCUUUGAAGACUGCAUCGGGCCUAAGAAAAGCAGCCUCACCCACUUUAAACCAAUAUAUAGGUGAUCUAUAUCUCCUCCCAUAAAGAGAUUCAAAUGGGGCUAUCUGUGUCCUAGAAUGAUAACUGUUAUUAUACGUGAACUCAAUAAAUGGCAAAUGCUCAUCCCAACUACCUUUAAAAUCAAGAGCACAUGCCCUCAGUAUAUUUUCUAGAGUUUGGAUGGUCCUCUUGGCUUAACCAUCUGUCUCAUGGUGGAAAGUUAAACUAAGAUGGACUUGGAUACCAAGGCCCUUUUUAAAAGCUCUCCAAAAUUGGGAAGUAAACUAUGUACCCCUAUCUGAGAUGAUAGACAAGGGAACUCUAUGCAAUCGGACGUGUGAACUGGAAAGAAGUGAGCUGACUAAGUCAAUCUGUCUAUAAUAACCCAAACCAUAUUAUGAUGAUGACGCGAAUGGGGUAAACCAGUCACAAAGUCCAUAUUCACCUCUUCCCACUUCCAAGUGGGGAUACCAAGCUCUUGUAAUGUACCACCAGGUCUUUGGUGCUAUACCUUAACCUGUUGACAAAUUGCAUACUUAGCUACAAACUCUACUAUAUCUCUCUUUAUACCACUCCACCAAUAGAUUUCCCACAAGUCGCGGUACAUCUUGGUAGCACCUAGAUGAAUAGAAUAACGUGCACCAUGUGCUUCAGCCAUAAUUCUCUGUCUCAACUCAUCAGCAAAAGGCACACACAAUCUAUUCUGGUAUCUCAACACGCCAUCUCCCUCUUGGGAUAAAACCUUUACCUUUUGGUCUUUAACUGACUCCUUAGUCUGACCAAACUAGAAUCCAGGUCUUGCUUAUCCUUUACUUUGGAAACUAGGAAAGAUUCGGAACUACUCUGAACCCAAACAUUCUCUUCAGCUGAGUCAACCAACCUAACACCCAAUCUAGCCAAAUGAUGAACUUCUCAAGCCAACUCUUUCUUAUCAUUCUCCAUAUGAGCAACACUGCCCAUAAAUAACCUACUAAGGGCAUCUGCCACUACAUUAUCCUUGCCCGGAUGGUACAACACACUCAUUCAUAAUCCUUCAACAAUUCUAACCACUUUCUCUAAUAGAGAUUCAACUCCCUCUGGGUAAAUACAUACUGCAGGCUUUUUUGGUCUGUGAACAUAUCAACAUGUACACUAUACAGAUAGUGCCUCCAGAUUCUUAGAGCAAACACCACAACAGCUAAUUCAAGAUCAUGGGUUGGGUAGUUCUUUUCAUGAGGCUUAAGCUGUCUAGAGGCAUAGGCUAUAACCUUACCUCUCUACAUCAACACAAAACCCAAACCAACUCUAGAGGAAUCACAAUACACCAUAAAACAAUCUGUACUAUCGGGUAAUGCUAAAAUUAGGGUUGUAGUGAGUCAUGUCUUCAACUCCUAAAAACUCGUCUCAUAGAAAUCUUACCACUGGAACUUAACUUUUUUUUGGGUCAAUCUAGACAUUGGGGAUGCAAUAGAUGAGAAACCCUUGACAAAACAUUGGUAAUAACCUGCUAGACCCAAGAAACUCCUAAUGUCUAAUGGAGAGAUAGGUCUAAGCUAAUUUCUUACGGCUUCUGUCUUUUGGGGAUAGACUCUAAUUCCAUCGACGGAAAUAAUAUGACCAAGAAAGGCUACUGAUCUUAGCCAGAAUUCACACUUGCUGAAUUUGGUGAACAAUUGAUGAUCUCUAAGAGUUUCCAAGACAAUUCUAAGAUGAUCUACAUGGUCAUCCUCACUACGGGAAUACACAAGGAUAUCAUCUAUGAAUACUAUGACAAAAAUGUCUAGAUAUUAUUUGAACACUUAGUUAAUAAGGUCCAUAAAAGCUGUUGGAACAUUGGUUAGCCUGAAAGAAAUGACUAGGAACUCAAAAUGACCAUAACGGGUUCUGAAAGCUAUCUUUGGAAUAUCAUAUUCCCUUACUUUAAGUUGAUGAUAGCCGAAUAUAAGGUCUAUCUUUGAGAAAUAACUUGUACCUUGGAGUUGAUCAAAUAAGUCAUCAAUUCUAGAAAGAGGAUAUUUGUUCUUGACAAUAACCUUAUUUAGCUGACGAUAGUCAAUGCACAUACGCAAAGAACCAUCUUUCUUUUGUAUGAAUAGGACAGAAGCGCCCUAUGGAGAAACAUUAGGCCUUAUGAAGCCUUCAUCUAAAAGAUCUUUGAGUUGCUCUUUCAACUCCUUAAGCUUUGCGGGAGCCAUACAAUAUGGAGGGAUAGAAAUAGGCUGAGUAUCUGGGAGAAGGUCAAUACCAAAUUCUAUUUCCCUAUCGGGAGGUACCCUUGGGAGAUCUUCCCAAAAAAUAUUUAAAAACUCAUUGACCACUUGGACAGACUGAAUUGUUGGAGUCUCAGACUUAGUGUCUUUAACUCAAACUAGAUGGUAAAUACAACCUUUGGAUAUCAACUUCCUGGCCUUAGGGUAAGAUAUAAAAUGACUCUUGGGAGACACUGAAGUACCCGACCACUCAAAGGAUGGCUCAUAUGGAAACUGAAACUUCACCAUACGGGUGUGACAAUAUAUAGAAGCAUAACAUGAAUGGAGCUAAUCCAUACCAAGGAUAAUAUUAAAAUCAACCAUAUCUAACUUUAUCAAGUCUGCUAACAUGACUUUAUGAAGGACAGUGAUAGGAUACUUUUUAUAGAUUUGUUUAGCAACAACUGACUCACCUACUGGAGUAGAAAUCAAAAAGGGCUCAGGGAUCUGUUCAGAACUUAUCUUAAAAUUCACAGCAAUUAACGGGGUCAUAUAAGAGAAACUCGACCUAGGGUCUAACAACACAUAAAUAUCAAAAUAAAAGACAUGAAGCAUACCAGUCAUAACAUCGGAUGAAUCCUCCUGCUCUUGAUGGGACGGUAAAGCAUAGAACCUAUUCUGGAGCUGACCGCCACCAGUACUGAAUGAUGCGCCCUGAGGAGGGGCUGGAUAACCUAAAAGAGCUAGUGUACUAGCAUCCUAAGCCUGGGGAUGAACAUCUCUAUUUUAAUAUCUAGCAUGCGGGCAUUCUUUAAUUCUUUGACCCAGCUGGACACAACCAUAACAUCCUUUCUGAUCCCACAAACACUCACCCUGAUGGGUCUUACAACACUUAGCACACUGAGGAUAAUUGGUUCUACCACUCACACUAUUUUAAGAUCUGGACAUAGAAGACUUACCCCACUAUUCCUACUUAUUUCUAGGUGCAGGAGCACUAGCCAAAAAAGGGGCAGGCAUAAUGACCGAUUCUAAAACUGUGAACGAUUUCCUCCGCCAGACCUAUUCUGACCAUAAUUAAAUUGUCCUGUUCUAGCCUUCUUAUUUACUCUCUCUCUUUUUUUUUCAUCUUCUCUACUUCAAUAUGCUAAGAAUGAAUCAUUAAUCUAGGAAGAUCCAUAUCUCCAAUGAGUAUAGCAGUCCUACAUUCCUUAACUACCAACCCAGACACACCAGUCACAAACUUACUCAUGCUUGACCUAGGGUCAACCAUCUAAUCAGGGGCAUACUUAGAUAACUGGUUGAACUUGAGGCAAUACUCCUUCACUGUCAUUGGGCCUUGCCUCAGGUUUAUGAAUUUUUCUAUCUUAGCUUCCCUCAUCUCACGUGGGAAGAACUUGUCUAAGAACGCAUCCUGAAAUAUCUGCCAAGUCAUGGGAGCUGCAUUCUCCCCUCUACUUUUCUUCCACAUCACUACCCAAUCAUAUGCAAUAUCCUUCAGCUUAUAGGAUGCCAAUUCUACACUCUCCUCUUUAGAAAUAUACAUGAUUUGAGUGAUCAUCUUUACCUCAUUUAGAUACAACUGUGGGUCCUUACCUACCUUCGACCCAAAGAAUUCUGGUGGAUUCAUUCUCAUAAAAUCUCAAAUUAUGGCUUUGUCUAAGUCCCUAUCUUACUUAGGUGGUACUAAAGCCUGACGGUUGGACUGGACAUUAGCUAUUACAGCUUAGGCUAGCGCCUAAAAUACAGCCCGAAACUCUGUAUGUGACACAUUUUCAUUCAAAGAAUCAACGGGCUGGGUAGCUGGUUAUCAUUUAUGUGGGCGUUAGCUCGAUUGAGGAAUUUUAUGUCACAUGAAAGCACAAGUUAGAAGCAGAUAGAGACACUGAAUGCAUGAUAGAUCAUGAAAGAAGAGAUAAUUUCCUACAAUUCUCCAUAGCCUCUUGCUCAUAUAUGCAGCACGCUUCAUACUGAUGAUCAAGACUCUAUGUAAUGUGGUUUGUCUGAAUCCUUAGGACUUUCUAAACCUUAGGCUCUGAUAUCGAGUUUGUAAUGCCCCAAAAUUUGAGUUCCUGGGAUGCUACACGGUGCUCCGAACUACAAGUAGUCCUGAGCUAAUCCUGACUAUUUUCUACUAAGUCUGAAUCUUAAAAUAGGGGAAUAUGAAUAUAAAGAUAGAAUAAAUAUGAAAAACUUAUUUGAAACACACUAAUCUCAUAAGUCUUGGUAAAACAAUACUAAAAACCUAAAUACUAAAUCAAAAGUAUAAAACUAAAUCUCAUAGUUCGACAAGCCUUUACUAUCUGAAUCUAGAGAGUUACUGGUACAGGCCCCCAGCUGACUCAAACUAUCUGAAAUGAACACUGAAACAUCUAUUGAUAACUGAAAAUGUGAAUAACUAAGUCCCCGGACUAUAAGGACUCACCAACUACAGGAAUGUAGAUGAGAUGCUCGAAAAUCACUCACGCUGCUGAGACUGAGCACCUGAACCUAUAUUAUGAGAUAAUGUAGCACAUAAACCUAUAUGUGGAUCAAUAAUUUGAUUAUGUACUGAGUAUAGAGGGGUAAAUACAAUAAGUAAACAAUAUCAUCAUAAUUUAUAAAGAAAAUCAUGCAUGCUAAAUGUAAAUGACUCACAUGGGGUUGAGUAAAUCUGAAAUAUGAAGAUCAUAAAUCAUGAACAACAAAACAUAUAAUAUAAAUCUUGUGAGCCAUUACAUUCAGUUCUAAAAUCUGUUCUUUCUGAAAGCUGCUACAUUAUAUUAUCAAUUUUAAGGGGAAUAAUUCAUCUCAACACUGUAAGAAUCUUAAAACCAUAUCUUUCAAAAGCAUAUGCUUUUAUCUCAAGGCUUUACGCCAAUAGACUAUUUUAAGAGUAGGGAACAUCUUAUUGGGAGGUUCUUCUAACCGACAUACACCAUGUAAGUAUCCAUGGAGUCCCACGUAUAGCCCCCGUUGGGUAGGGUUGUUCUACCCUUGCCAUCAAAAUAGAACUUCUUAUCUUAAGUGAUGACAAUCUUAAUCAUCCACGUAGAAGUGGGAAUAAUCUUAAUUCUAUGGUGACACAUAGUUCUGGGGUAUGAAAUCGUAGUAACUUACCCAUCUCGGUGCUAAAUACUACUCCCAUUAUUAUGCUCAAAAUCUUAAGAAAUCCACUUCAAAAAUAGCACAAGGCUUUAUAAGAAAACCAAUUAUACUUUUCUUUCUUUAAAUAUUAAGACAUAUGAACAAAGUGGAUUCUCUGUCUUAGCUUAGGACCAAAAGGUCAAAUCUUUAUCAAAAUCUGAGAAUAAUCUUAUCUGAGGGUGCUUAUUGAACAAAUGAUUUCGAAAUAGCAAUCUUAUUAGGGCUUAAUGACCCAUGCACCAACUCAUGUUAAAACAUCAAAGUAUUUAUGCUUGGUGAUAUAAACAUUCAUAAUUCAAUUCAAAAUCUGGAAAUUUACUACAAUAUGCAUGAAAAUAUGAACAUAAUCAUGUAAUUCAACUUCUAAAUAAUUGAAAAUCUAAUAAACUUGUAAAUAACAAUAAUGGGUAUAAACCCUAACUUCAAUUCAUGAAUAACUACAUAAAAGUUUAGUAAAUUUGCAUAAAAAAAAGUUUUGGGCACAAGGAUGAAAGGAUUAUCCUUGUUCAUACCCCACAUACCUCAAUUGAUGAUCUUUGAUAAAAACUUAGAUUUUAGAUUCCUAUUGAAGCUUUGGAGAUGAAUUCUUAGAGUUUUUGUAUUGGUAAUCUUAAAUCUUAAAUUUCUUUGGAGAACUAAUGGAGGAAUUUGGAUUUUUUAGGGAGAAUAUUUGAUGAACUAGGGUUUUGCUUGAGAGAGAUUUGAUGAAAAGUGAAUAUAAAGUGCUUUGGAGGGGUUUAAUUCAUUAUUUAAGAUGGAUUAAGGGCUGGGAGAUUUACCAAAAUGCCCCUCUUAAACUCAUAAAUGGAACUAGAAAAAUGACCAAAAUCCUAAUUUUUGGCCUUGGUACAACGCGCUACUAUCGCACCAACCCACCGUAAAUUGCCAACUGGGAAUAUGCACGAUGGCGCGAUGCGGUGGUAUCGCGUUGCCACCUUGGAUGGGACCUGGAAACUUAGUGCAACGCGCCAACAUCGCGGAGGUCCACUAGAAUUUGAUAGUCGUCAUUUAAACUAUCUCCGCGAUGCGCUAGGGACCGAAAUGACGGUGUUUUACAACUUAAUCUUAAAAUAGCCAUAACUUCUUCACCGAGUGUUGGAUUUGGGCUAAUCUUAUAUCGAUUGAAAUCCUAUUAAAUUUUCCAUACAAUGGGAAGUCUAAAUCUACAAAAUUCCAUAUAGAAUAAAUAUUAUUCAUUUAUGAAGAUAUCUCUUAACAUUCUAAGAAUGAUUCUAAGCUAAGAAAGUUUGGGGUAUUACACAUACACUCCUAUAGUGGCAGUUAGGAGGAAGAGAAUAAACAUUAGACAAAUACUCUCCAUUGUGAAAAUAAAAAAAUUGCAACUCCUCCCGCUCCAAGAAGGUGUUGAAGUUCAGGGGCCGCUGAAGAAGGUGGACAUAUAUGCGGCACUUGGUGAGAUUCAUCUUUGAGACGGGUGUACUCUCAACUUAGAUCACUUUGAUGAAUCCCUGAUGUUGUUUUGCUAUUCCUCAGGCCUCAGUUAAGUGUCAAGUCUUGCAUAAUACCCUCCUUAUGUAAUGAUAGUGGCAUUUAGUAAAUGCUUCCUAUUGAUAAAAGAUCAUUGUAUGCUUGUUUAGAUAAGGCUAUGAGUGUGAAGUAAGAUUUGGGGCUAAGUCUGUGAUAUAUGUGAUGGUUAGUGAAAAUUUUUGUGUGCAUAUAUUUUUUGAGGAAGCGCGUGGGAGUGAUAUUGACAGUGGUUUAGGGAGUAUGCGAAGCAUGUCCUUAUGAGUGUUUGCUUUGAAGUUCAUAUGUGGUUAUAAAGAUAGGCUUGAAUGACAUGUUAGGAUUUUUGUAAAGGAACGCUAUAUGCGCUAGCAACUUCAUAGUAAGAAUUUAGAGUAGCCAUUGAAGUGGUAAGGCAUGUUAUGCUUAGGUUGUGAUCUUUAAAAGAGAUAUAGAAGGUUGCAUCAUAUGGUUUAGAAUAAUAGCGUGGUAUGACAUGUUGUAUUUUUGUGACUUGGAAUUAGGUGUGAUCGCAGUGAAAGGAUUUAACCUACUAUAGACAUUAUUAGAAAGAUUUAUCAAUGCCCAUAUGAUAAUUAUAAAUUGAAUAGAAUGAAUAUGGUAUUUAAGAAGUUGUAUUGCCGAAGGCCUAGCAAUUCUAUCCUGAUUUAUGAGUUAUAUGUCUAUAUUCCAGGCUGUAGAGUAAUGUUAAUGUUUGGAUCCUAUAGUCGGAUGUCUUGUAUGACUCAUGCCCAAAUAUUUUGCUAUCUAAUACUACCAGGACUUCGUAAGGAAGAGUGUUGAUAAGAUACUCCUAAUUGAGUAUGAGUUUCUAGUAUAGUUCAGUCUAUGUGUCCAGCAAAUCAGUUUAGCCAUCAGAUUCGCAUGACUUGUUUUUUCGUCUUUUCAUUUAAUCAUGCUACCCCAAAAUCUCAGAUAUGUUACUAUUCCAAGAUAGAGUAUACUAGUAGUUGCGAGUAUAACUCAUUUCAUGCUUCAUGUACUAGAUUCAGAUUCCAAAUGUUCAGUUAUGAUUCAAUUCGUAAGUGCCUAGUGCAUCGCCUCAAUUUUUUCGAGUAUCUUAGUGAUUUAAGCAUUCAUAGAAGGACAUAGUGUCCCAAGGGGGAGAUAACCCCAUUUAGUUGCAUGCAUAGAUUCUUAUUUAAAGAUUCAUAUCAGUUAUUAUUGAAUAUUCAAUCCUACGUUCAUAUGUCAGUUCAGUCAGAUACGCAUGCAUUAGAAAAGCAUGUUCAAUAGAAAAAGUUUAGCUUAUCAGUGUAUUUAGUCCUGCAUUCAUGAGAACAACUCAGUCAUAGAUCCAUGAAUCAGAUAUGCAUGUUCAUUAUGAGAAUUCAGCUUAUGAGUAGCUUCAUUCGUGUAUUCCAUGCAUCAGAUAUGCACGUCCGGUAUAAGAAUUCGGAACAUCGGUAGUUCCAGUCUUAUAGUCAUGUUUUAGAUCAGUGUAUUCUUUCUUAGAUAACCUAUCAUGUCUACUUUAUUCCAUAUUUUAAAGCUUCAAAGUCCCUGCCCAUCAUUCGGGGACGAAUGAUACCAAGGGGGAGAUAAUGUAACACCCCACAUUUUUGGGCUAGAACGUAAAUCGUCAUUUCUUCUCAUAAAGGUUACAAAAUCCAUAAAUUCAAUUUAAAUUUAGUGUGUUGAUCAAUUAUGUAGUGUGGAAAUCUAUUUGAGCAUGAAUUAAGAUCAUAGAACUCCCCUAACUCAAGGACGAGUUGAAAGAUUUCCAAUCGUUCGAGUUUGAGUAAGCAUCAAAACUUGGGUCAACCUCAAUCAACCAUAAAUCAUUGUAUAUGAUGAACUGGGUGGCCUACUAUAUCCAAAUUGUAGAUAAUUGAAUAAUCUUUCCAACGGUAUAAGAUUUGUCGAAAUCCGAUAACCGGGUAAGGAGUUAUGGCUAUUUUAAUUUUUAGCUGUAAAACAAAUGCCAUUUCAGUGCAUGGCGCAUCGCGCCAGAGGCCAAAAUGGCACUCGUCAAUUUCUAGCAAGCCUCCACGAUAGUCCCGCUUCACUCCAAAUUUUUAGGUCUCAAUAAUUGGCAUUUUUCCAAGCUCCGCGUGGUGCUGGGGCCAAAAAUGGGGCUCUAGUUUCAGAAUUUCACUCAAGGGUAUUUUGGUCUUUUCUACCCAUUCCUACCCUCUAUAUAUGUCCUAGUAAAGGAAAAAAUCUCAUUUUAUUCUCUCUUCCAUUGCAAGCAUUAAGGUUUCCUCCCUAUAAUUCCAAUCCAAUUAUCUCUAGUAACUCAAGAUUCAACCAUGGGAAUUCGAAACAAACUGGAGAUUUGGAAUCCCCAGUUCAUAAGCUUCAAGGAGCACCUAUUAUUUUUGCAUAUAGAGGUACGUGGGAUGAUCCUAAAAAUCUCAUGGGCUUAAAAAAAUUCAUGUUUUGAAAUUGGGGGUUUUGGAAAUUAUGAAUAUAAUCAUGUUUUAAGCAUCUCUAUGAUAUUGAUUUGGUCUUUAGGCCUAUUCCAAAGUGAUUUGAUAUAUUAUGUAUGUAUAUGCUUGUGAUUUAAAAAGAUGAUAACUUGAGAGCAUGAAUUAUAUGAAACCUCUCUCUUGAUAUGAAAUUGUUAUGAAUUUUCAUAUGAUGUAAAUUGUUUGAAAUCAUCUUGACAAGCAUGACAUGAAAUAUUUUGAAAGUGGAUAUGAUUUUUGACUUGCAAGGAGAGGGUUGUUAUGUUGAAAUAUGAUGAAUAUAAUGGUUGCAUGAAAGAAUGAUGUGAUAUUGAUAGCUUGCAAGUCGGGUAUGAUGGUACCCUACAUAAUAUGAUAUGUGAUUGAAUUAAAUGGAGUUGAAUGCAUUGAUUUUACAUGAGAUAGGUGGAUGCCCGAAGAAGGCGUUUGAGUGUAAGGUCUCAUCGCUGGAAAUCGUAUUUGCCGACAUGGGAAUUUGGUACCUUGCUUCGUGAUCUUGCAUACCUGACUUUAUGUCAUCCCAAAUUGGGACUAUGGUUAGGAGCCCUGCUUUGUGAUCUUGUGCACUACCAUACUUUAUUGGGUUGAGACACCCUGCUGUGUGAUCUUGUAUGUCUUCCCCUCACUUAUACUCUAAUCUCGGUGGUAACCGAGGUUUGACAGUUAGUCUAAAUGUGAUAUGUAGGGUAUUCCACCUUGUUCAACUACAUUACAUUGUUGUUUGAAAAUUAUUACAUUAUGCCCAUGUUCUUUUCAAAUGAUUUGAUACAAAACUGCUUUAUAAUGGCUCUCACUUAUAUUCUGUAAAAAUGUUAUAUUUUUGUUUUGAAUUUCUCUGCGUACCAGUACUUUUGUAUUGACCCCUUUCCUCCCAAGUUCGGAGGCAUAGUCUAGAGGUCCAGAUAAUCAGUAGAUUCUUCAGACAGAUUUAUAGAGUCGGAUGGUGAGUCUUCUAUCUUUUGGAAGGCCUAAUGUCUGGCAGAUUAAUUAUUAUUUAGUUGUUUUGGAUCUACUGGGGCCUUGUCCCAGUUUUCAGACAUUGUUUAUUUUAGUCAUGUAGUAGAGAUUUCGCACACGGGUGUUCAGAUGCCGAUAGAUGUUGUGGGACAUUAUUUCCUCUUUGUUGAUUUCAUUUGAUUUAUGACCAUGUUUCCGUAAUAUUGUAAAUCUUCCGCAUGUCCUAUUAUCAUAUGAAUUAUGUGCAUGAUUACCAGAUAGAUAGAGGUGUUUCGGGCCUUCAUGGUUUGGAAUGCUCGUCACGGCCAGGGCACCAGUUCGGGUCGCGACACCUUACAUGUAGUGGCAAUAAUUUUUAUGUCUAGCGAAAGUUGAAUUUUUAUAAUGCAAUAGAUAAUAUAUCUGUUGUAAUAGAUAUAGUACCUAUUUUGAUAGAUUGAUUAUCUGUUGAAAUAGGUUGGUUAUCUGUUGUAUUAUGCAGAUAUUUCCCAAUCUAUCUGUAGUAACAGAUAUACAAUCUGUUGCAACAUAUAAUCUAUUUGUUGCAACUGAUAGGUAAUUUGUUGGAACAAAUCAAGAAAGUAGGAAGACCUGUUAUAUAAUUUCCAGCAGAUGACCUAACUAAAUGGUUGGAGUCCGUGUAUAAAGAAGAAUAUAUACAAAUAUAGAGAUGAACACGAUAAUAAUUUUUUAUUUCAAGCCACUUCACUUUACAUGUAGUGGCAAUAAUUUUUAUGUCUGGCAAAAGUUGAAUUUUUUAAUGCAACAGAUAGUAUAUCUAUUAUAAUAGAUAUAGUACCUAUUUUAAAAGAUUGAUUAUCUAUUGAAAUAGGUUGUUUAUCUGUUGUAUUAUGCAGAUAUUUCCCAAUCUACCUGUCGCAACAGAUGUACAAUCUAUUGCAACAUAUAAUUUAUCUGUUGCAACUGAUAGGUGAUGUUGGAACAAAUCAAGAAAGUAGGAAGACCUGUUAUAUAAUUUCCAGCAGAUGACCUAACUAAAUAAUUGGAGCCCAUGUAUAAAGAAGAAUAUGCACAAAGACAGAGACGAACACAAUAACAAUUUUUUAUUUUAAGCCACUUUACUUUACAUAUAGUGACAAUAAUUUUUAUGUCUAGCAAAAUUUGAAUUUUUAUAAUGCAAUAGAUAGCAUAUCUUUUGUCUUAGAUAUAGUACCUAUUAUGACAGAUUGAUUAUCUUUUGGAAUAGGUUGGUCAUCUACUGCAUUAUGCAGCUGUUUCCCAAUCUGUCUGUCAUAACAGAUAUACAAUCUGUUGUAAUAUAUAAUCUAUCUGUUACAACUGAUAGAACAGAUAGGUAAUCUGUGGAACAAAUUAAGAAAUUAGGAAGACCUGUUAUAUAAUUUCCAGCAGAUGACCUAUAUGUUGCAUCUCAUGUUGUAACACCCCAUAUUUCCUUAGAAUAAUCUAAGUCUCAAUACAUGAGUAUUUGUAUAUAAAAUUUUUGAAACACUCACAUUUUUCAGUUUAGAGCCUUCUAUUGCGUAGGAAAUUCAAUUAGCUUUCCGAUGAUAUAAAAUUUACCCAAAUCCUAUAACCGGGUAAGAAGUUAUGGCGAUUUUAAGUUUCAGUCAUUAAACACCAUUACUUUUUACCCUUAGCACAUCUCGGAGUCAGUGUAAAUAGCAAUUGUCAAUUUUCAGUGUUGAUCCACGAUAGUGGCAUGUUGCGCCGUAGGCCCAGUUCAUAAUUGUCUAAUUCCAGUGAGGCAGCGCGAUCAUGGCGCGCCGUGCCAAUGGUGAAAUUCAGAAUCAAAGGGGCACCGCGAUUUCUUUGCAUCGCGCCGUCAGCCCAGUUCCCAGUUGUUAGUUUCCAGUGACACGCCGCGAUUGCAUCUCGCCAGGUGCCCAUUUCGGAAAAAUUUGAUAAAAAUUAAAAGUUUCACCCAAGGGUAAAACAGUUCUUUCCCCUAAUUUUAAUCCGCCCAGGUGUGCUUUUAAGUCCUAAAAACAUUUUUGAACUCAUUAUUUUAAUUAUUUUCCUCAAAUUAAGAAGCUUUCUCCCAAAUCAAGAACCCUAACUCUCCAAUUUCAAGGCCAAUCCUCAAGAACUCACCAAGAAUUUUAGAAAAUUCAUCAAUUAAGGUAUGUAAGAUGUUCAUCCAUGGAUUCCUUUCAUCCAUGGAGCCCAAGUAACCCAUUUUAAUCACCAAGGUAUAAUCUUUUCAAGUUAUUAUGUUUUAAAUUAUGAUUUCAUCCAUGAAUCUCCAUGCACUAUUGAUUUUAUACGAUGUUACCAUGAAAUUAUGUUACUAUUCAAUUCUCCAUGUGUUAAUAUUAUUAUUUAUCAAAUUAAACCAUGAUUUAGUACUAUUAUGUUGAAUUCAUGCUAUUUUUAUAAGUUUCAUGGCAUUUCUAUGAUUGUUUUAAACCCUGAACUACAAGUAGUUGAUAAAAUGACUACAAGAGUGACUGACUUAAAUAAAAGCCUUCAUGUUUUUUCCUUCAAGCUUUAGUAUCAUUUUAAUAUUAUUGUUUUGAGUACUGGGGGUAUUGAAUACCCAAAAUCCAUAGUUGUUUAAUUAGUCUAGUAUCAGUACAUUAUAGAAUAGUCUUCAGAACAAUCUAUGAGCAUCUUCAGAACAGUCAGUUACUAGUCAGAUGAAUUCAGAGCAGUCUAGUAUUUCAGUGUCUUUUAGUUGGUAAUAGGAUUUAGCAUCGAGUGAGUGUAUGGAUGGCGGCUUCUCCGUCAGAUAGGCAGAGUUAUUAGUAGUAAUCCCUAUACUCCAGAACUAUGUAGCCAGCAUAGGAUAUGAGUAGUCACCCAUCAUACUAGGCUUGACUAUCUCACGGGGGUCACCCGUCAGUUCAAGCUUGACAGCCUUAGUCCUUUGGAAAUUAUAUCAGUUUAGUGGAUCAACAUAGCCAUCAUUGGUACCCGUGGCACGGUAUUAACACCCUUCUAAAUGGGGUUAUAGGUUGGACCCCGAUUAGCUCAAAUUAGGGAAUAUCGAUUAGAUGAUACCUCCCACAGUAUCAAAUAGAGUAUCAGUUAUAGUCUCAGCACAGUUAUGCAGUCUUAGAGUUGCUUGACCAAAGCAUACAUAUAUUAGUAUUUUUUUUAGUAUAUUUUAGUUUACAGAUUUUAUUCAGUCCAUGUUAUAUGCUUGGUCAUGCCUCCCAGGGUCUACAAAUUAGCACGUAUCUUUAGUAUUUAUAGACUGUCAUGCAUACUCAAUAUUUACAGAUUAUCUAUAUUUUCAGUAUCUACAGAUUCUAUGUUCUCUACUCAGCACUCCAUGUUUUACAUGCAUAUUCAGUUAAUUUAUUAAUUUUGUUCUUGAAACCAUGCCUAUCAGCCUACCUCAUUUAGCAUACUAGUAUAUUUAAAGUAAUAAUCGCAUACCUUUCUUUUGUGCUAUGAUGUAUUAUAUCAUAGGUGUUGACGCUCAAUUCCCAUACCGCGCUUAGACUUUACUCCGAGGACAGAUUAUUUUACUUCAUAUCUUUAUUUCAGUAGUUAGCAGAAUUAGUUGGGGGUCUGUCCCAUCAACUCAUAUUCAGUCAGUCAGUUUUAGAGGCUUUUCAGACAUAAGAGUCAGUUAUUUAGAAUUCAGACAUUACAGUUAGUUAUCCAGUUUAUCAUUAUUUUAUCAAAUUCAGUCAGUUGUUUCUAUAGACUCAUAUUUUAGUUUUAAAUUCAGUUAUUAAAACCUUAUGGCAUGUCAGUAUUCUUCUGUAUUUAUGAUCAUGUUAUCUAGUGCUCACAGCAGGUACCAGCUCAUAGGUUAGCUUAUGAUCCCUCGGGACUGUAAGCACCGAGUAACGACUAGGGGUAGUCCUGGGUCAUUACACAUGUUGCAAUAUAUAUCUAAAUCUAUAUGAUAAGAUAUGUCGUUUGUUGCAGCAGGUGUAUUAUCUGUUUUGAUAUUUGAAUCUAGUAUUCUAUUUCAAUUGACAUGUUCAAAACUAAGGAAUAAAUUAUAUUCAUAUACAACAUAAAAUAAAUUGAAGCCUUCAAAAAUUAUAUGAAAUAACUCAACAAAUAAAUGAAAUGUAAAAAAAAUAUUAUGGGUACAAAUGAUCUACUCUACAAAUAAUUCAACAAGUUAAACCAAGGAGGAUAGGUUAUUACAUUGACGGACUUAAGCUAUAAAUAUCUACUCAAUAUGGACAAGUUGUUCUUCAUCCGGUGCUAUGGAAUUCAGCUUUGAUCGUCGUGGAUCUUUAAUGACGCUUCCGCAUGGCUACUGAGCUUUUGCUUCUCCGUAUUUCCAUAAAAGAGCAACAUAUUUUUUGUUGAGUAAUCCGGCAUCAAGUCCAUCAUUUGGUACUUAUAAUCCAUCACUCAAAUAAUCGGCAUAGGCGGCAUCAAAAAGACCGCAAUCCUUGCAUUUUAAAAAAAAUAUAUAAUUCGUAUCUUGCAUUGUGAAAUUUAUGAAAUGAAACUAAAUCAUGACACUUACAGGCUACCAAUGGUUUAUUGAGGUUUAUUGAGCAAUUCCUUCAACAUAUUGUACAGCAAAUAGAUUACCCAUUUUAUCCCGAUAUGCUUCAAUCGUUAACCAAUCAGUACGAACCUUUUGGUCUAAAAAGCCACUCAUAUCAAGGUAAGUAGGCAAUAUUUUGGCCAACUUUUGUAUCUCAGACGACGGCCCAUAACGUCUCCUUCAUAACAUUGAGUCAUAAUCUCGGAUGUGCCUCUCUUUUAAAACGAUACCAGCUAACACCCAAUGGAAUUCAUCACCACAAUUGAUUGGGAUGUACACUUCAUCGAUCAAAUGCCAAGGUAAGCCAACUGGAAUGCUAAAACCUUUGAUGAUGUUGAUUAAGCAUUCCUCAUUUCGGGAAACUUCCAGCUGUUGUUGAUACUACCUAUCUUAGGCAUUAUUGAUGUAAACUUUUUACAAAAUAAUUGUCUCUCGUGUAUCUAUAUUGUUCUUGUAUUUACAACUUUGCCUUCUUUUAGAGGUAGUAAAAAAUGACAUCUAUGUGCUACACAUAUUAUCAAACAUUUUGGAUUACGUGAUGAAAAAAUUAAUACACAGAUGCAAUUAAAUUAUGAAUUAAUUAAUAGUAAUAUGUAAGACAUUUAAACCUUAUCAUUCCAAUAAGUUUAGGGUUGUGACAUCAAAUAGAAACAAUUCUUCAUUCUGGGAUAUGUUGCAACAACAAAGUCGAACAUAUCAAAACCAAGACUCGAUUCAUUCACUUUGUAGUGUUCAUCAUUUUGUUUUCUACAUGAUGAUUUAUAUGUGUUAAUGUCAUGUUCUUACAACAAGAAUUAUAUAAACCAAUAUAUUUAAAAUUGAUUUAUGUACCUGCCGGUAUGAUGCUUUAACAACCUAUCGGCAAUCCAUUCUGAAUAGUCAUUGAUCAACUGUGUUAGUUUUUUUGGAACCUCAUCCGAUAUAUUGAACCCUUCAAACAGGUAAUCCUUUCGUUCUCCCGAACUGGCAAGCUCCACUUUUUCUACUUCUUUGGAAGUAGUUGAUGGAUUAUCAACUGUGAUAUUAUGCUCUUAAGUGGUAGCUUCUACUGUGACAUCCACAUAGAAAGCCAAAAUUGUCAAUGCUAAUUACAGAUAUACAACAGAUUAUCCAUCGAUUGCACUAAAUGAGUCUUAUGUUGCAACAGAUGGAUCAUCUGUUAGGAUAAAUUCAAAUAUGUAAAUCAGAGCAGUAUGAUAAUUUCAAACACAUAACCCAUCUAUUACAACAUAAGACUCAUCUAUUGUAACAGAUAACACAUCUGAUGUAACAGGUUAGUCAACAGUUGCAACAGAUGUAUAUAUCUAUUUGAAAAUUUUUAGCAGAUGUAUCAUCUGUUGAAACAAAUAUGUGCCUAUUUGUUUGUUGGAACAGAUGAUGAACAUUCACCUUUUGCAGCUCAUGUUGCUCUCCUGUGGCCCUUGCACACUGAACAACGGUAUAAGAUAAAGACAGAGGCAUUGUAAUUUUACUUUUUUUGAUGCUUGAUGAUGCCUUGGAAAUAUCUUUCCUUCUCCUCUUAGCCACCUUGAUCUCUAGUGGAGUGUAUGGAUAUGAAAUCCUCUUUGAUAGAAUAACACCCCUCUUAGAUGCCAUAUUCUUUAGAGAAGCAGUUAGUGCAUUAAUAGCAUUAAUCACACCAUCAUAUUUCGUCUUGCAGUCUUGACAUUUGCAUGCAAAACAUUUGCUAAAUGUGGUAAAAUAUGGAUAAAAAUCUGUACAACCAGUAUGAUCAUAAUAAUAAUGGCUUGUUAUUUCAAAAACUGUAAGAGGAGCAUCAUUAUCCCCAACAGCAGCAGCACUACUACUACCACUACCAUCAACAACCGCAACAAUCCCACCCUCUAAAAUUAUUUUUCUUGUGAUGGUUGUUUCUCCAAACAAUUCCAUUUUUAUUCUAUAAACUACUUUAGGGUCCGAUAAAGUUUGCACAUACCAUAAAGUAAGAAAAAAUGGCAUCUCCAACUCUCGGUUGGUCGAAACAAGCUACAGAUAUACAAUCUAAAAUAAAUCAGUACUUAUAUUAGAAUGAUGAUGAAAUCAUUUAAAAUAAUCAUUAAUUAAAAUAAAAACUUGAUUAGAAUUGGACUUACUGCUUUCUUUGGGGAUUGAAAAGAUCAAGAAAUUUUAUAUUUUUAUCAAUUUUGGCCGACAACCAUCUCAGGAUUCUUGGAUAGGAAACUUCUUCCUGGUAGUUCACUUGUUGUCUCAAAUAAGGAAUAGCUUCAAAUGCCCAAGUCUAUAACAUAACGCCAAUAAAUCAAAAGCAUUAUUGAAUAAAAAAUUGAAUCAUAUCAUGAUAAAAGGUAUAUUUACCAUGAAGGCCCAUGAAAAGCCAUAUAAGUUGACUGUUUUGGCGUUAACGGAGUCAACAAAUAUUUGACAGUCAAUUUAAAGCUAUCAUAACCCCAAGGAUAGCUACUAAAUGUCUCAAGAUCCUCCGAGAGAGUUAUUAAACUGGGGCUUAUGUUGUUGUUAACGUCUCUCGUCCAAAGAAUAUUAUGUACAAACCAAACCAAGCACAAUGAUUGCUUGUUCUUCUUUGAGAGUCCUUUACCACUCAACACUUCUAUCAAAUUUUUUUUUAAGCUUGGACCAACAAUGGACACUAGGUCAUCAUGAUCACUCGACUUGCCUUUGCCUUUUUGGGUGUGUGGGGUGCUUUUUUGGGUUAGAGUAGGUAUAACUUGAGAAGGAGAAGGAGGAUAACAUUUUAGUCCAGUAACUAUGGCAAACUCUUUCCAACCAAAACAACAGGUGUGACGCCCCAUAGUUUUCUUGACUCGAUAUCACUUUGUAGUAUGCUUGGAGGGUCAACCUUCUAGAGAUGAAAUUAAACUCUCACCUCCCUUCAAGAAGUUGAAUUGAGUCACCUGUACCCUAUUAGAGAGGAAGAGUGACACAUUUUGAACCCCUAACCUUUGAUAAUUUUAUUUUCGACCUUCCCAACCUUGGAAAGUUAAUUUUUAAGUUGAUUCAUGAUCGAAGAAGUUAAUAGUACAUGUCGGGUAAGUUUCAGAAUUUUUGGACAGCGUUAGAGGUAUAUUUGGGUGUUGGAAGCAGUGGCCCGACAAAAAGUCAGUGCACCACAUCGAUGAUAGAAUCGAUGAAGCAGUGGACCGAUGCGAUCUCAACGCGUCACAUCAGGUAACGCAUCGAUGCCUAGUUUGCAUUUUUUAAAAUAAUAAUCAGCCUUAGGGAGGGAAUUAUAGUCUUUUCCUCGCCCUAUCUCUACCAUAACAUGAGAUUAAAGUGUCAUUAGAGCAAAAUACAUCAGAAAAACUAAUUCCCUCUCUCUAAUCAAAACCCUAGUCUCUCCCUCAUAGAUCAAGAGUCCAUCUUUGAAGUCAAGGAUUUCAAGAACUUAAGUGUGAUUCGGAUUCCACUCUUCCUUCUAAGCAACCUAAGGUACAUGGGGUUUUCCUAAAACUACAUGGGCAUAAAGGAAUUGUUUCAACAAUAUUUAUUGUGAAAUCAUGAAUUCUUGAAGGGAUUUUGAAAUUUACAAUACAAUUUUGCUUUAUGAAUUAUUUAAUGGAAAAAUUGAUUUGGUCUUAAGGCCUUUCCCCCAAAUUUGAUUUAUAGCCAUGUAUAAGUAUAUAUAUGUAUGUGUUAUGAGUUUAAAUGAUAAAUUGAGAACAUGAUCUAUUAGAAAUCCCUCUCUUGUUUACAAGUUUCUUGUUUUCGUUAGUUAUGAUUUAUUUGAAAUGCAUUGUUGGAACUAUGAUAUAAAUGUCUUGAUUUUGUUUAUGAUUUAAGUAUGGUUUUAAAUUGAAGAGGGGGUGUCUUACUUGGUGUUAAAGUUUAAAGAUGCUUACUAAGAAGAUUGCAUAUUCUUGCCACAAGUUUCAUGAUCACUACAUAUUUGUUAAAAUAUUAAAAAGAAUAAUUUUUACAUAAUUUGACAAAUGCUUUGAAGUACGAAUCUUCUUAAAUUGUUUGAAGUAUGGUGGUCCAAACACUAUGUUUUGAAAGAGAAAACUGUAAAUGAUAUUGAAUGGCUUAGAUAUGACUUGCAAGUCUUGGUAUAACGGUACCAAUACAGACAACCAUAAUAGACACAGAAUAAAAUAGAAUCAGAUUUUACUCAGACUUACAGAUCUUGAAUUCAGAAAGAUGCAUAUUUAGAAAAGGCUAAAAUUAGGCAUAAAGAGACGUUAGGUGGUUCCCCGAAGAAGGCAUGAGUUCAGAUAACUUAUUUCCUAAAACUAUUUUUUAUUGGUACGGGUUAUUACAUACCCUAGAGGGAUUUUAUGCUAGCCUAGUUCCCUGUGGUGUAUCAGACUCAAACACUCCAAUCUUUGCGGCAAACUUAGGUUGGGGACUUCUCCAUCGAGUCAAUGGCAGAUUUCAUAUAGUCCAUAAAAUAUCAGACUUGUAGGGGUGUGCCGCCUAACUCAGAAGUAAUACAAAUAUCAAAAUUGCAUUGAUCAGAAUUUUUUAUGAUUUUAAAGAAUUGCCCAUGUGUUUUUCACCUAUAUUAUGCAUGAUGUUUCAUGACCUGCUCUCAUCUAUUUUAUAUAUAUAUAUGCAUUAUUUCGGAUUCCUCUGCGUACCAGUAUAAUUGUAUUGACCCCCUAUCUUUCGGGGUCUGAGGCUUAGUCUAGAGGUCCUGCUAAGCCGUAGACUUGUUCGGACAGAAGAUAAGUGUGUACAGUUGGUGAGCCUUCUUUAUUUUGGAAGGCCUAUUUCUUUUCAAUCAGUUGUCAUUUUACUUGAUUUAGGCCCACUGGGGGCCUUGUCCCAGAGUCAGACAAGUUAUUGACAUCUUAUGUAGUAGAGAUUUUACAGACUGAGAAAGGUGUUGUUUAAAUGUUGAAAAAUUAUUUUUUGUAUUAUCAAAGAGAUUUCAGAUUUAUGACCAUGAUUCUGUUUAUUAUAAUUCCCCAUCUUUUAUUUAUUAUUCGAGUAUUAUGCAUAAUUACCAGAUGUAGAAGGGCGCUCGAGCCUCCAUGGUUUGGGGUGCUCAUCACAACCAGGUCCCCAACUCGGGCCGUGACAAACUUGGUAUCAAAGCACGGUUCAUGAUCCCAGGAUGUCUGCGAAAUCGCAUCAGGUGGAGUCCUAUUUAUUGGUGUGUAGUGCGCCACAUUCAUAAGUGGGAGACUACUAGACGUUUAGGAAUGUCUCCCUUCUUUGUGAUUUAGUUCGUGUUGUAGAGUCUGAAAUGUCCCCUAAUCAAUGGUCUCUUGUAUUUCAGAAAAGCUAUCAUGCCUCCAUGUCGCUCUGAUGAUCAGAAUGCCUAAACUGAAAAUGUCUGUCCUACCCAUGGGAUAAGGACACGUAAUAAGGCUUUCACUUCUGAAUUUGUUGCUACUUUGGGAGUCCAUCCAGUUCUGACCAGCCCACCCAGGGCACCUAGGGCUCCCUGGUCAGGGACUAACCAUACCCAACCUCCCUAGAGAAAGAGAUAUCGAAUGCUGAGUUCAGGCAAUCGAUGCAUAUGAUCGCACAGUUGGUAGAUUUUCAAGCACGACUUUUGGAGGAUGUUGGGUCUGCGUCUUUCAUAUCUGAGGCUACACGAGUGGGUUAGUUUAUGAUAAUGAACCUACCUAAGUUUACUGGUAUAAAGGUGGAGGAGGAUUCAUAAAAGUUCAUAGAUGAGAUGGAGAAAAUCUUUUGAGUGAUGCAUGUAGAUGAAGUAGAAGGGGUUGAACUAGCGGCUUAUCAAUUGAAAGAGGUAGAAAAUCAGUGGUACAUUGAGUGAGAAGAUUUAGGGGGUGAGAAUACUGAUCCUUCUAUAUGGGGCGAAUUUGUUGAAGCCUUCCUGGACUGAUUCUUUCCCCGAGAGUUGAGGGAGUCCAAGGCUGAAUAGUUCAUAAACCUGAAACAAGGAAAGAUGAGCGCCAAAGAGUACACCCUGAAAUUAAAUAAACUAUCUUGUUAUGCUCUGGAGUUGGCAAGAAACAUGAGGACCCGUGUAAGAAAGUUUGCAUUUGGCCUUUUGGAUGACUUGGUGUUAGAGUGCAAGGGGGCGAUAUUGAACAGGGAUAUAGACUUCUCUAGAUUAUCUAUUUAUAAGCAGUAGGUGGAGGAGCAGAAGAAGAUGGUUGCUGAAGCAAGGGAGAAGGAUAGGCAGGCCAAGAGGGCCUGACCAGCAGACCAGAACCACAGUCAGCCACAGAGUGGUAAUUGGGGUAACAGGUGGCAGAAGAGAAAAAGUUUUUGGGUAAUGCUCAAUCUGCGGCGAGUGCUCCAGCGCCCAGACCUUCAGUUGACCGACGAUGAUCUAGAGUGUAGGGUACUCAGUCCCAGGGCAGUGCAGCUCAGUCGUAAUGGACCUUUGAAACCGAUUGUAUGCUUUGUCCAAUUUCAAGAUGCAGAGGCUUCCCCAGAUGUAGUCAUGGGUAUGUUACAAAUCUUCUCUCAUGAUGUAUAUGUGUUGCUUGAUCUUGGGUCUACCUUAUCUUAUAUGACCCAAAGUUAUUGCAGAACCUUUCUUUGUUUCUACUCCUGUUGGUGAUUCUGUUGUGGUAGGAGGGUAUAUAAAAAUUAUGUUGUGUUUAUUUGUAGUCAUGAUACCAUGGCAGACCUCAUAGAACUUGACAUGAUUGAUUUUGAUGCUAUUUUAGAAAUGGACUGGCUCCAUUCAUGUUAUGCCACGCUAGACUGUAGAACCCGAAAGGUUACAUUCUUUUUUUCGAAUGAACCAGUGAUAGAAUGGGAGGGUCAUUCAUUAGCACCUAGAGGGAAAUUCAUAUCUUACCUUAUAGCACGUAAGCUCAUUUCCAAAGGGUGUUCGUAUCAUCUGAUCCGAGUAAAAGAUUCUAAUAUUAAAAGUUUUGUAUCAUCUGAUCCGAGUAAAAAAUUCUAAUAUUAAAAGUUCUUCUCUUCAGUCUGUCCCUAUGGUUAAUAAGUUUCCAGAAGUCUUUCCCGGUGAUCUCCCAGGAAUACCACCUGAUAGGGAAUUAGAUUUUAGUUUUGAUUUAUUACCAGACACUCGUCCCAUUUCUACUUCAUGAUAUAGAAUGGCUCCUGCUGAAUUGAAAGAGUUGAAAGAGGAACUAGCAGAUCUUCUUGAUAAAGGCUUCAUCUGUCCUAGUGUUUCUCCCAGGGGUGCGCCUGUACUUUUUGUACGUAAGAAAAAUAGUUUCCUCCGUAUGUGCAUAGACUACCGCUAGUUGAAUAAGGUCACUAUCAAGAAUAAAUAUCCCCUUCCUAGAAUUGAUGGUUUCUUUAACCAACUUUAGGGUGCUAAGUGUUUUUCAAAGAUAAACCUUUGUUCGGGGUAUCAUCGGUUGAAGGUUAGGGAGGCUGACAUUCCCAAAAUAGCUUUCUGAACCCGAUACGGUCAUUAUGAAUUCUUACUCAUUUCCUUUGGUUUGACUAACGCUCCUGCAGCCUUCAUGAACCUAAUGAAUAGGGUGUUUCGUUAGUUUUUGGAUCUGUUUGUUAUAGUCUUCAUUGAUGACAUUUUGAUUUACUCUAAGAAUGAGAGGAUCAUGCCAGUCACCUCUGAAUUAUUCUUCAGACCCUCAAAGAUCAUAGAUUAUAUGCGAAAUUUUCCAAGUGUGAAUUCUGGCUUAAUGCUAUUGCUCUCUUAGGGCAUAUUGUGUCUAGUGAGGGAAUUAAAGUUGAUCCCCAAAAGAUUGAGGCAGUAAGAAAAUGGCCCAGACCCAUGACUCCAACCGAUAUUUCGAGCUUCUUGGGUUUGGCGAGGUAUUACAGAAGAUUUGUAGAGAGUUUUUCUUCCAUAGCUGCUCCACUUACCAGAUUGACACAGAAAAAGGUGAAGUUUAUAUGGUCUGAGUCCUGUGAAAAUAGUUUUGAGAAGUUGAAAGACAAGUUGACUACUGCACCUGUUUUGGAUCUUUUAGAAGGUACAGAGGGUUUCGUUGUAUAUUGUGAUGCGUCCUAGAUGAGACUUGGGUGUGUACUUAUGCAGCAUGGUAAGGUGGUAGCUUAUGCAUCUAGGCAGUUGAAGGUGCACGAGCGAAACUACCCCACCCAUGACUUGGAUUUAGUGGAUGUGGUGUUCGCACUUAAGAUUUAGCGGCAUUAUCUGUACGGGGUACACAUUGAUAUAUUUACUGACCACAAAAGUUUGCAAUAUGUUUUCUUACAGAAAGAAUUAAAUCUCAGGCAGAGGCGCUGGUUGGAACUUUUGAAGGGUUAUUAGAUGAGCCUGCACUAUCAUCCGGGCAAGGCGAAUAUGGUGGCCGACGCCCUCAAUUGAUUAUCUAUGGGUAGUCUUUCUCAUAUUUAGGAAGGAAAAGGAUAGAUGGUGAAAGAUAUUCAAUGGCUUGCAAAUAUAGGGGUGCAACUUCUGGAUUUCGAAGAUGGAGGAGUAGUUGUGCAUGAGAUAGCGAAAUCCUCCUUAUGUGCUGAAGUAAAGGAAAAGUAGGCCAAGGACCCCAUUUUGAUGCAAAUCAAGAAAGAUGUGGGUCAGUAGAAAGUAAUUUUGUUUGAAAUUAGCGGUGAUGGUAUUUUGAGAUAUCAAGGUAGGUUAUGUAUGCCAGAUGUGGAUGGUUUGCAAAAAAUAAUUCUUGGCGACGCUCACACUUUGAGGUAUGUUAUUCACUAACGCUCUACUAAAAUGUACCAUGAUUUUAAAGUUAUAUAUUGGUGGACUAAUAUGAAACAUGAUGUGGUUGAUUUUAUCUCUAAGUGUUUAAAUUGCCAACAAGUUAAAGUGGAACAUUUGAGACUAGGUGGUACUUCCUAAGAGAUAGCUUUGCAAUGGGAGAUGAUCAAUAUGGACUUCAUCAAAGGACUUUCGAGGUCCCGAAACCAAUAUGAUUCCAUUUGGGUAAUUGUGGAUCAGUUGACCAAGUCAGCACACUUUUUACCUGUGAUAGCUAACUACUCGGGAGGUGAUUAUUCCAAGCUGUACAUUAAGGAAAUACGCCGUUUGAAUGGGGCACCGGUAUCCAUUAUAUUCAAUCGAGGUAUGUAAUUCUCUUCAUAGUUUUGGAGAGCGUUUCAGAGGGGUUUAAGUACCCAAGUGAACCUGAGUACUGCAUUCCACCCUCAGACAGAUGGGAAAGCUGACCGCACCAUUCAUACCCUUGAGGACAUGUUGAGGGCUUGUGUAAUUUACUUCAAAGGUAGUCGGGUAGAUCUUUUUCCAUUGAUAGAGUUUUCCUACAAUAAUAGCUACCCAUGUCAGCAUUAAGAUGGCCCCUUUUAAGGCACUUUAUGGGAGGAUAUGUAGAUCACCGAUUGGGUGGUAUGAAGUAGGUGAAACACGGGUAUUUGGACCUGAGCUUGUUCAUCAGGCAAUGGAGAAGGUGAAAAUCAUUAGAGAAUGACUCAAGACAGCCUAGAGUCGCCAGAAAUCCUACGCCGAUGUUAGAAGAAGGGAGCUAAAAUUUGAGGUUGGUGAUUAGGUGUUUCUAAAAGUCUCCUCUAUGAAGGGAGUCAUACGAUUUGGGAAGAAAGAAAAGUUGAGUCCUCGCUUUAUAGGACCAUAUCAGAUUGUGAGAAGAAUAGGUGGGGUCACUUAUGAGUUAGAGUUGCCCGCAAAUCUGUUCAUCCCAUAUUUCAUGUGUCCAUGUUAAAAAAGUGUAUUGGAGACCAUUCCCUAGUGUUGCCUGUAGAGAAAAUCAAAGUGACAGAUUCCUUGUCAUAUAAAGAAGAGCCUAUUGCAAUCUUGUAUUGCCAAGUUCGAAAGUUGAGGAGUAAAGAAAUAACUUCGGUCAAGGUGUUAUGGAAAAUCAAAAUACGGAGGAAGCUACUUGGAAAUCAGAAGAUGACAUAAGAAGUAGGUACCCAGGACUCUUUGAGAUAGUGAGUAAUGACAUAAAAGGUAUCACUCAUUUAGUCUCUCUCUAUGCUCUUUCUUUUUCUUUGGUAUGUUUUAAAUCGUAUUUGUCUGUGCUCUAAGCCAUCAUUCGGGGACAAAUGAUCCCAAGGGGGGAUAAUGUGACACCUCGUAGUUUUCUCGACUUGAUAUCACUUUGUAGUAUGCUUGGAGGGUUAACCUUCUGGAGAAAAAAGUCUAAGUGUCAAAAGGACUUAGUCACAUUUUGAACCCCUAACCUUUGAUAAUUUUAUUUUUGACCUUCCCGACCUCGAAAAGUUAAUUUUUAAGUUGAUUCAUGAUCAGGGAAGUUAAUAGUACAUCUCAGGUAAGUUUCGGAAUUUUCGGACAACGUUAGAGGUGUAUUUGGGUGUUGGAAGCAAUUUCCCAUGCUAAGUCAACGCACCGCGUUGAUGAAGUAGUGGACUAACGCGAUCUCAACACGUCGCAUCGGGUAACACAUCGAUGCCCAAUUCACAUUUUUUUAAAUAAUAAUUGGCCUUGGGGAGGGUAUUAUAGUCUUUUCCUCGCCCUAUCUCUACCAUAACAUGAAAUUAAAGUGUCAUUAGAGAAAAAUACAUCAGAAAAACUACUUCCCUCUCUCUAAUCAAAACCUUAGUCCCCCCCAUAGAUCAGGAGUUCAUCUUUGAAGUCAAGGAUUUUAAGAACUUAAGUGUGAUUCGUAUUCCACUCUUCCUUCUAAGCAACCUAAGGUACGUGGGGUUUUCUUAAAACAACAUGGGCAUAAAGGAAUUGUUUCAACAAUAUUUAAACAUUGUGAAAUCAUAAAUUCUUGAAGGGGUUUUGGAAUUUACAUUACAAUUUUGCUUUAUGAAUUCUUUAAUGGAAAAAUUGAUUUGGUCUUGAGUCCUUUUCCCCAAAUUUGAUUUAUAACCAUGUAUAAGUAUAUAUAUGUAUGUGUUUGAUGAGUUUAAAUGAUGAAUUGAGAGCAUGAUCUAUUAGAAAUCCCUCUCUUGUUUACAAGUUUCUUGUUUUCGUAAGUUAUGAUUUAUUCGAAAGAGGUAGACCGAAGAUAUAUUGGAGGGAGAUGAUUAGACAUGAUAUGGAGCAAUUAUAACUUACAGAGGACAUGACUCUUGAUAGGAAGGUGUGGAGGACGCGGAUUAGGGUAGAGGGUUAGGGGGUGGGAGUGCGGAGGAAGUAAUAGGGGAGUGCUCCUUUGGGUCUGGAGUUUCUGGUUCGUAGUGUUGUGGCUGUAGUUUGGGGCUAGUGGUGUUGUCUUUUUUGCAUCCCGCACUAGUUUACUAUACACUUAUUUUUGUGUUUGUUAUACUGUUAGUUUGUUUUGUGUACCAUACUAGUUUAUAUACUCUUACUUUUUAUAUUUGUUAUACUGUGAUUGGUCCUAAACAGAGGGUCUAUCGGAAACAGCCUCUCUACUUCUCUUGAGGUAGUGGUAUGGUCUGCAUACACUUUACCCUCCCCAGAACCCACUAGGUAGGAAUACACUGGGUAUGUUGUUGUUGUUGUUGUUGUUGUUGUUGUUUGCAUUGUUGGAACUAUGAUAUAAAUGUCUUGAUUUUGUUUAUGAUUUGAGUAUGGUUUUGAAUUGAAGAGGGGUGUAUUACUUGGUGUUACAAGUUAAAGAUACUUAUUAAGAAGAUUGCAUAUUUUUGUCACAAGUUUCAUGAAAACUACAUAUUUGUUGAAAUACUGAAAAGAAUGAUUUUUACAUAAUUUAACAAAUGCUUUGAAGUACGAAUCUUCUUGAGUUGUUUGAAAUAUGGUGGUCCAAACACUAUGUUUUGAAACAGAAAACUGUAAAUGAUAUUGAAUGUCUUAGAUAUGACUUGCAAGUCUUGGUAUGACGAUACCAAUACAGACAAUGCCAUAACAGACACAGAAUAAAAUAGAAUCAGAUUUUACUCAGACUUACAGAUCUUGAAUUCAGAAAGAUGCAUGUUUAGAAAGGGCUAAAAUUAGGCAUAAAGAGACAUUAGGUGGUUCCCCAAAGAAGGAACGAGUUCAGAUAACUCAUUGACCAAAACCGUAUUUUGUCGAUACGAGUUAUUACAUCCCCUAGAGGGAUUUUACACUGGUCUAGUGCCCUAUGGCAUAUUAGAAUCAGACACUUCAAUCCUUGCGACAAACUUGAUUUGGGGACUUCCCCGCCGAGUCAAUGGCGGAUUCCAUAUAGUCCAUGAAAUAUCAGACUUGUAGGGGCUUGCCACCUAACUCAGAAGUAAUACAAAUAUCAGAAUAUCAUUGAUCAGAAUGUUUUAUGAUUUUCAAAGAAUUGCCCAUGUGUUUUUUACCUAGAAUAUGCGGGUUGUUUCAUGACCUGCUCUCAUCUAUUUUAUAUAUAUAAGUGCGUUAUUUUAGAUUUUCUGUAUACUAGUACAAUUGUAUUGACCCCCUAUCUUUCAGGGUCUGAGGCUCAAUCUAAAGGUCUUGCUAAGCCGUAGACUUGUUCCGACAGAAAAGAAAUGUGUGCAGUUAGUGAGCCUUCUUUAUUCCGGAAGGCCUAUUUCUUUCAGUCAGUUGUUAUUUUACUUGGUUUAGGUCCACUGGGGGCCUUUUCCGAGACUCGGACAAGUUGUUGACGUCUUAUGUAGUAGAGAUUUCAUAGACUGAGAAAGAUGUUGUUUAGAUGUUGAAAAACUUAUUUUCUGGAUUUUCGAACAAAUUUCAGAUUUAUGACCAUGAUUUCGUUUAUUAUAAUUCUACAUCUUUUAUUUAUUAUUCGAGUAUUGUACAUGAUUACCAGAUGUAGAAGGGCGGUCGAGCCUCCAUGGUUCGGGGUGCUCGUCACGGCCAGGGCCCCGGCUUGGGUCGUAACAACAGGCAUGCCACAGUAAUUUAUCCACACUUAAUCCAUCUUAUCUUUGUUUUCACAUAUCAACCUAUGCUUGAGAAGAUCGUAUACCAUUUUUAUCUGAAAACGAGCAUUGUUGUCCUCCGACAAAUCAAGAUAUUGCCCAAAGUAGCUUUCCCUGAAAUAAGCAUCUAAUUUUUGUUAUCGAAGUAUUUUUCUAAAGGCGUUGAAAGAUUUUUUCAUGGAUGACUUAACCACGAAAUCACUCGUUAAAUCUGUGGCACCAUCGCACUGCAUUCUCAUAGGAUAAUGAUUAAUGCUGAAGGUUUUGACCAACUCUUCAGCGGAAGGGCUAUUAGCAUUUAGAUCAUCUCUUUUGAAAUAUUCCUCCGCCCCGUGUUCAUUAUCUUCUGCUCCUAAUUAAGAUAACGCUUGUAAAGCAAGCUCAUAAAGUGGUGGAUGUAGUCGAGCUGUUGCACUAGUUCCUUUCUUGGACUUGAUUUGGUUUCUUUUCUUUUGGGAGCCAUAUUAUCUUAAAUUAAAAAGAACAUAAAAUAGAUUAUAAUUGAUUAAUGCAUCGUUAAAAAGGGAUAACAGUAAAUCUAACAUGCACAACGAUAAAAUAACAGUUCCAACAGAACACAUAUUUGUUGCACCAGGUAUGUUAUCUGUUGCAACAUAUAACCAACUUGUUACAAUGGAUGAGUAAACCAUUGAAAACAAUAAAAAAAGAUCACUAAUCUAUUGCACUGAAUAUUUUAUCUGAUGCAACAUAUAACCAACCGUUGCAACGGAUGAGUAAACCAUUGGAAACCAUAAAAAUAGAUCACUAAUCUGUUGCACCAGGUAGUUUAUCUAUUGCAAUAUAUAACCAACCUGUUGCAACAGAUGAGUAAUUCGUUGGAAACAGUAAAAACAGAUUACUUAUCUGUUGCACUAUGAAGGUUAUCUAUUGCAACAUAUAACCAACCUAUUACAACAGAUGAGUAAUCUGUUGAAAACCAUCAGAACGGAUCACUAAUCUGUUGCAUCAGGUAUUUUAUCUAAUGUAACAUAUAACCAACCGUUGCAACAAAUGAGUAAACCGUUGAAAACCAUAAAAACCGAUCACUAAUUUGUUGCACCAGGUAGUUUAUCUGUCACAACUUAUAACCAACUUGUUACAACGGAUGAGUAAUCCAUUGGAAAUAGUAAAAAUAGAUCACUCAUUUAUUGCACCAGAAAGGUUAUCUGUUGCAACAUAUAACCAAUCUGUUGCAACGGAUGAGUAAUCCAUUUGAAACAAUAAAACAAAUCACUGGGUCUGUUGAAAUAUACCACUCAUCUAUUGCAAAAUAAGUUAUCUGUUGGAUCAAUAUUAUUUAGAUUUCUUCCUGACGGAAGAGUCGUCUGUCGCAACAGAUGAAUGAUCUGUUAGAUUAUUCAUCUGUUGCAUCAGAUUUUCAUAGUUGCAUCAGAUGUUUUCAUUUGUUGCAUCAGAUGUUUUCAUCUGUUGCAUCAGAUGUUUUCAUCUGUUGCAUCAGAUGUCUUCAUCUGUCGCAUCAGAUAUUUCAUUUGUUGCAUCAGAUGUUUUAUCUGUUGCAAUACCAUUUUUACCAAGACAAAUAACAAAUCAACUCAGCAACACCAACAUAUCACACACACACUAAAAACAUCAACCGUGACCAAAAAUCACCAACAAAUUCGAAUCAAUAGUUUGACAAUAAGAAGAAGAAAUUCCAGAAAUUAGGGUUUUAUUCAGUCCACAUUUCAAAUUUAAGCUAGAAAUAUUGAAAUUGUUAACCAAUACUGGAAGAGUAGUUGGCUCAAGUUUCUCUGUUUCUUCAUAAUUUUUUACCUGUGAAAAAAGAAAUGGGACGACGAAGAACCGAAGUUGUCGCCGGAGAAGUCUUUAUGUUGAUUGACGGUUGAAAGUAGAAAGGAAACUCGCCCAACUAUUUGUCAACGGGGUUGAAGUCACCAGUGAUUGAAGGGGAAAUUUUGCAGAACUGUUGGUUGGGAGAGAGUGGAGAAAAAUUGUCGAGAGAGAGAGAGGAAAGAGACGGUUGAUUUGUAUUGAAGGGGGUGUGGGUUGAUUUGUAUUUUUGAAAAGAUUAUAAAGUUUUGAAAAUAUUAAUCAAGUUCACAAUUAACUUAAUCAAGUUUCCUAAUGAUGUUUGACCCUUUAAGUUGGUCAACAUCACUAAUAAGACACCUUUCCUUCAAUUUUCUCAAGAUUCUUUGGGAUGACUAAUACUAUUGUUUAUUGGGUUGGUUAGACAUAUAUAUAUUCGAUAUUUGAGCCGGGGGUUUAUCGGAAACAGCCUCUCUACUUCUUCGGAGGUAAUGGUAUGGACUGCGUACAUCUUACCCUCCCCAGACCCAACGCUGUGGGAAUACACUGGGUUUGUUGUUGUUGUUAUUGUAUAUUCGAUAUUCGGCAAAUACCGAAUACGAAACAGUAUUGAUAUCUUGUACCAAACACAAUUCCAAAUAUCGAAAUGUUGAAAUUUUACUACGAAAUACCAUAUCAAACAUCGAAUUAUUGAAUAUCAAUUACCAAAUUUUUCGAUUCAAUCUGGUAAUUUGAUUUUUGGUAUUUUAUGUCCAGUCCUGAGUAAAAUAGAGUGUGGUUGGAGAUGGACGAACAAAAUGUGUCACUAGCAAUUCACCCAACCCAACCCCUACGGAUCUAAUGCCUGUCCCCACAUCCCAUACUUACCGAAUCCGCAGCCCCUCCAAAUCUCCAAACAAACGCGUUACAUUCAUUUACAACUUCAUUUUCAAUCCUUUCAAUUGCCCAUUAUUCAAUUUCCCUUCUUCGAUCCUUCCUCCUCCCCCGUCAAACUCUACUAUAUAUAUCCUCCUUUGUGUCUCAAUCUAAACACACAUUCACCAAACAAUUAUCCCAUUUCAUCUUCAAAUUAAAGCACCUAAGUACAUAUUAGCAUCCUUGGCUUUCACGAAAUUUUCUAUAAUGUUGUUGCAGCUCUCUAUUCUUGCAGUUCUCUUGUUAUAUCCUGUGUGGGCUGAUAAUUUCUACCAAGACACGACGGUCACAUUUGGUGACCAACGAGCUCAAAUUCAAGAUGGCGGGCGCAUACUCGCCUUGUCCCUUGACAAAAUUUCAGGUUCUGGAUUUCAGUCCAAGAAUGAAUAUUUAUUCGGAAGGUUCGACAUGCAGCUCAAGUUAGUACCUGGAAAUUCUGCUGGCACAGUCACUACUUUCUACGUAAGUAACACUCUUUUAUUCUCUUCGAAACUAGUACUCUAGUAAUUAGCCGUGGAAACAAGUUGUUGGAGAAAUGUAGUGUAAGAUUGUAUAGAUACACUCUAGUGGUCCGGCCUAUCCCGGAUCCUGCGCAUAGUGGGAGCUUUAGUACACCAGGUUAUCCUAUUAACUAGUACUGUAGUAAUAAUAUAUCAUGUCCAACUGAUGAAGUUGUUUUUGGUGCAAUUUGCAGUUGUCUUCUCAAGGAGCAGGGCACGAUGAAAUUGAUUUCGAGUUUCUUGGAAAUUCAUCUGGACAACCUUACACGGUUCACACCAAUGUUUACUCUCAGGGUAAAGGCAACAAAGAACAACAAUUUCGUCUAUGGUUCCAUCCCACCUCAUCGUUCCACACCUACUCUAUUGUUUGGAACUCGCAACGUAUCAUGUACGUUACUAAUUAAACAACCUUUGAAUCUUAAGUCUAAACAGUUGCUAGAAGUACUUAGCGUUCAAGUCUGACAUUUUUCUAAUUGUCCAGAUUUUUGGUGGAUAAUAUCCCAAUAAGAGUGUUCAACAACCACGAAGCAAUAGGCGUUGCAUUCCCAAAGAAUCAAGCAAUGAGAGUUUACGCGAGUCUAUGGAAUGCUGAUGACUGGGCAACCCAAGGAGGGCGGGUGAAGACGGAUUGGUCUAUGGCUCCGUUUACAGCUGCUUACAGGAAUUUCAAUACAAAUGCUUGUGUUUGGUCAGCUGCAACAUCUACUUCAUCUUGUGGAGGCUCUAAGACUGACUCAGUAAACAAUGCUCAGACAUGGCAAACUCAAGAACUGAAUGCUAGUGAAAGAAAUAGGCUUCGAUGGGUACUGCAGAAAUACAUGAUCUACAAUUACUGCACGGAUGCUAAAAGGUUAUCUCAACUUUUCUCCUGAAUGCAAGCGUUCAAGGUUCUAAGGGAUAAAAGUCUAUGAAUAUUGUCUGUAAAAUUCUCUUGUUCUUCUUUUCUAUUCUUUAAUUUUUGUUCUGGGAUAUCAGGAGAAAAAGAACAUAGUGUAAUUAUUUGUGUAAGCAAUAUAUUCUUUAUUCUUUUUGUAAUCUUGAAAUCGAAAUAACAAUAAAUCAUUUCCCUGCCAAGCCUACGUAACUUUGUCGCCAUCAUUGCCUUUAGUAAUCUCUUUGAACACACACAAAGGUAACUUCAUAGCCUGACAUACCCAAUAUAAUCCCACAAGUGGGGUAUUGGGAGGGUAGGAUGUGAUCUUACCUCUAACUUUGUUGAAUAGAAAGAUUGUUUCCGAUAAACCCUCAGCUCAAAAGAAAUGUAAGGUAACUUCAUAGCCAUAUUUUGGUUAACUAUUGAAGGCUGCUAGAAGGAAAUGAAUGUGAGAAGUUGGAGAGUAAAGAUAUGAACUCAAUUACUCAUCCUCUUUCACAAACAUAUGCUACGACAAAAGGGCAAGCCAACAGCAUCUCGCAGUUGCAGUUCAUUUCUUGAUUCACUAGCCUCUUGCAUUAACUUUCUGAGAACGCUAAACGUUAUAAUACCCUCUUCAGAUACUAGCUGAGUAGCAGCUCUUUCUUCUCAGAAAGGUGUCAAGUUUUCAACUAACAGAACACUACGAGACAUUAAAUUUAUUAUUCCUUGAGGAAUGUGAUACUGAACAAGUAAAACGGGAUGGAGUGAGCAAUUUAAUACGUCUUUCUUAAAUUUUUUGUUGACACUGAAAGUGGAAAAGAAAUAAUAAAGGAAGGCCCAUAUCACAGACAUUGUGGUCACUAUUGAAAAUGAUUUUUCAUAGGGACAAACUUCUUGAUCUUUAAUUCCUUUGUAGGUUUGAAUGGUCUAAGGUUAUACACCGCGAGCACCUGAAACUAGAACGCAACCAUUGAGAGGUUGAUCCAGAAUUUAAAUUCUACCAAGUUCAUCUUUAAGGUUUUAAGUAUUUUAUCUGUAUAAUUUGUCAUGAAUUUUUAUUUACUAUCUGUUAAGUUUUAUUGAAUAUGGUGGAAUAGCUUGAGAGACUCUUAUACUUGUUCCAGUUUGUCAUUCUAGACCCUUUACUUCACGGGGUUUCAUUUCAUCUAGACCCCUGUUCAAAACAAGUAUUUCAAACACCUCACCAUUGACUAAAUAUAUGUGACAUUAAGUUGGCUGAGUUGGCGAAAGUGGGUAAAAAGUAUGAGUGUAAAACGAGUGAAAUGGAUAAUUUUAUUAAUUAAACAUUUUAAAAAGGAAAAGGAAGAAGACAACAAAAAAUUAUUCUCAAUUCCCAUCCCAAUGUCAUCUUCGUCACUCUCCCCUGCCUCUCGAAUGAUGUGUCCUUCAUGUCAAGGCAAGUGUGCAACAUAUGACACCAAUAGUGUUCGAAAUGUAUACUUUGAACAAGUUCAGAAAUCUAGAUGAAACUUCGUAUAGGAUUGGAAUGACAAAUCAAAAUAGUACCAGAAUCUUCAAGUCAUUUUGCCUUGAAUUUUUACUUAUAAAUUCUUAGCCUUGGAGUAACCGAUAAAGUUAUUGUCAUGUGAUUAGGAGGUUACACAUUCAAGCCUAAGAAACAGCGUGUGGCAGAAAUCCAAGGUAAUGUUGCAUAUAAUACUCUUUUUGUUAAGAUUUUUGUCCUGAUUUUACUAUCAAAAUUAAGUUGUAUUUUUCUUGAAAGGAUAAUAAAAAUAAUAUCAUAAUUACUUUUAUUUUUUCUUAAAGAAAAAAUUUAAAUCUUUUUCAUAUUUUACUAACCACUUUCGUGAAGAAAAAGUUUUGAACAUAUGUAUAAAAGAGUGGAGUUUAGUAUUAAUAAUAUGUUUUUAAAUAUUUUUUUUCGUUGUCAUUUGAUUUAUCGUUUAUAUGAUUUGCAAAUUUUAAACUUUUGCAUGACGCCCUCUCAAUUUUAAACCCAACACUCUUGUAGUAAGGUCCUUGUCCAGAUCGUGCACCAGACUGCCUUUUUAAAUUCUUAGACCGCUUGAUUCAAAUGAACCUGGUACUGCAAGCGUGGACCCACCCCUCCGAACAACACGAUCAAACGAAAAACAAAAAAACAGAAACAAUUAACGCGUUAGGUAGAAUAUAUUAAUGUCAAUCCUUUCAAUUGACAGCUAUUUAAUUGCCCAUUAUUCAAUUCCCCUUCUUGGAUCCUUCCUCCUCCCCCGUCAAACUCUACUAUAUAUAUUUCUUCCUUCGUGUCUCAAUCUAAACACAUAUUCACCUAACAAUUAUCCCAUUUCAUCUUCAAAUUAAAGCACCUAAGUACAUAUUGGUAUCCUUGGCUUUCACGAAAAUUUCUAUAAUGUUGUUGCAGCUCUCUAUUCUUGCAGUUCUCUUGUUAUGUCCUGUGUGGGCUGAGAAUUUUUACCAAGAUGCGACGGUCACGUUUGGUGACCACCGGGCUCAGAUACAAGAUGGUGGGCGUGUACUCGCCUUGUCCCUUGACAAAAUUUCAGGUUCUGGGUUUCAGUCCAAGAAUGAAUAUUUAUUCGGAAGGUUUGACAUGCAGCUCAAGUUAGUACCUGUAAAUUCUGCUGGCACUGUCACUACUUUCUACGUAAGUAACACUCUUUUAUUCUCUUCUUAACUAGUUAAUUAGCCAGAAAUGUAGUGUAAGACUGUGUACAAUAGGCUUUUAUGGUUCGAUCCUAAUGCGGACCCCAGACAUAGCAGAAAGUUUUGAAUAGUAUUGAAGUAAUAAUAUAAGUUCAACUGAAGAAGUUUUUUCUUGGUGCAAUUUGCAGUUGUCUUCUCAAGGAGCAGGACACGACGAAAUUGAUUUCGAGUUUCUUGGAAAUUCAUCAGGACAACCUUACACGGUUCACACCAACGUUUACUCUCAGGGUAAAGGCAACAAAGAACAACAAUUUCGUCUCUGGUUUGAUCCCACCUCGUCGUUCCACACCUACUCUAUUGUUUGGAACUCACAACGUAUCAUGUACGUUACAAAUUAAACAUCCUUUGAAUCUUAAGUCUAAGCAGUUGCUAGAAGUACUUAGCGUUCAUGUCUGACAUUUUUCUAAUUUUCCAGAUUUUUGGUGGAUGAUAUCCCAAUAAGAGUGUUCAACAACCAUGAAGCACUUGGCGUUGCAUUCCCAAAGAAUCAAGCAAUGAGAGUUUACGCGAGUCUAUGGAAUGCUGAUGACUGGGCAACACAAGGAGGGCGGGUGAAGACGGACUGGUCCAUGGCUCCAUUUACAGCUUCAUACCGGAAUUUCAAUACUAAUGCUUGUGUUUGGUCAGCUGCAACGUCUACUUCGUCUUGUGGAGGCUCUAAGACUGACUCAGUGAACAAUGUUCAGACAUGGCAAACUGUUCAGCAGAAAUACAUGAUCUACAAUUACUGCACGGAUGCUAAAAGGUUCUCCCAAGGCUUUUCUCCUGAAUGCAAGCGUUCAAGGUUCUAAGGAUUGAGUCUAUGAAUGUUCUGUAAAAUUCACUUGUUAUUCUUUGAACAGUGUACUUAUUUUUUUAACCAACUUAUAUAUUCUUCAUUCUUUUUGUAAUCUUGAAAUAGAAAAUAACAAUGAAUGGUUUUCUUGCCAAGCCUGCCUAUCUUUGUGACCAUCAUUACCUUUAGUAAUCUCUUUGAACACACACAAAGGUAACUUUAUAGCUAUGUUUUGGUUAACUAUUGAAGGCUUCUAGAAGGACAUGAAUGUGAGAAGUUGGAAAGUAAAGAAAUGAACACUGUUACUCAGCUUCUUUCACAAAACAUAAUCAUCUCGCAGUAGCUGUUCAUUUCUUGAUUCACUAGGCUCAUACAUUAACUUUCUGCUGAGAACGUUAAACAUGACAAAUACCCCCUUCAGAUGAGAGCUUAGAAGUAGCUCUUUCUUCCCAGAAAGAUGUCAAGCAUUUCUCUAAUCCACUUUUCUAUUGGCACCGAGAUUAGGAAGCAGUAAAUGAUAAACGUAAUUUUAUCAUAUUUAUUAUCUUUUAAAUAUAAUAAAUUUAAUGUUUCAAAAAAAAUAUACUCUUAAAUAGUGAAUCAUAUUUAAUAAUAAGAAUAAAAUAGAUAAAAAUAAGUAAACUAUCAAUUGAUUUUUAUAAAAUGGAGAACUAUUAUUAAAUAUCAAGCAUUUUCGUGUGGUCAAUCUUUCCCUUUAUGGUAUUUUUUGGUGAAGAAAGCGUGUGUCCCUAUCACACCAACCCCUACGGAUCUAAUGUAUGUCCUCAUACAUACGAAUCCAUGGGCCUUCCAAACAAAACAAACAAACAUCAUUUUCAAUCCUUUCAAUUCACAGCUAUUUUACUUCAUUUAAUAUAAGAACUCCCCCUUCUUCCAUCCUUCCUCCUCCCUCGAUCAGAUUCCGCUAUAUAUAUAUAUAUAAAAGGAGAAGAAUGCUUAACAGAUAUAGAAAUGGAUUAUACCCCAAUAAGUAUAGAAACUCAGUUUUAUAAUUUUAAAAAAGAAAUGGAUAAAAUAGGAAUAAUAAACAAUCCAAAAGAUUUAGAAAAUAUAAUAUCUAUACUAGAUAAAAUGGAAAUAAUAGGAGAAAGACCGUUAGCCCAUUGGGAUGCUAACGAGAUAAUGUGUAAAUUACAUAUAAUUAAUCAGAAUACACUAUAAAAACAACACCUAUAGAAGCAAAUAAUGAAGAUACUAAAGAAUUUGAUAUACAAAUAAAGGAACUUUUACAAUUAAAAGUAAUAAGAAGAUCUACCUCUAGACAUAGAUCGGCCGCCUUUAUGGUAAGAAAUCAUAGUGAACAAAUAAGCGGUAAAGCUCGUAUGAUAAUUAACUAUAAAAGAUUAAAUGAUAACACCAGAACAAAUGCAUAUAAACUACCAGAUAAAAGUGAGUUAAUUAAUAGAAUUCAAAAUAAAAAGAUAUAUAGUAAAUUUGGUUGUAAGUCAGGAUACUGGCAAGUCAAAAUGUACCCAGACAGCAUAGAGUGGACUGCAUUCACAUGUCCAGGUGGACAUUUUGAAUGGUUAGUUAUGCCGUUUGGUUUAAAGACAGCUCUACCCAUUUUUCAAAGAAAGAUGGAUAAUAUAUUUGGAGAGUAUAAACAUUUUAUAUUAGUAUAUGUAGAUGAUAUUUUGGUGUUCAGUCAAAACAUACAAGAAAACUUAGGACACUUACAAAUAAUUUUUAGAUUAUUUGUUAAGCAUGGGAUAAUAAUAAGUAAAAAGAAAAUGGAAUUAUGUAAGACUUAUAUUAAUUUUCUAGGAAUAACUUUAGGAAAUGGAAAGGUAAAACUUCAACCAUACAUUGCAAAGAAAGUAUUAGAAAUGCCAGAUAAAUUAGAAAAGACAAAAGAUCUACAAAAUUUUUUAGGAUUAGUAAAUUAUGCAAGAAAUUUUAUUCAACAUUUAGGAAAAAUAGCAGGACCAUCAUACGCAAAGACCGGUAGUAAAUGUUCCGGUACUAUUUCUUUAUUGAUUAAACAGCUAGUACAUCCGGGAUCCACUAAUGCUAAAGUUUCUAUCUCCACAUCUAUUAUUUUAAUUUUUACUAAUACUUUUAUGGUAGAGAAUUCUUUAUCUUCGUUGCAUAUUAGACUAGUGUCAUUAUCUUCCAGAUUCAUAAGUUCUGCCUCCAAUUUUUCUAAAUGUAUAACUUCUUGUGUAUCUGUUUCUUUUAUGGCGAUUUUGGUUUUCCCUUUUUCUAGGAUGGUUAAUCUUUGUUCUAAAUCAUUUACUCAGGUUUCUAAAGUAGAUACUCUUAGAUUUAGGAUUUGAUUAUAUGUAUAUUUUUGUCCGUUAUUUAUUUAUGGUUCUAUUUUUAUUUUUAAAGUAUUUUCUAUACAAUUUAUACACGCUUCUAAGUAAUAUUUUUUGCAUUUAGCUCUGUUGUCUUUACUUGAAUACCAAUUGCAUAUACGACAUCUAUUACUGUCUAAACCUUUGUUUCUUUGGAAUUCAUGUAUACAUUCUUGAGUAACAUUCAUUAAAUUAUUGAUUACUAGAUUGUUUAAGUCUAGAUCCUCUAUCUCUUGUCCUAGCUCAUUAACUAAGUUAUCUUCUUCUGAUUCUAAAGAAUCAGAUUUUGGAUUAUCUUUAUCAUUUAUAUCAAUACUUAUUGUUAAGUAUAUACUUUCUGUAUCUGACUUGUAUUCGUCUACAUUUAAUAAAGUUUCUUGAAAAUCCUCUAAUAGUUGAGAAUUUCUAGUUCUAUUAUUAUUUCUUUUAGGACAUACAUUAGCUAAAUGGUCUAUGCUUCCACAAGUAUAGCAUUCUAAUUUAUUUUUAUAGUUUCUAUCAUUUCUAUAUUUCCUAACAUGUCUAUCUCUAUUUAACCACGGUUUUUUAGCUUUUGAUUUUCUUAAGAAGUAUUGUUUACGACUAUAUGGUUUNNNNNNNNNNNNNNNNNNNNNNNNNNNNNNNNNNNNNNNNNNNNNNNNNNNNNNNNNNNNNNNNNNNNNNNNNNNNNNNNNNNNNNNNNNNNNNNNNNNNNNNNNNNNNNNNNNNNNNNNNNNNNNNNNNNNNNNNNNNNNNNNNNNNNNNNNNNNNNNNNNNNNNNNNNNNNNNNNNNNNNNNNNNNNNNNNNNNNNNNNNNNNNNNNNNNNNNNNNNNNNNNNNNNNNNNNNNNNNNNNNNNNNNNNNNNNNNNNNNNNNNNNNNNNNNNNNNNNNNNNNNNNNNNNNNNNNNNNNNNNNNNNNNNNNNNNNNNNNNNNNNNNNNNNNNNNNNNNNNNNNNNNNNNNNNNNNNNNNNNNNNNNNNNNNNNNNNNNNNNNNNNNNNNNNNNNNNNNNNNNNNNNNNNNNNNNNNNNNNNNNNNNNNNNNNNNNNNNNNNNNNNNNNNNNNNNNNNNNNNNNNNNNNNNNNNNNNNNNNNNNNNNNNNNNNNNNNNNNNNNNNNNNNNNNNNNNNNNNNNNNNNNNNNNNNNNNNNNNNNNNNNNNNNNNNNNNNNNNNNNNNNNNNNNNNNNNNNNNNNNNNNNNNNNNNNNNNNNNNNNNNNNNNNNNNNNNNNNNNNNNNNNNNNNNNNNNNNNNNNNNNNNNNNNNNNNNNNNNNNNNNNNNNNNNNNNNNNNNNNNNNNNNNNNNNNNNNNNNNNNNNNNNNNNNNNNNNNNNNNNNNNNNNNNNNNNNNNNNNNNNNNNNNNNNNNNNNNNNNNNNNNNNNNNNNNNNNNNNNNNNNNNNNNNNNNNNNNNNNNNNNNNNNNNNNNNNNNNNNNNNNNNNNNNNNNNNNNNNNNNNNNNNNNNNNNNNNNNNNNNNNNNNNNNNNNNNNNNNNNNNNNNNNNNNNNNNNNNNNNNNNNNNNNNNNNNNNNNNNNNNNNNNNNNNNNNNNNNNNNNNNNNNNNNNNNNNNNNNNNNNNNNNNNNNNNNNNNNNNNNNNNNNNNNNNNNNNNNNNNNNNNNNNNNNNNNNNNNNNNNNNNNNNNNNNNNNNNNNNNNNNNNNNNNNNNNNNNNNNNNNNNNNNNNNNNNNNNNNNNNNNNNNNNNNNNNNNNNNNNNNNNNNNNNNNNNNNNNNNNNNNNNNNNNNNNNNNNNNNNNNNNNNNNNNNNNNNNNNNNNNNNNNNNNNNNNNNNNNNNNNNNNNNNNNNNNNNNNNNNNNNNNNNNNNNNNNNNNNNNNNNNNNNNNNNNNNNNNNNNNNNNNNNNNNNNNNNNNNNNNNNNNNNNNNNNNNNNNNNNNNNNNNNNNNNNNNNNNNNNNNNNNNNNNNNNNNNNNNNNNNNNNNNNNNNNNNNNNNNNNNNNNNNNNNNNNNNNNNNNNNNNNNNNNNNNNNNNNNNNNNNNNNNNNNNNNNNNNNNNNNNNNNNNNNNNNNNNNNNNNNNNNNNNNNNNNNNNNNNNNNNNNNNNNNNNNNNNNNNNNNNNNNNNNNNNNNNNNNNNNNNNNNNNNNNNNNNNNNNNNNNNNNNNNNNNNNNNNNNNNNNNNNNNNNNNNNNNNNNNNNNNNNNNNNNNNNNNNNNNNNNNNNNNNNNNNNNNNNNNNNNNNNNNNNNNNNNNNNNNNNNNNNNNNNNNNNNNNNNNNNNNNNNNNNNNNNNNNNNNNNNNNNNNNNNNNNNNNNNNNNNNNNNNNNNNNNNNNNNNNNNNNNNNNNNNNNNNNNNNNNNNNNNNNNNNNNNNNNNNNNNNNNNNNNNNNNNNNNNNNNNNNNNNNNNNNNNNNNNNNNNNNNNNNNNNNNNNNNNNNNNNNNNNNNNNNNNNNNNNNNNNNNNNNNNNNNNNNNNNNNNNNNNNNNNNNNNNNNNNNNNNNNNNNNNNNNNNNNNNNNNNNNNNNNNNNNNNNNNNNNNNNNNNNNNNNNNNNNNNNNNNNNNNNNNNNNNNNNNNNNNNNNNNNNNNNNNNNNNNNNNNNNNNNNNNNNNNNNNNNNNNNNNNNNNNNNNNNNNNNNNNNNNNNNNNNNNNNNNNNNNNNNNNNNNNNNNNNNNNNNNNNNNNNNNNNNNNNNNNNNNNNNNNNNNNNNNNNNNNNNNNNNNNNNNNNNNNNNNNNNNNNNNNNNNNNNNNNNNNNNNNNNNNNNNNNNNNNNNNNNNNNNNNNNNNNNNNNNNNNNNNNNNNNNNNNNNNNNNNNNNNNNNNNNNNNNNNNNNNNNNNNNNNNNNNNNNNNNNNNNNNNNNNNNNNNNNNNNNNNNNNNNNNNNNNNNNNNNNNNNNNNNNNNNNNNNNNNNNNNNNNNNNNNNNNNNNNNNNNNNNNNNNNNNNNNNNNNNNNNNNNNNNNNNNNNNNNNNNNNNNNNNNNNNNNNNNNNNNNNNNNNNNNNNNNNNNNNNNNNNNNNNNNNNNNNNNNNNNNNNNNNNNNNNNNNNNNNNNNNNNNNNNNNNNNNNNNNNNNNNNNNNNNNNNNNNNNNNNNNNNNNNNNNNNNNNNNNNNNNNNNNNNNNNNNNNNNNNNNNNNNNNNNNNNNNNNNNNNNNNNNNNNNNNNNNNNNNNNNNNNNNNNNNNNNNNNNNNNNNNNNNNNNNNNNNNNNNNNNNNNNNNNNNNNNNNNNNNNNNNNNNNNNNNNNNNNNNNNNNNNNNNNNNNNNNNNNNNNNNNNNNNNNNNNNNNNNNNNNNNNNNNNNNNNNNNNNNNNNNNNNNNNNNNNNNNNNNNNNNNNNNNNNNNNNNNNNNNNNNNNNNNNNNNNNNNNNNNNNNNNNNNNNNNNNNNNNNNNNNNNNNNNNNNNNNNNNNNNNNNNNNNNNNNNNNNNNNNNNNNNNNNNNNNNNNNNNNNNNNNNNNNNNNNNNNNNNNNNNNNNNNNNNNNNNNNNNNNNNNNNNNNNNNNNNNNNNNNNNNNNNNNNNNNNNNNNNNNNNNNNNNNNNNNNNNNNNNNNNNNNNNNNNNNNNNNNNNNNNNNNNNNNNNNNNNNNNNNNNNNNNNNNNNNNNNNNNNNNNNNNNNNNNNNNNNNNNNNNNNNNNNNNNNNNNNNNNNNNNNNNNNNNNNNNNNNNNNNNNNNNNNNNNNNNNNNNNNNNNNNNNNNNNNNNNNNNNNNNNNNNNNNNNNNNNNNNNNNNNNNNNNNNNNNNNNNNNNNNNNNNNNNNNNNNNNNNNNNNNNNNNNNNNNNNNNNNNNNNNNNNNNNNNNNNNNNNNNNNNNNNNNNNNNNNNNNNNNNNNNNNNNNNNNNNNNNNNNNNNNNNNNNNNNNNNNNNNNNNNNNNNNNNNNNNNNNNNNNNNNNNNNNNNNNNNNNNNNNNNNNNNNNNNNNNNNNNNNNNNNNNNNNNNNNNNNNNNNNNNNNNNNNNNNNNNNNNNNNNNNNNNNNNNNNNNNNNNNNNNNNNNNNNNNNNNNNNNNNNNNNNNNNNNNNNNNNNNNNNNNNNNNNNNNNNNNNNNNNNNNNNNNNNNNNNNNNNNNNNNNNNNNNNNNNNNNNNNNNNNNNNNNNNNNNNNNNNNNNNNNNNNNNNNNNNNNNNNNNNNNNNNNNNNNNNNNNNNNNNNNNNNNNNNNNNNNNNNNNNNNNNNNNNNNNNNNNNNNNNNNNNNNNNNNNNNNNNNNNNNNNNNNNNNNNNNNNNNNNNNNNNNNNNNNNNNNNNNNNNNNNNNNNNNNNNNNNNNNNNNNNNNNNNNNNNNNNNNNNNNNNNNNNNNNNNNNNNNNNNNNNNNNNNNNNNNNNNNNNNNNNNNNNNNNNNNNNNNNNNNNNNNNNNNNNNNNNNNNNNNNNNNNNNNNNNNNNNNNNNNNNNNNNNNNNNNNNNNNNNNNNNNNNNNNNNNNNNNNNNNNNNNNNNNNNNNNNNNNNNNNNNNNNNNNNNNNNNNNNNNNNNNNNNNNNNNNNNNNNNNNNNNNNNNNNNNNNNNNNNNNNNNNNNNNNNNNNNNNNNNNNNNNNNNNNNNNNNNNNNNNNNNNNNNNNNNNNNNNNNNNNNNNNNNNNNNNNNNNNNNNNNNNNNNNNNNNNNNNNNNNNNNNNNNNNNNNNNNNNNNNNNNNNNNNNNNNNNNNNNNNNNNNNNNNNNNNNNNNNNNNNNNNNNNNNNNNNNNNNNNNNNNNNNNNNNNNNNNNNNNNNNNNNNNNNNNNNNNNNNNNNNNNNNNNNNNNNNNNNNNNNNNNNNNNNNNNNNNNNNNNNNNNNNNNNNNNNNNNNNNNNNNNNNNNNNNNNNNNNNNNNNNNNNNNNNNNNNNNNNNNNNNNNNNNNNNNNNNNNNNNNNNNNNNNNNNNNNNNNNNNNNNNNNNNNNNNNNNNNNNNNNNNNNNNNNNNNNNNNNNNNNNNNNNNNNNNNNNNNNNNNNNNNNNNNNNNNNNNNNNNNNNNNNNNNNNNNNNNNNNNNNNNNNNNNNNNNNNNNNNNNNNNNNNNNNNNNNNNNNNNNNNNNNNNNNNNNNNNNNNNNNNNNNNNNNNNNNNNNNNNNNNNNNNNNNNNNNNNNNNNNNNNNNNNNNNNNNNNNNNNNNNNNNNNNNNNNNNNNNNNNNNNNNNNNNNNNNNNNNNNNNNNNNNNNNNNNNNNNNNNNNNNNNNNNNNNNNNNNNNNNNNNNNNNNNNNNNNNNNNNNNNNNNNNNNNNNNNNNNNNNNNNNNNNNNNNNNNNNNNNNNNNNNNNNNNNNNNNNNNNNNNNNNNNNNNNNNNNNNNNNNNNNNNNNNNNNNNNNNNNNNNNNNNNNNNNNNNNNNNNNNNNNNNNNNNNNNNNNNNNNNNNNNNNNNNNNNNNNNNNNNNNNNNNNNNNNNNNNNNNNNNNNNNNNNNNNNNNNNNNNNNNNNNNNNNNNNNNNNNNNNNNNNNNNNNNNNNNNNNNNNNNNNNNNNNNNNNNNNNNNNNNNNNNNNNNNNNNNNNNNNNNNNNNNNNNNNNNNNNNNNNNNNNNNNNNNNNNNNNNNNNNNNNNNNNNNNNNNNNNNNNNNNNNNNNNNNNNNNNNNNNNNNNNNNNNNNNNNNNNNNNNNNNNNNNNNNNNNNNNNNNNNNNNNNNNNNNNNNNNNNNNNNNNNNNNNNNNNNNNNNNNNNNNNNNNNNNNNNNNNNNNNNNNNNNNNNNNNNNNNNNNNNNNNNNNNNNNNNNNNNNNNNNNNNNNNNNNNNNNNNNNNNNNNNNNNNNNNNNNNNNNNNNNNNNNNNNNNNNNNNNNNNNNNNNNNNNNNNNNNNNNNNNNNNNNNNNNNNNNNNNNNNNNNNNNNNNNNNNNNNNNNNNNNNNUUAUGUUUUCAUUUAUGAGAUGUUCUACAACUCUUGCCCUAGGGACAAAACUUAAUUAGCUCAAAGACUUUCAAACAACAAAUUAUACCCUACGGGCAAAAGUUGACUCUACCAUGUUAUGUUUUCAUUUAUGAGAUGUUCUACAAUUAUUGCCUUAGAGGCGAGACUUAGCUCAAGGACUUUCAAACUACAAAUUAUGCCCCACGGACAAGAGCUGACACUACCACAUUAUGUUUUCAUUUAUGAGAUAUUCUACAACUCUUACCUUAGAGGCAAGUCUUAAUUAGCUCAAAGACGUUCAAACUACAAAUUAUGUUUCAUGGGCAAAAGUUGACUCUAGCUACCAUGUUAUGUUUUCAUUUAUGAGAUGUUCUACAACUAUUGCCUUAGAGGCAAGACUUAGCUCAAGGACUUUCAAACUAAAAAUUAUGCUCCACGGGCAAGAGUUGACACUACCACGUUAUGUUUUCAUUUUUGAGAUGUUCUACAACUCUUGCCUUAGAGACAAGACUUAAUUAGCUCGAAGACUUUCAAACAACAAAUUAUGCCCCAUGGGCAAAAGUUGACUCUAACAUGUUACGUUUUUAUUUAUGAUAUAUUUUACAACUAUUGCAUUAGAGGCAAGACUUAGCUCAAGGACNNNNNNNNNNNNNNNNNNNNNNNNNNNNNNNNNNNNNNNNNNNNNNNNNNNNNNNNNNNNNNNNNNNNNNNNNNNNNNNNNNNNNNNNNNNNNNNNNNNNNNNNNNNNNNNNNNNNNNNNNNNNNNNNNNNNNNNNNNNNNNNNNNNNNNNNNNNNNNNNNNNNNNNNNNNNNNNNNNNNNNNNNNNNNNNNNNNNNNNNNNNNNNNNNNNNNNNNNNNNNNNNNNNNNNNNNNNNNNNNNNNNNNNNNNNNNNNNNNNNNNNNNNNNNNNNNNNNNNNNNNNNNNNNNNNNNNNNNNNNNNNNNNNNNNNNNNNNNNNNNNNNNNNNNNNNNNNNNNNNNNNNNNNNNNNNNNNNNNNNNNNNNNNNNNNNNNNNNNNNNNNNNNNNNNNNNNNNNNNNNNNNNNNNNNNNNNNNNNNNNNNNNNNNNNNNNNNNNNNNNNNNNNNNNNNNNNNNNNNNNNNNNNNNNNNNNNNNNNNNNNNNNNNNNNNNNNNNNNNNNNNNNNNNNNNNNNNNNNNNNNNNNNNNNNNNNNNNNNNNNNNNNNNNNNNNNNNNNNNNNNNNNNNNNNNNNNNNNNNNNNNNNNNNNNNNNNNNNNNNNNNNNNNNNNNNNNNNNNNNNNNNNNNNNNNNNNNNNNNNNNNNNNNNNNNNNNNNNNNNNNNNNNNNNNNNNNNNNNNNNNNNNNNNNNNNNNNNNNNNNNNNNNNNNNNNNNNNNNNNNNNNNNNNNNNNNNNNNNNNNNNNNNNNNNNNNNNNNNNNNNNNNNNNNNNNNNNNNNNNNNNNNNNNNNNNNNNNNNNNNNNNNNNNNNNNNNNNNNNNNNNNNNNNNNNNNNNNNNNNNNNNNNNNNNNNNNNNNNNNNNNNNNNNNNNNNNNNNNNNNNNNNNNNNNNNNNNNNNNNNNNNNNNNNNNNNNNNNNNNNNNNNNNNNNNNNNNNNNNNNNNNNNNNNNNNNNNNNNNNNNNNNNNNNNNNNNNNNNNNNNNNNNNNNNNNNNNNNNNNAGCUCAAGGACUUUCAAACUACAAAUUAUACCCCACGGGCAAGAGCUGACUUUAUCAUGUUAUAUUUUCAUUUAUGAGAUGUUCUACAACUAUUGCCUUAGAGGCAAGACUUAGCUCAAGGACUUUCAAACUACAAAUUAUGCCCUAUGGGCAAGAGUUGACACUACCACUUUAUGUUUUCAUUUAUGAGAUGUUCUACAACUCUUGCCUUAGAGGCAAGACUUAAUUAGCUCAAAGACUUUCAAACUACAAAUUAUGCCCCAUGGGCAAAAUUUGACUCUACCAUGUUAUGUUUUCAUUUAUGAGAUGUUCUACAACUAUUGCCUUAGAGGCGAGACUUAGCUCAAGGACUUUCAAACUACAAAUUAUGCCCCACGAGCAAGAGUUGACACUACCACGUUAUGUUUUUAUUUAUGAGAUAUUCUACAACUCGUGCCUUAGAGUCAAGACUUAAUUAGCUCAAAGACAUUCAAACUACAAACUAUGUCUCAUGGGCAAAAGUUGACUCUAGCUACCAUGUUAUGUUUUCAUUUAUGAGAUGCUCUACAACUAUUGCCUUAGAGGCAAGACUUAGCUCAAGGACUUUCAAACUAAAAAUUAUGCCCCACGGACAAGAGUUGACGCUACCACGUUAUGUUUUCAUUUAUGAGAUGUUCUACAACUCUUGCCUUAGAGGCAAGACUUAAUUAGCUCAAAGACUUUCAAACUACAAAUUAUGCCUCAUGGGCAAAAGGUGACUCUACCAUGUUAUAUUUUCAUUUAUGAGAUAUUCUACAACUAUUACGUUAGAGGAUAGACUUAGCUCAAGGACUUUCAAACUACAAAUUAUGUCUCACAUGCAAAAGUUUACACUACCACGUUAUGUUUUUCAUUUAUGAGAUGUUCUACAACUCUUGCCUUAGAGGUAAGAUUUAGCUCAAGGACUUUCAAACUACAAAUUAUGUCUCACAUGCAAAAGUUUACACUACCACGUUAUGUCUUUAUUUAUGGGAUGUUCUACAACUCUUGCCUUAGAGGUAAGAUUUAGCUCAAGGACUUUUAAAUAAUAAAUUAUGCCCCACGGACAAGAGUUGACACUACUACAUUAUGCUUUUAUUUAUGAGAUAUUUUUCAACUCUCUCCGUAGAGAGACGACUUAUCUCAAGAAUUUUCAAAGAACUUCGUAACAACAAUUCAUGCCCUUAAAUUUGCUUUGAUAGCAAAAAAAGAGGAUAACUUUGCGGAUUAACCAAUUUUUUAUUUAUUAGCAAAAUAUAAUAGAAGUUGAGACAAAAGAAAAAAGAGAUCAACAAAAUAGAGAAAUAUGAAAAAGAUUGAGAAAAAAAGGAAAGAAAAAAAAAUAAAGAUCAAUAAAAAAGCAAAGAAUUUAAAAAAUUUAUAAAAAAAUAAAAAUGAGAGGAAAAAAUAAAAAUAAAGUUAGAGAAAAAUGCGGGAAAAAAAAGAACUGAAAAAAGAAAAAAGAGAUCAAACAAAAUAGAGAAAUAAAAAAAGAGUGAGAAAAAAAGGCAAGGAAAAAUAAAGAUUAAGAAAAAAAUGAAGAAUUAAAAAAAUGAGAAAAUAAAAAAAUGUGAGAAAAAAAUAAAAAAAAAGUUUGAGAAAAUAAUGAGGGGAAAAAAGAGAACUGAUAAAAACUAAAAAUAAAAGAAAAAUAUAGGUUAAAGAUAAUGAAUUAAAAAGAAAAAAAAAAGAAAUAGAUAAUGCUUGAGAAAAAAAAAAGAGAAAAAAAUAAAGGUUGAGACAAAUGAAUUAAAACAUGAAAAUAAAAUUAAAGAAAAAAAAUAAAAAGUGAAAAUAAUAAAAAAUAGAAUAAUAAAAUUAAAAAAAGUGAAAAUAAUAAAAAAUAGAAUAAUAGAAUUAAGGGAAAAUAUAAAAAGAGAAAGUAAUAAAAAAUAAAAUUUGAGAGACAAAUAAGUAUAGAAAGUUAAAAAAAAAUAUUUGAGGUGUAGAGAGACAAAAUGGUACUUAGACUAUACUUAAAAAGUAAGGAAGGUUAUUCUUUAAAUACAUUUCUUAUUGAGGUCAGAUAUCUAAAGCUACGCAUAAUUGGGUGUCCAAAAUGAUAUUAAAUUAAUUGAUAUUUUUAUUAUUCUAAUGAUUAUUUUCAAACUAAAAUUGGACUGACAAGUAAUUAGGUCUUCCAUCUUUGUUUCAUUAUUAUAAAGGGAAAAAAAAACAUAAAACAUAUAUGAUAUAAAUUUCAACGAAAAAUGAUUUCGUUUACUACCUUCCUAUUUUUUUAAUUUUAGUUUGGCAACUAACAUAUUGUAUUAAUCACGAAUGAGUUAAUUGCAAAGCCUAAGAUGUAAAAAGUGAAAAUAAUAAAAAAUAGAAUAAUAAAUUUUUAAAAAAAAAAAAGCAGAAUAAUAAAAGUAAAGGAAAAAUAAAAAAGUGAAAAUAAUGAAAAAUAAAAUUUGAGAUAUUAAUGAGUAUGGAAAGUCUAAAAAUAUAUUGAGGUGUAGAGAGAUAAAAUGGUACUUUUAGUAUAUUAAAAAGUAAGGAAGGAUAUUCUUCAAAGACAUUCUUAUUUGGGGUCAAAUAUGUAAAGUCACCCAUAUUUGAGUCUAUGGCAUGCAAUUUCCUAGUCUACGCUGAGAUAAUAUCACUAGGCCCUUGAGGUAAUGGCCUCGAUGGUUUGGUGUUUUAAAGCCGUGAGGGCUCUGGGCCCAGAGCGGUGCCAAGGGCCUCAACCUUGGUUGUGACACUUAGAGUGACCGAUAAUGUUGUUGUCAUGUGAUCAGGAGAUCACGGUUUCAAGCCAUGGAAACAACUUGUAGUAUAAAUGCACGUUGAGGAUGCGUACAAUAGAUCUUUGCGGUCCGAUCCUUUCCUUGAAGCUUUAGUGCACCCCUUAUCACCCCCUUUUUAAUCGGAUGGAGGUUAACUUCUCACCCUCUCACUUGACAGAUAGUCAAGGCCAGCUUGCUAGUCAAAAGAGCAGCAUCUAUUUAGGUGGUUUGACAUGCACUUCAAGCUUGUACGAGGCAACUCUGCUUGCAUCGUCAUUACAUUCAUGUUCAAUCUUUCAAUUCUGCUGAUUCAAUGCUAUGCCACCCUAUGUAUGAUGAUAUUCGCUAAGAAGUUGGUUCUAUGGUAAUAUUUGUUGCCUUUCAACUAGGGCUGAGCAUUCGGUUUGUUCGGUUUUAUAAUUUAAUAUCGAUUCGGUUUUUUUAUUUUUGGAUUGACAAAAAUGGCAAUCAUAACCAAACCGAAAUAAAUUCGGUGCAGUUCGAUUUCUACAAAUUCGGUUUCGUUAUUUCAGAUUUUUAUUUCGGUUUUGAAGAUUAAAAUAAUGAACCUCUCUUUGUUAUGACUAGACAUCUAAAAUUAAUGAUUUUUAAAAAAAAAAUAAUUCAAACCUAUUUUUCAUUCCCACAUAUAAAUAACUCAACAUGGAUGAAACUAAAUGAUAUAACCAUAAGUUUAACAUAAUAUAUAACUUCAUUAUGCAUAAGUUUGCAUAAACAGUCGGAACUCGAAAGAGUGGUCGCGGUCGAAAAGACCACAAUCGGCACUGCAGGCUGCAACCCACAAUGGUCGUCUGGUCGUCGGUUCUAGUAUUAUUGUACAGACGACGAUCUCGUCGAUGGUCUAUGGUUCGAUCGAUUGUUCGAUUAUUGGACUGAUGUAUGCUGUUAGUUGUAUGUGGCAGUGCUAUUACUUAUUAGUCAUUAGGAUUGCUAUUAUAUAUUUAUAUUAUAUAUUAAAUAUUAUAUAUAUAUAUAUAUAAUAAAUAUAUAUAUUAAUUAUUUAUAGAAUUUCGGUUAGUUGUUAUAGAAUUUUGGUUAAUCGGUUUAUUCAAAUUAUUUUUUUGAAAAAUCGAAAACCAAAUCAUUUAAUCGAAUUUUAAUAAUUAAAAACCAAAAUCGAUCCGAAAAAUCGAAAACCAAACCAAAAUUAAAAUUUCAGUUGCCCAGCCCUACUUUCAACUAUAGAAAACUACGAGAUAUUAAAUGUAUUAUUCUGGACGGAGUGAGUAAUUUAAUAUAUCUUUAUUAAAAUUUUUGUUGACACCGAAAGCGAAAAAGAAAUAAUAAAGCAAGUCCCAUAUCACAGACAUUAUGGUCAAUUUUGAAAACGAUAAAAAUAAUGUUUCAUAGGGACAAACUUCUUGAUCUUUAAUUCGUUUGUAGGUUUGAAUAGUUCAGAUUAUACGCCACAGGCACCUGAAAUAAGUUAAAAUUAUUGAAUUUGAUGGAAAAGUUUGAGAGACUCGUUUUCGGUUUGUCAGUUCCUUUACUUUAUAAGGUUCCAUUUUAUCUAGACCCCUAAAUUCCCUUGACUGUUGGACCAAAUAUAUGUGAGAUUAAGUUGGUUGAGUUGGUGAAAGUGCAUAAAACAUUAGUGUAAAGCGAGUGAAUUCGAUAAUUUUUAUUAGAAAAGGAAGAAAACAAAAAAUAAUUUUCAACCCUCACCCCAGUGUCAUCUUCUUCAUCUCCCUUCGAAAGAUAUGACAUUAAUUUAUUUAGUGAGUCCGGAACCAUUCUAUGCACCAAACUACAUCAUAUACUUAAAAAUGUAUCAAUCUAUGCUUAACUCACAAAAAUUGUGAGUUAUGCACAAAUAUCUUUAACGGAAGGCAGUUCACGGUGUUAAUUUUUUUAAAAAGUGCAUAAGUCACAAUUUUUGUGAGUUAUUCAUUCUUAUUUUAAUAUAACUCACAAAAAUUGUGAGUUAUGCACAAAUAUCUUUAACGGAAGGCAGUUCACGGUGUUAAUUUUUUUAAAAAGUGCAUAAGUCACAAUUUUUGUGAGUUAUUCAUUCUUAUUUUAACAUAACUCACAAAAAUUGUGAUUUAUGCAUUUUAUUUUAACAUAAUUCACAAAAAUUGUGAGUUAUGCAUUCUUAUUUUUAACAUAACUCACUAUUUUUGUGAGUUAUGCAUUUUAUUAUAACAUAACUCACAAAAAUUGUGAGUUAUGCAUUUUAUUUUAACAUAACUCAGAUAAAUUGUGAGUUAUUUAAAUAAUGAAAAACUUUUUCGAAAUUCUAUUUAACAUAUAACUGAUAAAAGUAUAUAACUCACCUUUUUUUUUGAGUUAUGCAUCUGUUUUAUCAUAACUCACAAAAAAAGUGAGUUAUAUACUUUUUAAAUUCUCCUAUUUAAACACCCGUAUACAUUCAUUCUUUGAUUAUGGUUUUCAAAUUCUUCUUCUUCUUCUUCAACUUCAAUUCUUCUUCUUUUUUCAAUCAUCUUCAAACUCAAUUUAUCUUUUCAAAACUUUAUUAAAUUUUAGAGAAUGAAUUUUGAACGUGUUAAAGUUUCACUUUUUUGGGAUGGCGAAAUUAUUCAUGAGGGAAAUACAGUAUAUUAUAGUAUGUCCCCCAAGUCCAACGCGAAGUAUUCAAUUUCAAUUGGUUAUAGAGAAUUUGUAGAAUCAAUUUUUAGAAGAAUGAAAAUAAAAAAUAAUGAUUUUGAUUUAUUUAUAGUCGGACAGUAUCCAAAUUCCUUCUCAUCUCAAGGAAUAGUAAAUUCUGGAGAAUGGAUUAUUAGUGAUGAUGAGUCGUUGACUGAAUUUCUGAGGGCUCCUUGUGACUAUGCUAGUCAAAUAAAACUGAACAUUCUUCAAGUUUAUGUUAAGAAUGAGCGUAAAAAUCAUCUUGUGCAGUCUCCGAUACAGAUAAAUGUGCAUACGCAAUUUGAUGAUUCAACAAGUGAUGUUAAUGCUCAUUUAACUCAGUAUAAUAUUUUUUUUGGCAUGAAUGCUCCCCAAUACAUCAUGCCGAGUAACAUGCCAACACAAUUCUCAAUACCUGAUUUGAAUGAAACUUUGAAUGAAAGUGAUCGGUAAUUUUUCUUAAUUUGUGUUAUUAUUAAUAUUUUAUAUUUUUAAUGAUUUUUUUUCUAUUUUUUUAUGUCAUAUGUUAUAUUUUAUUUAGGGGCUUAACUCUGCGUGACACGAAUAAUGUUGAUUUAUUUGAAAAUGACUAUAAUUAUGGUCAAUCAUCUCAACUUGGAUGGAUGCACAACGCCGGAACAUCUACAAAUGUUCAUUUAUCACUAAGCUUGGAUACUGUCGAUUAUUAUUGGUAGGUCUAAAAUAUCAUCGCUAAUAAGUUAUGUUUGUUAAUUUCAUGUUAUUAUUAUUUAUGUUGCUAAUUUCAUAUAAUUAUUAUUCAUUCUUUUUGAUUGUACUAAAAUUAUGUUAAAAAUAAGAAUGCAUAACUCACAAAAAUUGUGAGUUAUGUUGAAAAUAAAAUGCAUAACUCACAAUUUUUGUGAGUUAUGUUAAAAUAAGAAUGAAUAACUCACAAAAAUUGUGAGUUAUGUUAAAAUAAAAAUGAAUAACUCACAUUUUUUGUGAGUUAUGUUGAAAAUAAAAUGUAUAACUCACAAUUUUUACGAGUUAUAUUAAAAUAAGAAUGAAUAACUUAAAAAUUGUGAGUUAUGCACUUUUUAAAAAAAUUAACACCGUGAGUUGCCUUUCGUUAAAGAUAUUUGUGCAUAACUCACAAUUUUUGUGAAUUAAGCAUAGAUUGGUACAUUUUUAAAUAUAUGGCAUAAUUUGAUGCUGUUUUUAAUUUGAUGGCAUAAAAUGGUUCCGGACUCUUAUUUAAUGGAUCUGAUGUGUCCUUUAUGUCAAGGCAAGUGAGCAAUAUAGAUGUCAAGAGUGUAAAAUGUUUAUUUUGAACAAAUUCAAAAGUCUAGAUAAAACUCCGCAGAGUAUCACAAAUUGGAAUGACAAAUCGAUAUAAGUACAUGAAUCUUAUUUAUAAAUUUUAAUUCCGCUUCAAAUGAAUCCGGUAUCGCAAGGGUGGAUCCAGCCCUCCGAACAACAUGAUUAAAUAAAGAAGAAAAAGACAGGGGGCGUUUGGUGUGAGGUAUGAGGGAUAAGUAAUCCCGGAAUAAAAUGAUCCUUUAUUUUAUUCCAUGUUUGGUUGAAGGAAUUAGUCAAUUUCGGAACACUUAUCACUCCAUUUACACCAUAGUGAUGGGAUAACUUAUUUUAUAUGCAUGGUGGGAUAAAUUAUACCGGAUAAUCCCAAAAUUAAUUAUAUCGGGAUAACUAUUUUCCAACCAAACGACCAUGUGUAAGGUACAAUAGUAUAUUAAAGUAGUAUGAUAAUAUCAAUGUAAUGUGUGUCCCCAAACCCAUACUUCAUAAACAAACCAACACGUUACAUUUCAAACAUCACUUUCAAUCCUGCCAAUUCACAGCUAUUUGCCUUCAUAUAAUUUAACGUCCCCUUCUUCGAUCCUUCCUCCACCCAUUUCGAAACUCUACUAUAUAUAUACAUAUAUCCAUCCAUCCUCCUUUGUAUCACAAUCUCAACACACAUUCACAGAACAAUUAUCCCAUUUCAUCUUCAAAUUAAAGUACAAGUACAUAUUCUAUAAUGUUGAUGCACCUCUCUAGUGACCAGCGAGCUCAGAUACAAGAUGGAGGGCGCAUACUCGCCUUGUCCCUUGACAAAAUCUCAGGUUCAGGAUUUCACUUCAAGAAUGAAUAUUUAUUCGAAAGGUUCGACAUGCAGCUCAAACUAGUACCUGGAAAUUCUGUUGGCACUGUCACCACUUUCUACUUAAGUAACACACUUUUUUCUCUUUCUAACUAGUACUCAAGUAAAUAACCGAGGAGACAGAUUGAAAGGUAACACUGCAUAAAAUAGAUCCCUCUGGUCCGACCUUUUUCCAAACCCCACGCAUAGUGAAGCUUGAGUACACCUGGCUGUCCUUUCAACUAGUACUGCAUAGUUAAUAAAACAUGUCCAAUUGAUAAAGUAUUUCUUUCUGCUAUUUACAGUUGUCUUCUCAAGGAGUAGAACACGAUGAAAUUGACUUUGAGUUUCUUGGAAAUUCAUUAGGACAACCUUACACGGUUCACAUCAAUGUUUACUCUUAGGGUAAAGGCAACAAAGAACAACAGUUUCGUCUAUGGUUUGAUCCCACCUAGUCGUUCCACACCUACUCUAUUGUCUGGAACUUGCAACGCAUCAUGUACGUUACUGAUUAAACAAUUACUAGCUAGUACUACUAAUUAGUAUUAUGUAGUGUUCAUGUUUGAUAUUUUGGAGAUUUUGUGCAGAUUUUUGGUGGAUAAUAUCCCAAUAAGAGUGUAAAACAACCACGAAGCACUUGGCGUUGCUUCCAAAGAAUCAAGCAAUGAGAGUGUUAGAGUACGAGCCCUACUAAUUGUCCAUCUGUGUAACAAGUAAGUAAACGUGGUUCACAGAAGUAAAUACUGAACACAGUGUUUUUACGUGGAAAAUACUCGGCUCAAGAAAGGUGUAAAAAAACCACGACCUGUACCUCUACAGGAUUUAACCCAACUUUACUAUAAUACUUGAGCCUCAACAAUCAACAGAAUUACAAGACUUCUUGUAAACGAGGAAUUAAAACUUCUACCUCCUAUUACUACAAAAACACAAAUCUUCCCAAGAUAAGUGCUCCCAAGUCUUCGAGUUCCCAAACUUGAAGACACAAUUCCUAACUCAGUUUAUAGAUGAUUGAGACUAAAAAAAUGACUUAUUACAACUCAAAGAACCUACUCACUACACAAAUUCUACAACUUGCCAAGUAGGAGAUCAAUUUUUUUCUUCAAGUAUGAGAACUGAUAUACUGAUUGUUGAUAUGUUUUUCAGUGCUUGAGUGAGUGCUUUUGAAUUCAUUUCUUGUAUUUAAGCACCCACCUCAUGGAGUCCUUCAAUUGAUAUUAACUUCUAUAUUUAAUAGGACUCGAGAUAGUUUCCUGCUACUCUUUGCCGCCCCUCUCUUCUUCUUUCAAUAGGAUUUCUCUUUUCUCUUUCUUCAAGACUUCUUGUUCAACUCAACUUCUGCACUUCUUUUUUUUCCACUCAACUUCUGCAAGUCUUCUUUUUCAACUCAACCUCUAAUGUGAUAAAUGUUAUCAACUUCUGUUUGUAAGCCAGGUCAUCAUAUAAAUAACUUAUCUGUAGGUGACCUUGGUUUAGUUGGAUAGAACAGCUUUUACCAUAUGUUUCAUUCUCAUAUCUACCAUCAAAACUCCACAUUCUCUAACAAUUUCCCCUUUUUUGAUGAUGACAAACAUAGCAGUAUAAUACCAAAAACCUGAUAUACUCACCAAGAAGUUAAAUAAAGGAAACAAAAUGAAACACAGAUUAGUCAGUUGAGUUAUAAGCACUGUAUAAUUUGUUCUUCUCCCUUUUGACAUCAUCAAAAAACUGGACCAAUAAGUGAAACAAGUCUUAUAAUUCAUGACCACUAGGGCUAUCACUAAAACAUGAAGACAUAGAGCAAAAAAAAACAAACAAUGUAUCAAUAACACGGAAGUGAGCCACAUAAAACAAAAAGAGACCAUGGCAUUGAUAGAACAGAAUACAAUGAUCACAGCCCAUGAUAAAUAAUAAGAGAGAACUAGCUUAACCAAAAAGUAGGAGUGAAAGAUGCCUAAGGACACUAAGAGGGUUUAAGUGGAUGAAAAAGAAGGAAUAAGAGAGGUCUUCUUAAUAAUAUCUGCAUUUUCAGCUCUUUUCUUUUCCAAAAGGGUUGUGAGGGAGGAAAUUUGAGCUUGAAGGACCUAUUUCUCCUCCUCAUGAGUAGCCUGAGCAACUUCCAAUGCAGCUUGUGCCACAUCCACCUCACUUUGCUUGGCAACAAGAGCAUUUCUUAGCCUUUUCAUAGGAUUAUCAGCACUCCUCAUAGCAGCAGGCAACAUAGCAUGGUUCACAGACCCAAUGACAUUCUUUGUGGUCUACAAUGACCAUACUUUGACAGGAAUAUGAAAGUCCUCAAAAAUAGGGGCAAGCCAGAACUCAUAUGGUAAAGCAUGGCCAUUUUCAUCUUAAAUUAAAACCCUUUGCAUGUUUUUAAUGAUUAGUGUAGGAAGAUUUAUUGGAAUCUGAGAGUUUAGCAAUUCUAUCAGGGUGAGAUCAAGAAAAUUUGCUACUGUUCUCCUUUACUAUCUAGGAAGGAUCAUUUUGUGAACCACAUCAAAAUAGAAUUGGUGGAGAGGAGAUAUCUCAUUCUUGAGAACCCUUCUAUGAGUUAAAAGGGAAGGACAUCUAAAGAAUUUUAUAGAAAUAUCAACAGCUGAAGGAAAGUUAUCAAGAGGAGGCCAAGCACCUUUCACAUAAUGACCCCAACCCCCAAUAGGAACAUGUAAAAUUCUACUCAGAUCAGCAAGGUAAAGAUUUAGGAUUUUACCAUGAACAGUGGUGGAGAACAUCUCCCCUACAGCAACUCCAUUAGUGUAAAAUUCAUACACUUCAGCUUUUCCAAACUUUCUUUGAUAAUCACCUUGAAGAAACAGGUGUGACCACCUUUGAGCAUUCAGUUUAGUGAGCAACACAUCCAUAUCAGGACCCCCAAAACCAGUGACAACUCUACCCCUAGCCAACUUACGUUUUUGAAAGUGGAGAACUUGAGCUAACAGGAAGGCCUUGUCAGCAGGAGUAUCAAAAGCAACAUCAUAGUCAAGAUCUAUAUCAGGUUGAGUAGAGAAAGUAGGAGGGAUAUUAGAAAGAAAAUCAGAAUCUGAGUUUGAGAAAUCAGAAGAAACAGGUUGGGAUACUUGUUUCUUCAGACGAGAAGAGGAUUUUGAAGAGCCUCUGGUGGAAGGGGAUCCUUUAACAAUGGAGGCUUUCUCAGGAGAAACUUUCUCCGUAGAUUUUGAGGACGACGAAGUUUGGGAAGUGGGUUGGGAUGAAGAUACAGGUGUGAAAGAGGAUUUUGAGGUUUUGGUAAUGAUAUGCUUUCAUUUUCUUUUAGAAUGAAGGAGAAUAUCAGGAGAGGGAUUACUGAGAGGUGGAGAACUAGAAGGAGCAACCCGUUUCUUUUUUCUUGUAUGAAAUGCUUCUUCCAACGAAGCAUCUUGUUGUUGUUUCUUUCCUCGAGUAAGAGGAAUGCGAGGAGAAACAACUACAGAAGAAGGCUUAACUGAAGUAGAUUCAUCUACAUCAAUGACAAAAGAAGAGGGUUUUCAUUUUAGAACGGAUAUGGACCUUCGAGAGAUGAGAUUUGUAAUGGGUUCAUCAUCUUUAUCAAUAAUUUGAAGUGGAAUUAGUGGAAGAAUUGAUGGGCUGGAGUGGAAUGAGGUAUUUGGAGAAAAAAUGUGUAAAAAGAUUUGGGAAGUUUUUGAACACAGUAAAAUCAGAGAAUUCUUAGAUGAUUUGAGGAGGAAUUAAUAGAGGUAAGAUGAUGUUUGGGUGGAUGACAAUGGAGGUGAAAGUGUUUGUGGCGGAGUCAGGUGAAGAGGAUGAAGAAGAUGAUGAUGAAUUCAUGGCUAAUGAGUCAGAAGGUUUUUGUGUUGUUUUAAAGAAGGUGUAAAGGAAAUAAGAAGGAGAGGGGAAAAGAAAACGUAUUUAAGAGAGAUUUAGAGGAAGUUGAAUCAUGUGAGGAAAGGAUUUGGAUAGAAACGUAAUGAUAAAGGGGUCUAAACUGAUGGAAAAAGGCUGGCAACUUUUUAAGACAGAUGACUUUUAGAGUUUGGUAGUUUAAGUAUAACGGAAGGGACCAAGUAAAAAACCUGUUUCUCUCUUAUGCAAUCAUGAACAAGUGAAAAUCAUACCUGAACUGUGUAAACAAUGGUCAAAAUUUGCUUUGAUGGUUCUUCCUAUCUGCAAAAUUAACACAUAGCUGAGUUAAUUUAUUCUAAAAUCUUGGAAUUAGGAUACACAACUAAAUGUGUAAGACUGAGUUAAUCAACUAUCACUUAAGUACAGUCUUUUCUAAUUAAUCAUUGGGGGAGAUUUAUACAAUUUUAAUCAUUCCCAAGGCUAACCUGUUUCUUUCAAAAUAUUCUCUACUCAAGGCCUUAGUAAAUAUGUCAGCAAUUUGUUCCUCAGUUGAACAAAACAUAAUUGAUAUAUGACCUUUUUCAACAUUAUCUCUAAGAAAGUGAUGUCUAAUAUCAAUAUGUUUGGUUCUUUUAUGUUGAACAGGAUUUUUAGCUAUGUUAAUGGCACUUGUAUUAUCACAAAAAAUGGGAACACAACCAACAUCUAUACCAAAAUCCAUAAGUUGUUGUUUAAUCCAUAACAACUGAGCACAGCAAGACCCAGCAGCUAUAUUCAGCCUCAGCAGUGGACCAAGCAACUGAAUUUAUCUUCUUUGUGGACCAGGUGAUUAAACAUGAUCCCAAGAAGUGUGUCAUACCUGUAGUGCUUUUCCUGUCCACCAGAUAUCUUGCAUAAUCAGCAUCAGAGUAUCCUACCAAAUCAAAGUUACUACCUUUGGGAUACCAUAAUCUAAGAUCACUUGUUCCUUUAAAGUAUCUAAAGAUUCUUUUCACUGAUUUUAGAUGUGAUUCCUUAGGCUUAGCUUGAAACCUGGAACAUAGCCCUACACUAAACACAAUAUCAGGUCUACUUGUAGUGAGGUAUAGGAGUAAUUCUAUCAUACCUCUAUACAUCUUUUGCUCUAUAUCUGAACCUGUUUCAUCCAUGUCCAGCUUUUUGGUAGUGGCAAUAGGAGUACUGAUCUCCUUUGCUUCUUUCAUGGAAAAUCUUUUGAGAAGCUCUUUGACAUACUUCUGUUGGUGGAUCAUUAUCCCUGAUGCUGAUUGUCUUAUUUGUAAACCCAAAAAGUAAUUUAGUUCUCUCAUCAUGCUCAUCUCAAAUUCACUACUUAUGAGUUUUGAAAAUUCAUGAGUCAUAUUCAUAUUAGUUGAUCCAAAUAUAAUAUCAUCCACAUAUACUUGCACAACUAACAAAUCCUGUCCAUUAGUUUUUAAGAACAGGGUAUUAUUAAUUUUACCUCUGGAAUGACCAUUCUCCAAUAGAAACUUUGACAACCUCUCAUAGCAAGCUCUAGGUGUUUGUUUCAGCCCAUACAAAGCUUUAUCCGGUUUAUACACAUGAUCAGGAAACUCUUUGCUUUCGAAUCCUGGAGGUUGCUUGACAUAAACCUCCUCUUUGAGAAACCCCAUUCAGAAAUACACUCUUCACAUACAUCUGAUAAAGUAUAAACUCCUUGUAGGCAGCAAAUGCAAGAAGUAAUCGUGUAGCUUCCAAUCUUGCUACAGGAGCGAAAGUCUCAUCAAAGUCGAUUCCUUCAUCUUGGUUAUAUCUGUGGACCACCAACCUUACCUUAUUUCUUGUUACUGUUCCAUGCUCAGCAACUUUGUUCCUGUACACUCACUUAGUUUCAAUUACUGAUCUAUCUUUUGGAAGUGGAACCAAGUGUCAUACUUUGUUUCUUUCAAACUGGUUCAGUUCUUCUUGCAUAGCUAUGAUCCAAUCAAUAUCAAGCAAUGCUUCAGUUACCUUCUUUGGUUUUAUUUCUGCUAGGAAUGCCUUGAAAGCACACAUACUUCUCAGUACAGAUCUUGUAGUAAUCCCAAAGGUGAGUUCAGUGAGAAUAUUUUCUAUGGGAUGUGAUCCUUGAUAUUUGUACCCUUUUGGAAUCAAGCCUAGUGAUCCACUAGGAUUACUGACAGCAUUUUGAUCUGGGGUAGCUGGUGGCACAGUUCCCCCUGUCACUGUGCCUUCAGCUUCAAUUCCUCCUGUUGAAGUGCUCCAAAUUUGGUAGCUUCAUUCAAUGAACAGAGUUGUGCAACCUGUUUCUCAGCAUCAUUUUCUUCCUGCAGGUUAGUCUUGACACAGGAUUCAUCAAAGAUCACAUGCAUGUUUCUUCAACAUAGUUUGUUCUGUUGUUUAAAAUCCUAUAUGCUUUACUAUUGAGUGAAUAUUCUAAGAAGAUUCCCUCAUCACUUUUAGCAUAAAAUUUUUCCAAAUUAUCCUUUCCAUUAUUAUGAAUAAAACAUUUACAUCCAAAGAUUCUAAAGUGAGAGAUGUUAGGCUUUCUUCCUUUUAGUAAUUCAUAGGGAGUCUUCUCUAACAAAGGUCUGAUCAUGCAUCUAUUUAUGAUAUAUGUUGCAGUACUUAUUGCCUCAGCCCAAAGGUUUUUAGCAACAUUUGUUGCAAUCAUCAUUGUUCUAGCCAUAUCUUUCAAAGUUCUAUUUUUCCCUUCCACCACUCCAUUUUGUUGUGGUGUUCUAGGAGAUGAGAAGUUGUGAUCUAUACCAUUUGUUGAACAGUAUUUCAAAUUCUGAACCAUGGUCAGACCUUAUGGAAACUAAAGAAGUACCUAAUUUCUUUUCAAUCUUUUUAAUGAAGAUUUCAAAGACAUCAAAGGCAUCUUCUUUAGAGGCUAGAAACAAAGUCCAAGUAAACCUGGAAUAGUCAUCAACAAUUACAAACACAUACCUUUUUCCACAUCUGCUUUGAAGUCUCAUGGGUCCACAUAAGUCUGCAUGAACCAAGUCAAGGCACUUGGUUAUGCUAACAUGGUUCUUGGACUUAAAAGAGGAUCUUACCUGCUUCCCUCUUACACAUGCAUUGCAUAGCUUUUCUUCCUUGAACUUGGUCUUGGGUAAUCCCAAUACCAUGUCUUUGGAUGAAAGUAUGUUUAGUUAAUUCAGACCUGCAUGACCAAGUCUUCUGUGCCAAAGAAGGGGAUCAUUUUUUAUAGCACUAAGAUAAGUCAGUUUAAGUCCUGGUAGUGCCAUGAUGUCAGCUUUGUAUACAUUUUUAUAUCUCCUUGCAGUGAGCACAACCUCUUUAGUAUCCAUCUUUUUACCUUGACUCCUGCAGCUGUAAAAACAACUUUAUUACCUUUAUCACACAGCUGUGAGAUGCUCAGCAGAUUAUGCUUCAAUCCUUCUACAAGAUAGACAUCCUCCAAUGCUUUUGACUCUAAUGAGCCAAUCUUUCCAAUUUAAGUUAUAAUUCUCUUUUUUCCAUCACCAAAAGAAAACUCCUACUCCAUUUAUUUUGGAGAGUAAAAGGAACUUUUUCUUAUCCCCAUUCAUGUGUCUUGAGCAAGCACUGUCUAAAUACCAGUGUCUUGUUUUUUUUCACUUUCUCCUGUAAAAUGAAUUCAAAGGUUAGCCUUAGGAACCCAGACAAGCUUGGAUCCUUUUUUUAUGAGUGAAAGGAUGAAUUAAAAUUCUCUUAGUCCAUGCAGGCAACACGUAGUGCAACUUGUUUCUCUGACCAGAAUUGGUUUUGUUCCUUUUGGUCUGAGAAGAUUUGUUAGCUAGAUUUUGACUGUUUAAUCUGCUUUUUGCCACUACUAGACAUUCAGUGGUGGGAUGUCCAAGGUUUCCAAAAAUGUAACACAAAUCUUUUGGAUCAUCAAAACUUUUGUGGAAUCCCAAACCUGUCUUCUCAUUGAAAUUUUUCUCACUUAAUUUGUGAAUAAUUCAAGAGGAGUUUGUCCACCUGUUUGCCCUUUCAAGAUCCAAUUUUAGUUUAGUGAUAUCCUGACUCAACUUAUUCAUUUUUUCAGUUAAAUCAUGGCAUUCUUGUUUGUAUUUAACAAGCUCAAGCCCAGCAUCUUCUUGUUCUUUACUCAUGGCCUUCUUUUUAUUUUCAGUGAGAGUUAAUUUGAGAACUUCAGACCUAAGAUUGUUAUUUGAAAUCUCAAGUUCUGCAACCUGUUUCUUGAGACUAUAAUUUUCCUUGUCAAUUGUAUCUGAGCAAGCCUUUAAAUCGAUGAGAUCAAAUUUAAGACUUGCUAGACUGUUGAACAAUUCAUCCCUAUCCGAGGUUAACUUUUGGAAAUCAUCAAUCAAUCCACUCAUUAAGGAAACAAGUUUUGGCUUUGAGAAUAAUUUCAGCUUUUCUUUGAUUUUAAGUAUACUUACCUCAGAAUCCUCAUCUUCUUCAUCCAGAUCUGCAUCCCCAAGGGCCAUGAAUGCAGUUUCAUCAACUUCAUCUUCAUCUAAAUCAGAUCCCCAGGCCGUUAUCAUUGCAUGCUCCUCCUUUCUUUUUGCCUUCAGCUCUUUUUCAGCCCUUUCCUUCUUCCACUCCAUUUCCCAGACUGGACAGUCCCUAAUAUGAUGAUCAGUUUUGCUAUAUUUGUAGCACCCAUUUGGAUCAUCAUUGGAAUGUUUCUUAGUACCUGUUCCCUUCUUUUUUUUGAAGAAUUUGCUGAAGUUCUUAGUUAUGAAGGCAACUUGCUCAUUAUCAAGUUUAAAUUCGUCAUCACUAUUCGAAGAUUUUAAUGCUAAGAUUUUCUCAGGAGCUGCUCGUUCUUUGACCUCAUCAACUUCCAUUUCAUAAGUCCUUAGGUUCCCUACUAGUUUAUCCAGAGUCAUACCUUCAAGAUCCUUAUUAGCUUCCCUGAUUGCAGUCACCUUGACAUUCCAUUUUGAUUUGGGUAAUACCCUCAGCACCUUUUCAACUUGUUCUUCUUCAGAGAUGACUUUUCUUAAGAAAGUCAGCUCAUUUGUUAAAGUGGUAAGCCUUGUCAUCAUUUUAUGCAAGGUUUCAUUUUCCUUCAUUUGAAUGCCUCAUAUUCGGUGAAAAGAAAACAGAACCUGAAUUUUCUUACCUGAGACGUGCCUUCAUGAGUAUUUACCAGUGCAUCCCAAAUUUUCUUAGCAGUAGUGCAGGUGGAUACUCUGUUGUAUUCAGCAGAUCCUAGCCCACAAACCAAGAUGUUCUUAGCCUUUGCAUUUUUCUUCAAGGCUAACAAGUCAUCAGGAGUAAAUUCACUUCUUACCUUUUUGACUUGUUCACAUCAACCGACUUCAUUGGAAUAGUGGGACCAUCAGUAAUCCUAUCCCAUAAUUCAUAAUCUUCCCCUUGAAUGAACAUCUCCAUCCUUGCUUUCCACCAGAUAAAAUGAGAGCCAUCAAAAAGUGGAGGUCUAGUAGUUGACUGACCUUCACUGUGACCAAUAGGAGGUGCGGAAUUCAUCAUAUUGAUUUUUUUAGGUACUAGCCUUAUUUAAGACAACCUCGCCCUGAUACCACUUGUUAGAGUACAAGCCCUACUAAUUGCCUACCUGUGGAACAAGUAAGUAAACGUGGUUCACAGAAGUAAAUACUGAACACAAUAUUUUUACGUAGAAAACACCCGGCUCAAGAAAAGUGUAAAAAAACCAUGACCUGUACCUCUACAGGAUUUAACCCAACUUCACUAUAAUACUUGAGCUUCAACAAUCAACAGAAUUACAAGACUUCUUGUAAACUAGAAAUUAAAACUUCUAACUCCUAUUACUACAAAAACACAAAUCUUCCCAAGAUAAGUGUUCCCAAGUCUUCAAGUUUCCAAACUUGAAGACACAAUUCCUAACUCAGUUUAUAGAUCACUGAGACUAAAACAAUGACUCAUUACAACUCAAAGAAUCUACUCACUACACAAAUUCUACAACUUGCCAAUUAAGAGAUCAGUUUCUUUCUUCAAGUAUGAGAACUGAUAUGUUGAUUGUUGAUAUGCUUUUCAGUGCUUGAGUGAGUGCUUUUGAAUUCAUUUCUUGUAUUUAAGCACCCACCUCAUGGAGUCCUUCAAUUGAUAUCAACUUUUAUAUUCAAUAGGACUCCAGAUAGUUUCCUGCUACUCUUUGUCGCCCCUCUCUUCUUCUUUUAAUUGGAUUCCUCUUUUCUCUUUCUUCAAGACUUCUUGUUCAACUCAACUUCUGUACUUCUUGUUUUUCAACUCAACUUCUGCAAGUCUUCUUUUUCAACUCAACUUCUAAUGUGAUAAAUGUUAUCCACUUCUAUUUGUAAGCCAGAUCAUCAUAUAAAUAACUUACCUGCAGGUGACCUUGGUUCAGUUAGAUGGAACAGCUUUUACCACAUGUUUCAUUCUCAUGUCUAUCAUCAAAACUCCACAUGCUCUAAUAAUUUCCCCCUUUUUGAUGAUGUCAAACAUAGCAGUAUAAUACCACAAACCUAACAUACUCACCAAGAAGUUAAGUAAAGGAAACAGAAUGAAACACAGAUUAGUCAGUUGAGUUAUAAGCACUGUAUAAUCUGUUCUUCCCCCUUUUGACAUCAUCGAAAAACUGGACCAAUGAGUGAAACAAGUCUUAUAAUUCAUGGCCACUAGGGCUAUCACUAAAACAUGAAGACAUUAGAGUAAAAAAAAACAAGCAAUGUAUCAAUAACACGGAAGUGAGCCACAUAAAACAAAAAAAGACCAUGUCAUUGAUAGAACAGAAUACAAUAAUUACAGCCCAUGAUAAAUAAUAAGAGAGAACCAGCUUAACCAAAAAGUAGGAAUGAAAGAUGCCUAAGGACACUAGGAGGGCUUAAGUGGAUGAAGGAGAAGGAAUAAGGGAGGUCAGCUUCUUAAUGAUAUUUGCAUUUUCAGUUCUUUGCUUUUCCAAAAGGGCUGUGAGGGACGCAAUUUGAGCUUGAAGGACCUAUUUCUCCUCCUCAUGAGUAGCCUGAGCAACUUUCAAUGCAGCUUGUACCACAUCCACCUCACUUUGCUUGGCAACAAGAGCAUUUCUCAACCUUUGCAAAGGAAUAUCAGCACUCCUCAUAGCAGCAGGCAACAUAGCAUGGUUCACAGACCCAAUGACAUCCUUUGUGGUCUGCAAUGACCAUACUUUGACAGGAAUAUGAAAGUCCUCAAAAACAGGGGCAAGCCAGAACUCAUAUGGUAAAGCAUAGCCAUUUGCAUCUUGAAUUAAAACCCUUUGCAUGUGCUUAAUGAUUAGUGUAGGAAGAUCAAUUGGAAUCUGAGAGUCUAGCAAUCUCAGAACAAUUAUCCCAUUUCAUCUUCAAAUUAAAGUACAAGUACAUAUUCUAUAAUGUUGUUGCACCUCUCUAUUCUUGUAGUUCUCUUGCUAUGCCCGGCAGCUUGGACUGAAAAUUUCUACCAAGACGCCAUGGUCACGUUUGGUGAUCAGCGAGCUCAUAUACAAGAUGGCGGGUGCGUACUCGCCUUGUCUCUUGACAAAAUAUCGGGUUCAGGAUUCCAGUCCAAGAAUGAAUAUUUAUUCGGAAGGUUCGACAUACAGCUCAAACUAGUACCCGGAAAUUCUGCUGGAACUGUCACCACUUUCUACGUAAGUAACAUGUCUUUCCUCUUCUUAUCUAUUACUCUAGUAAUUGACCGCGGAGACAGGCUGCAAGGUAACUCUGCGUGAAAUAGACCCUGUGGUCCGGCCUUUUCCCCGACCCCACUUAUAAUGGGAGCUAUAGUACGCUAUGUUUUCCUUUUAACUAGUACUGCGGUAGUUAAUAAAACAUGUCCAACUGAUAAAGUAUUUUUUCCUUGUAUUUACAGUUGUCUUCUCAAAGAGCAAGACACGAUGAAAUCGACUUUGAGUUUCUUGGAAAUUCAUCAGGACAACGUUACACGGUUCACACCAACGUUUACUCUCAGGAUAAAGGCAACAAAGGACAACAAUUUCGUCUAUGGUUCGAUCCCACCUCGUCGUUCCACACCUACUCUAUUGUCUGGAACUCUCAAAGAAUCAUGUACGUUACAAUCUAAGCUUCCUUCAAUCUAAAAAGAAAAAGUUAGCACCUCGUGUUGGAUCCUUCAAUCAAAAUGCAUAUUGCAUUUUUGGAGAAUCCAACACGAGCGUGGCAGCACUUAUGGAGAUUUGAGCAAAAUUGCUUCUUAAUAUGCAUGUUUAACGUAAUUGACAUUUGUCUAAUCGUCCAGAUUUUUGGUGGAUAACAUACCAAUAAGAGUGUACAACAACUACGAAGCAAUUGGUGUUCCGUUCCCAAAGAAUCAAGCAAUGAGAGUUUACGCGAGUCUAUGGGCAACCCAAGGAGGGGGGGUGAAGAUGGAUUGGUCAAUGGCGUUUACAGCUUCUUACAGGAAUUUCAAUACAAAUUCUUGUGUCUGGUCAGCUGCAUCAUCUACUUCAUCUUGUGGAGGCUCUAAGACUGACUCAGUGAACAAUGCUCAAACAUGGCAAACUCAAGAACUGAAUGCUAAUGAAAGAAAUAGGCUUCGAUGUGUUCAGCAGAAAUACAUGAUCUACAAUUACUGCGCCGAUUCUAAAAGGUUCUCUCAAGGUUUUUCUCCUGAAUGCAAGCGUUCAAGGUUCUAAGGAUUGAGCUUACAAAUGUUGUCUAUAUAAUUCUCUUGUUUUUCAUUUCUAUUCUUUAUUUUUGUUCUGGGAUACUAGGAGAAAAAGAACAUAGUGUAAUAUUUUGUGUAAGCAAUGUAUUCUUUAUUCUUUUUGUAAUCUUGAAAUAGAAUGAAUUGUUUUUUUCUUGUCAAGCCUGCCCAUCUUUGUGAACCAUCAUUGUCUUUUAGUAAUCUCUUAGAACACAUACAAAGGUAACUGAAGGAAGGGACUAUUAUAUUAUGGGCUAGCAGCUGAAGGAUAUUUUUAUUUGAGUUGUACUCAACAGAGCAACGCAUCAAAGCAAUAAUGGUCUUUUGUGAUGUUGUCAAAAAGAUGAAAUUAUUCAUUCGUAUGGGUGAACUUGAACGUCAGACAAUGAUGUUUAUGAUUAUCAAUGAUAAACUUUAGAGUUUGGUAGACGUGUGUAUAAGUGAUGGCUCUAUUUUGAUAGUUUUUGCUUAACUAAAAACCUUCGAAGGUUAAUUGUUGUGUUAUUUUUUUGAUACCUCGGAGUACAUCCUAUCUUGUCUAUGAAUAUGCUUGGUGUAUGGGCACAAUGAUCAUAGUUCUUGUAUAACUAGUAUCUACGAAAAAUCUUGAAUGUGGUGGCACUUGUGAUAAACUCAAAUGAUGUAUGUAAAUGUAAUUAUUAAGUUUGCAUAGUAUAUAUUUUGUUAAUUGGUGUAUUUGCUUAAGUUUAAGGACUAGUUGAAAGGUCCCAUUUCAAUAUUAUGCUAGAAGUUCAUUAUCGGGGACAAUAGAAGAUCAGGUGAGCAAAAUUUCUACUUGCAUAGAAUCACACAGAAUAAUUUGGUGAAUGAAAAUGAGAGAUGCUAUUAUAAUAAGCUGCAUCCGAUUCUAUCCACUAAUUUCGACUCUUCUAUACCAUCCUAUGUCACCAGAUGCUACAACAAAUUUGAACUCUCCGGUGAGACGCUUCCUCUUGGUCAGGUAGUCGAUAAUUUUUCAGUUGGUAGUGUUGUGGAUGCUUGGGUUGAUACAAGGCAACUAAGUGAUUUCUUAUCUUAUGCGUCCGAGACUCUUCACAGGUUUUACAACAACUUAGGAAUGUAUCCUUAUAUAUGGAAUCAAUUCUCUCAACAACUAUUUGAUAAUAUGUUCCAAACAUGUGACUGCUCCAAGGUGUUUGCAGAAAAUUCCCAGGGAGAUGCAAUUGAUGUACGAUGUCAAUUUGACUUGGUGAGGUCAACACCAGCGAAUUCAAUAAUUGCUUCUUAUUUUAUUCCAUCAAUGAUCGAAGGUAUCACCCUUAUGUUAGAUAGCAGUCCUCAGUGGUGUCUCUCAUUUAAUGUGUUUCAUUCAAUACCAACAAUGAAGUUUGAAAAGAAUUAUGUUGAGGUUAUUGCUGACAAGUCUCUUGUUUUCAUAUUAGAGUUUGAAGAGGCUGUUAUUCUGACUUCCUCUAUAUUUAGAGCUUAUGACCGUUCAGCUUUACCAUAUCAUUAUUGUAACUCCCCGAAAUUUCAUCCUGAGACGUCAUACGGUGCUUAAGGAUGCAAGUAGCCCUAAGCUAACUCUUUGAGCCUGAUACAACUCCCAACAUUUACUUUAGGACAAUUAUAGCAAAACGAGCAUACUGUCAUAUCAUAUUUCAACUGAAAUAACAAACGAAUACUGUCCGAAUAGCAACAUAAUGAAAAGUCUCAAACAUCACUGAUAGUCUAGUCUGACAAAUCCUUUACUACCCAAACUAGAGAGCCAUUGGGAUAGACCCCCAAUUGACUCGAACUGAUCUAAAAGUAAUGCUCAAAACACUAUGAAAGCGGAAAAGCUGCAGAUAUAGGUCCUCGAACUAUGUGGACUCACCAAAAUAAAGAUGCAGAUGAGAUUCUCGAAGAUCACUGUCACUGCUGAGACUGAGCACCUGAACCUACAUUACGAGACAAUGUAGCACACAGACGUAUAUGUGGAUCAGUACUUUAAGGAUGUACUGAGUAUAUGGGGUGUAUGCAAUGAUUAAAACAACAAUAUCAUCAAUCUUUAUAGAAAUCGUGCAUGCUGAUACAACUGACUCACAUAGCUUGAAUAACUCAAAAAAAGUAAAUCUCAUCCAUUAUGAAUAAUGGGAUGCAUAGUAUAAAUCUCGUGAGUCAAUAUACUUAUUUCUGAAAUCUAUAGUUCUAUUCCCUUCUCAAAACAUAUAUUUGAUUAAAUUGCGAGCCUUUACACUUAUUUUCUUAACCCUUGGGGAAAUAUACUUUUAAAAGUUUGUCUUAAUUAAUAGAGAAAAUAACUCAUCUUGAGGGAAAAUACUUUAGGAACUGAUUAUUUACUUUCACUAGCAGGGAGGUUCUCUCAACCGACAUACACCAUGCGAGCUACAUGGAGUCCAACGUCUUGUCCUCCUAAGGAAGAAACUUCACGUUGGGGAGAGGCGUCAUACUCUUGCCAGGGAGUAUAACCUCAACUCAGUGAUCACUAUCUCGGCCUCGGGCCUAUAAAUCUCAAUCCUAUGAUGGCACGUAGUUCUAGAGUAUGAAAUCGUAGUAACUUACCCAACUCGAUGCUAAAUAUUACUCCCUUUAAUUAGCUACACUCAUCUCAUGGAAAUCCUCAUUAAAACUCGUAUAAGGGUUUACUGGAAACCAGUUAUGCAUUUAACAUUAUGAGAAUAACUCUGGGAUGUGGAUUUCAAAAAUCAUGUAAGGAUCAAAAGAUCACAUACUGUUUAUACUAUUUAAUAUCAAUGUAUCAACUCAUAUAAAUGCAUGGCAAAUCACCAUGCUUUGUAAGUUUUUCUCAAAAUUCUACCAUAAUACCAAAAUGAUAGCUUCAAAUCACAAUCUCAUACUUAAUUCAAUGGAAAACUGUAGUCAAUGGCUCAAAUCAUGCUCAUGAUAUUCAAAAUCAUAAAAGAACAUUCUUUAACUCAAAGAAACCAUGAAAUUUCAUAAAUCAAUCACAUCAUACUCAAAAUUUCUCAACAAAAUACUAUGGGUAUAAAAUUCAAUAUUUAAAAUCAUAAGUAAUCCGUAAAACAUAGCUUUUGGGCAUAAGGGCGAAAGGAUUGCUCUUGUUCAAACUCCACAUACCUUAGAUUAAUAAACUUGGAUGAACAACUUACUUUUGAGAUAUUAUUGGUACUCUUGAAUGCGGGUUCUUGCAUCUUUUGACUUGGGAGUCUUGAAUCUUGACUCAAUUUAGAAAAUCUGUGGUGAACCCUUGAGAUUCUUGGAAGAGGAUUUGGAUGCUUAGGGUUUUUGGUUGAGGGAAAUCUUGAGAAAAUCUCAUAUGAUGCUUGUAGUGACCUCAAUUCUGAUGUUUGUACGGUUUAAGAGGCUUGAAAAAAAUCCAAAGUGUCCUUUUUAACUUCUGUACGAAGCUGGAAAAAUUGAACUGGAAACCCGACUUUAUGGGCCACCGCGAUGCCCCACUAUCGCGGUGGAUCACUGAAAAUUGACAAAUGGGAAUCUGGGAGUCACCGCGACGCGGAGCCAUCGCGCUGUCCCACUGGUUGGGACCUGGACCUUCAGCGCGACGCGUCACAAUUGCGCUAGGCCACUGGAAAUUGACUAUUGGGAAAUUGGGUUUCUCCACGACACGCCACUAUCGCAGAGUUCCACUGGAAUUUGACAAUUGUUAAAUAGACCCUCUCCGCGACGUGCCAAACACUAAAAUGAUGGUGUUUUACGACUAGAACUUAAAUUAGCCAUAACUUCUUGCCCGACUAUCGGAUUUGGGCGGAUCUUAUAUCGUUAGAAAGCUAAUUAAAAUUUCCACAUGAUAAAAAGUCGAAAUUAGAGAAACUCUAUAUGGUUUAAACGUUACUCACUUAGAAAGUCAUUCCUUAACCUUCUAGAGACGAAAUUAGGCUUAGGGAAAAGUUUGGGGUAUUACAAUUAUAUUCCAAAGUCUAAAGCCAUGACUCUUAUUUCACACUUACCAGAUGCGCAGGACAAUGCCUUCACGACACUUCUUGUUGUAGAGUAUGCUAUGGUAAAUGUUGAACUUGAUAGGAAUUUGGUAUUGACUAUUGAGUGUCUCAAACAAGACAAUCCAGUUGAAUCCAAUUGCACAAGUUCCUUUAUUGGACACUCUUGAUAGCUAUGUAGGUGAGAACAAGGUUAUUGCCUGCUAUGCCUAAGUUGCGUGGACUCUUCAAUUUUUAUGCAGUACUCAUAUCGGAUUCUCCUAAAAUACAUUAUUUUUGAAGAAUCCGACAUGCAUUCGUUGACAAUUUUUUAAGAGUCCGAGCAACAUAGUGUUAUGCUACCCUAUGGCUCCACCAGUCCAUUCCAACUCUUUUUCAGAUUUAGAGCCCCAACACUCCGGCAUAUUUGGCAGAGAAAGUUGGUCAUUACAUGCACAGUAAUUGUUCCAAUAAUUUUAGGAAUCUAAGUGAUCUGAAUUUGGAUAAUUUAUGAGAUACUGCUCCGAAUCAGAUGUGGCCUAUUUUGGACGAUCCAGUUUCGAGAGUUCAACUUACACCUAGCACUGGGAAUGUUGGCUUAUAUUUUUUUAGAAGAAUUACAGUUUCCAACUCAUCUUGUAGUUCAAGUUCAAGGAUCACAUUUUUCCAAGAUGGAAUCUAUCAAGAGGAUCUGGUAACCAGCAAAUCUGUCUAUCAAGAGGAUUUGGAUAAUUUAUUAUGAUCACUACUUUUUAGAGUCUCCAAUAUUGUCUUUUUUUCAUCAUCAUACAUUUUUGAAAAUCAUAAAUGUUGCAAAAUUACACAAGAAAGUGACUAUAUGUUGUUUCGAUCCGCAAGCUUCUGUACUGGUGUUGGCUCAAUCUUUUGGCCUUUCCAAUCAAACACAUUGAAAAAUGCCACAGCUUGUCCUCUAUUGAAAUGUAUCUUUGGUUCAUAUAUUUUCACUGAAGGAUGAUGAAUAUCUUCAGAAUUAGGAUGUUGAAGGCGCGUUAGCGCGUUUAUCAGCCAGUUUAUAGGAGCCAGUCUGCUACUUGUUAGUAUUAGGCCUAGUUUUACCAAACACUUGAUAAAAAAUAAUCUCUGAAUUAGUAAUCCAUGUAUUACUAAUUCAUGUGUUACUAAUCUCUGUAUAACUUGGUUUCCUACCAAACGACCCUUUAGUGGAUCUGGUGUGUCCUCCAUGUCAAGGCAAGUGAGCAACAUGCGACGUCGAGAAUGUAAAAUUUUUACAAGAAUCUUACUCAUAAAUUAUAAAUCGCAAGGGUGGAUCCAGCCCUCCCAACAACACGAUAAAAUAAAGAAGAAAAAGCCAGAAACCAUUAGUGUGUAAGGUGCAAUAGUAUAUUAAAGUACUAUUAUAAUGUCAAUCUUUCCAUUUGGGUAAUUGGUGAAUAAAGUAUAUGUCACUGCCACCCAACCCCAACGGAUCUGAUGUGUGUCCCCACACCCCAUAUCUCCAAACAAACGAACGCGUUAACAUUUCAGACAUCAUUUUCAAUCCUUUCAAUUCACAGCUAUUUUACAGAAUGCCCCCUUCUUCCAUCCUUCCUCCUCCCUCUACCAAACUCUACUAUAUAUAUCACAAUCGCAACACACAUUCACAGAACAAUUAUCCCAUUUCACCUUCAAAUUAAAGUACAAGUACAUAUUCUAUAAUGUUGCUGCACCUCUCUAUUCUUGCACUUCUCUUGUUAUGUCCUGUGUGGGCUGAGAAUUUCUACCAAGACGCCACGGUCACGUUUGGUGACCAGCGAGCUCAGAUACAAGAUGGCGGGCGCGUAUUCGCCUUGUCCCUUGACAAAAUAUCGGGUUCAGGAUUCCAGUCCAAGAAUGAAUAUUUAUUCGGAAGGUUCGACAUGCAGCUCAAACUAGUACCCGGAAAUUCUGCUGGAACUGUCACCACUUUCUACGUAAGUAACAUGUCUUUUCUCUUCUUAUCUAUUACUCUAGUAAUUGACCGCAGAGACAGGCUGCAAGGUAACGCUGUGUGAAAUAGACCCCUGUGGUCCGACCUUUUCACGGACCCCACACAUAGUAGGAGCUGUGGUACACCGUCUUGUCCUUUUAACUAGCACUGCGGUAGUUAAUAAAACAUGUCCAACUGAUAAAUUAUUUCUUUCUGCUAUUUACAGUUGUCUUCUCAAGGAGCAGGACACGAUGAAAUCGACUUCGAGUUUCUUGGAAAUUCAUCAGGACAACCUUACACGGUUCACACCAACGUUUACUCUCAGGGUAAAGGCAACAAAGAACAACAAUUUCGUCUAUGGUUCGAUCCCACCUCGUCGUUCCACACCUACUCUAUUGUCUGGAACUCUCAAAGAAUCAUGUACGUUACAAUCUAAGCUUCCUUCAAUCUAAAAAGAAAAAGUUAGCACCUCGUGUUGGAUCCUUCAAUCAAAAUGCAUAUUGCAUUUUUGGAGAAUCCAACAUGAGCGUGGCAGCACUUAUGGAGAUUUGAGCAAAAUUGCUUCUUAAUAUGCAUGUUUAACGUAAUUGACAUUUGUCUAAUCGUCCAGA
rnacentral:lncRNA from 1 species